rnacentral:lncRNA from 1 species
AUGGACAAGAACAAGUUAGUUGAAUGGCAUGCACGAUAAAACUGCAAGGCAUAUAUAUUCAUCUAGAUUAAUUCUACUAAGUACAGAUUUUGCAUGGAUGGGUUUGACUUCAACAGAGACUGAAAGAAGAGCAUUUUCCCCUCCCAAUCCAAAACCUGCAGUACAAAUACAACUCUAAGAGAAGGAACUGUGGUACAACAAGAGGCGCUCCAAAUCGAACUAAAUCUCAGUUUCUUUAUUUAUCUAAGAAACAUCACAACCAUAACUUCUGCCAAGCAAGCAGUUAUCAUACUAUCAGCUAAAGAAAAACAAAGGAAGAUCACAUGUCACUUUCAGGGAAAACAUCAGAAGUAUAUGAUAGGCAAAAGUAGAUGAUCAUCAAAUUCCAUCACACUCCACAGUGAAUAAUGCUACUACUAUUGAUAGCAAGGACUAACUAUUCCCACUACCUGGAUGCAGCAUCCUUCAUUUUGCAAACAAAAAAAGAGCACAUUAUCCAAUUCCUUCACGUACAUAAAUGAAUAGCAGCAACAAAAUUCAACGGUACUACCAAAAUCAAAUAUAUUAUAUUAUUAAAAUGAUAGAAAACGAACGAAGGAGAUUCGAUAUUACUAAAACGAUAGAAAAUGAAAGGAGGAGAUUCAAAAUUAGAAAGUUAUGAUAAAUGAACGGCAGUGAUUCGUUUACCUCAACUUGAUGGCGGCGUAAAGGCAUACAGAGUCCACACGGCCAGCGACAAUGUGGACCCAUCGACUCGGCAUAUUACCAUUGUAACCCUGGGUGGGUUGAUCUAUAAAACCCCCUAGGAGUCCACGCCUACAGGGGCAUUAUAUGUGAGAUCCCCGGGAUGCAAAGCCAUACAAGAUAAAGAAAGCAAGCAAGAUAGGACUAGCCACUACAUAGCAACACCAGACGGAAGGAGCAGCCCAAGCCUUGGCCAGCCUCCUUCCUCCUCCAUACAGCUCCAGGAGCGACAUUGUACUAUCGACCAUCCAACUAAACUCGGCAGGACUAGGGGUGUUAUCUCUCCGGAGAGCCCCGAACCUGGGUAUGGCCGGCGUCCCACACCCGCGCAUAUCAACCUCGCCUCCGAAGCCCACCAGCGCCCUCGAGCCUCCUCAUCUCUUUAGCCAUCCCUUGGCAUCUGCCGUGCGCCCACCACGACAGGAUGUCUUCCGGGGCAUCCCCAAGAUUAGACGCUUGAGUCUCCUUAAAUAUUUACUUGGGGUGCCUCGGGCAUCCCCAAGCUUGAGCACUUGCCUCUCUUCCUUUUCCUCAUAUCGAAACCACCUCAUUUAGACACUUCAUCCACAAAAGCUUCAACAGAAAACUCGGUAAGAUCCGUUAGUAUAAUAAAGCAAAUCACCACUCUAAGUACUGUUGCAAACCAAUUCAUAUUUUGUUUUUGCAUUGUGUCUACUGUAAUAUAACUUUUUCAUGGCUUAAUCCACUAAUAUAAAUUGAUAGUUUUAUCAAAACAAGCAAACUAUGCAACAAAAACAGAAUCUGUCAAAAACAGAACAGUCUGUAGGAAUCUGAACAUUCACCAUACUUCUGCUACCCCUAAAAAUCUAACAAAAUUAGGAAAACUAAACAAGUUGUACAGCAAGACAGUGCAAACGGAAUCAGAACCAAUUGACUUUCCAGCUAAAAAUGUAAAAUCGCGCACUACAGCCAAAGUUUCUGUCCUGUACCAUACAAACCAACAAGCAUUGUAAACAUCCUAAAGGCAAACCUUGGCACAUUAUUUUUAUAAUACAAUGGAAUUAUACAGGGGGAUAAUUAUUUUUGAUGAAAAGUUUCUGUAAUCCAGAUUCACAAAGUUUCCAUGAGCAUGAACAAAGUUCAAGGAGCUCUCCCACUUCAACAAUGCUUGUCUCUCUCACUUUCACUUUUCUUUUCGAAAAGUUUUUAGGUUCCCCUCUUUAUUUUUUUUUGUUUUUAAACUAUAUAAAAGCACUCAACAGAAAUAAAUGACUCUCUAAAACUUCCGGAUUGUCUCCCUGGCAGCGCUUUCUUUAAAGCCAUUAAGCUAGGCAUAUAGUGCUCAAGUAAUGAAUCCACCCGGAUCCCAAGGUAUAUCAAAGCCAAUUUAAUUAACAAUGAUUUGUAAUUUAGUAGUGAGCACAAAGUAACAUAUAUCAUGCACCAACGAAGUCUAACUCUCUUCCUAUGCAUUGGCAUGUCAUAAAAGAACAAUUCAUGCACACAUAGUAAAGGCCAAUGCAUAGUAUAAACAGUUUCUUGCAAUUUUAUCAUAUUGGAAACAUAGAGAGGUGGAGAUGUAGUUCCUCUCUCAUAAUAAUUGCAAGUAGGAGCAGCAAGCACAUGCAUAUUAUAUUCAUCAAAAUCAUCAUGUGCAACGGUAAAAGGCAACCCAUCAAUAUAAUCCUUAAUAAGCACAAACUUCUCCGAUAUAGUGUAGUGGGAGAAUUCAAAAAGAUAAUAGGACUAUCAUGCGUGGGUGCAAUAGCAACAAUUUCAUGUUUAACAUAAGGAACUAUAGCAAGUUCAUCUCCAUAAGCAUAAUUCAUAUUGGUAUCUUGGCCGCAAGCAUAGCAAGCAUCAUCAGAAAGGGAUAUUUCAAGAGAAUCAACGGGAUCAUAGCAAUUAUCAUAGCAAUCAUCCUUCGGUAAUCACGAAGGGGAAUUAAACAAUGUAUGAGUUGAAGAGUUACUCUUAUUAGAUGGUGGGAACGGGUGAUCAAUCCGCUCUUCCUCCUUUUGUUCUUCGAUCUUCUCAUCAUCUUUUUCAUCCAAUGAGCUCACAGUUUCAUCAAUUUCCUCUUCCAUAGCUUCCUGCAAAAUAUUAGUCUCUUCUUGGACAGCGGACACUUUCUUCAUAAAAACAUUAAUAUAGUAAUUGUAUUCAUAAUUUUCAUAGAAAUAUCUAAGUAUAGCAAGAUUUUCAGGCCUAUAAACUGAAUCAUCAAAAUCGUCAAACGCUUUAAACAUAGAUUCAAUCUCAUAAGCACCCAUAAAAGCAACAAAUUCUUCUAUUUGUUCCACAUCAUAGUAAUCAUAUAUACCAUUAGCAUAAGAAGCUAAGGUUUCAUUAUCAUUAAAUUUGCAUGAAAAGGGAAGGUGUGGAGCCUUCAUCCUAGAGCAACAAGUAAUAUCAUAUCUCAAGCAUAGAUACCAGGCAUACCAACGCAACAUAAUAAAUUGAUCACAUAACAGUUUCCCUUUUUGUGUAGAGAGAUAAUCCCUAAAGUAUUCACGUUGAUCCAACGUGUCUCCAAUUAUAAAGUUGAAUGGGGUUUUCUCAGGAUUAUCAAAAUAGUACAUAAUAUCUUUCACAUAAUGAGAAUCGGGGGUUUUAGGAGUUACCCCAUCUACAUGAGUAGCAAGUACCUCUAAUUUUUUUGGUAUUUUGUGGUCCAUAUCCAUAACUAAAGAUAGAGAACAACUAAGAACAACAAAUAAAAAUUACUUAGUGAUAAAGCAAACAAGCACACACGAGAAUAUUCACCCCACGCUAUGACUCCCCGGCAACGGCGCCAGAAAAAGGUCUUGAUAACCCACAAGUGUAGGGGAUCGCAACAGUUUUCGAUAAGUAAGAGUUUCAAACCCAACGAGGAGCUAAAGGUAGAAUAAAUAUUCCCUCAAGUUCUAUCGACCACCGAUACAACUCUACGCACUCUUGACGUUCGCUUUACCUAGAACAAGUAUGAAACUAGAAGUACUUUGUAGGUGUUGUUGGAUAGGUUUGCAAGAUAAUAAAGAACACGUAAAUAAAAGCUAGGGGCUGUUUAGAUAAAGAUGCAAAUAAAGUAAAUAUAGCGAGUGUGGAAAAGUGGUGGUAGGAGUUGUGGAAUCGUCCCUAAGCAAUUGACUAUGUUACUAGACCGGUAAUCACUAUUGCAAUUCUAUUUGAGGGAGAGGCAUAAGCUAACAUACUUUCUCUUCUUGGAUCAUAUGCACUUAUGAUUGGAACUCUAGCAAGAAUCCGCUACUACUAAAGAUUCAUUAAGGUAAAACCCAACCAUAGCAUUAAAGUAUCAAGUCCCCUUUAUCCCAUACGCAACAAUCUACUUACUCGGGUUUGUGUUUCAGUCACUCACGCAACCCACUAUAAACGAAUCAUAAACGUACUGCAACACCCUACAGCGGGAAUCCCUCACGCUUGCACGACACAGAGGGCACAAUAGGACGGCACCAAUAAUAAAACAUGCAACUCAAACCAAUCAUAGCAAUUCACCUAUAAGACAACGAAAAUCUACUCAGACAUCAUAGGAUGGCAACACAUCAUUGGAAAAUAAUAUGAAGCAUUAAGCACCAUGUUCAAGUAGAGGGUACAGCGGGUUGCGGGAGAGUGGACCGCUGGAUAUAGAAGGGGGAAGGUGAUGGAGAUGUUGGUGAAGAUGACGACGGUGUUGGUGAAGAUCGCGGUGAUGAUGAUGGCCCCCGACAGCGCUCCGGCGCCACCGGAAGCAAUGGGGAGAGAGGCCCCUUCUUCUUCUUCUUCCUUGACCUCCUCCCUAAAUGGGAGAAGGGUUUCCCCUCUGGUCCUUGGCUCCCAUGGCUUGGGAGGGGCGAGAGCCCCUCCGAGAUUGGAUCUAUCUCUCUGUUUCUGUGUUCUCUGUUUCUGCCCCUUCACCGUUUCCUUUAUAUCUGGAGAUCCGUAACUCCGAUUGGGGUGAAUCUUUCGCCCAGAUUUUUCUUGUAAAAUUAGCUUUCUUGCGGAAAAAGAAGAGCGUCAACCGCGUUACGGGUGGCCCACGAGAGUCCAGGGCGUGCCCAGGGGGGAGGGCGUGCCCCCCUGUCUCGUGGCCACCCCGGACAUCGUUUCACGUUGAUUCUUCCUCCGGAAAAUCCCAAAUAUUCCAAAAUAAUUCUCCGUCCGUUUUUAUCCAGCUUGGAUUCCAUUUGAUAUUGGAUUUCUGCGAAACAUAAAACAUGCAACAGACAGGAAUUGGCACUGGGCACUGGAUCAAUAUGUUAGUCCCAAAAAUAGAAUAAAAAGUUGCCAAAAAUAUAUGGAAGUUCAAGAAUAUUGGCAUGGAACAAUCAAAAAUUAUAGAUACGACGGAGACGUAUCACAUACCUCCUAGAUAAAUAAAAUCCAUGUCACGUUGGUCGGCAUAAUUGUCAUAAAAAAUAAAUGAACCAAAUAGUUAUAAAGAUAAUAUAUACCACAUCCGAAUCAUAGACAAGACGAGGGCCGACGGGGGUUGAUACCAAAACCAUCACAAUAAAUAAUAAGAAGCAAUAAUAAAAGUAAUAAAAUUAUAUAAACAUACAAAUAAGGAUUUUUUCCUUUCAGAAGGAAGAUAAGAACAAGAGGCUCACCACGGUGGUGCCAACGACGAGAUCGGCGCGGGCGAUCGACGAGGAUGAAGAAGGGGGCGGGAUGUGACGGACCGCUAAACCUAGACAAAUCUUGAGGAAAAUGGAGCUUGGAUGUCGAGCUUGGAGAGGAGAAAACUUAAGUAGUGUGGCUCGGGCAUUCCAUCGAACACCUCGUGUGCAUAGGAGGUGAGCUAGAGCACCACAAAGCUCUCCCCUCGCCGGCCAGGAAAAACAGAGCAGUGGGAGUGCUCUGUUCGCCGCGAUGGGUAUAUAUAGGCAACACAUUGCUCCCAGUUCGUGGCACGAACCGGGACUAAAGGACCUUUAGUCCCGGUUCGUGCCACGAACCGGGUCCAAUGAUGGUGGGCCAGGAGCGAGGCCCAUUGGUCCCGGUUCGUCCCACCAACUGGGAUCAAGGGGCCAGACGAACCGGGACCAAUGCCCCCACGAGGCCCGGCAGGCCCCUGGCCUCACGAACCGGGACCAAUGGGCCCAUGGGUCCAGGUUUGUGACUGAACCGCGACUAAUGGGCUAAUCUGGCCCGAACAUAUGCCCUGUUUUCUACUAUUGUUGAUACCUUUAUGAAACCACAUGCAGUGCUCGCGCCGACUACAACGCAAUUGCGAAUGGAAACGGCGGCAGCUCCUCAUCACCCACGGUUCCCAUCGAGCCACAACGACCAUGUGUUCGGCCCGUCCACAUCUAUCGUGGACCUUACAUCGACCGGCGAUGUCCAAGCGAUGGAAUUCGACAAAGAAGAGUAGCACAUGGGAGACGGACGCGCCCGUGUCCCUUCGGGCAUGUCUGUGGCCCAUGUCUUACUCUUUAUGGCCGGCGACUACCAGCUUCACUUCCCGGAGUGCAGAACCGGCAAAGAUGCCGGACAUGGGGAAGACAAUACAUGGAACAUGGACGCCUCCAUGGCUGGCGAAGAUUUCGACUAAGUUAACAUUUUAUAUUAAAAAAUGUCAUGUACACUUUUGUUAAAUGAAAUAUGUUAAAAAUGUCAUGAAAUUGGUCCGGUUUAAAUGAUCGACCGGUUUGUUCAAAUACCAUUUAAAAUGUGACCAGAUGUUUGAUGGACAGGGUUGGAUGGCCAGCUCCUGUAUCACUAUCGUGGUUGGACACUAGGUCCCUUUUAGGGGAUAGCGCUGACGAUACCCGAAAGCGCUUUUUCUAGAGAAACACUACAGUGCUACAAGACUUUUUGAAGAUAUGUUUAUGGAAAUGUUAAAAAUAGAAAUACAUAAUAUUAAUCUAACAAUCUGACUUGAGAUGUGUUUUUAACAGAAAAAGUAAUUUAAUAUAUUUUGAAAUUUCUGUAAACCGUUAAAUUCCUAACUUAACAUUGAUGCUUAACCACGUUGGAUAGAAAUGCAUUAGAAGAAAAGACAACAUCCAUUUAAGAAAAGACAAACUUCACAUAAUACAUGUAUAAGCAGCAGAAAAGUGUGGUUCACAUCAGCUAAGCGCACGUAAUCUAGGUGUUUGCCCUAUGUGGUGCAUCAGAUGAUAAGCUUGGUUGUGUGGCUCUUUUCGACCGAGGACGUGCCAUCGAAAGUAGUAAAAUCAGCAAUGAAAGUUGUACUAGUGUGCCUGACCCGUUUACGUACAUGCCACCGCAUAUAUCUUUUGUCGUGUUAAUCAGCGAGAAAGCAGUGCGUGUAUAAUAGUAUAAGCUAGGAGAAAUACAGCCAAACAAAAGUGAAAAGGAACAAUGCAGGCUGCAAGGCGGUUCUAUACGUGCACGCCAUGAUAUAUAUUUUUUUGUCAGUGUUAAUAACCACACACCGUUCAUGGUGAGGCGGCGUGGUUCCAGUGAGUCUGAAACGUACUUACGCGACGCACGGCUUGAUGCCGGAGGCUGGGCUGCACAAGACCCGCUGUUAAAAUCCCCUCAUCUUGGACACAUCAGGCAUCCACCUCAAAGCGCAUCCACCUCCGUUCGACUAUGGUAGAGGCCAUGGGACCUGCAGCGGCGGGUGAGAACAGUAGGUUAACUGGGGGGAGAAAGAAGGGGGAUGGCAAGUUCAUCGCAGCUAUCAAGCACCCGGUGACGAAGACGCUGUUGUGGCUGCGGACGUACCAGUCACCCGAGGUCUCCGCGUGCGUGUACGACCUCGCGGCUAGGUGUAUAUACUGGGCUAUUAGUGUCCCCACCUGUAAUUGUGUUGUACAUCAUUAUGUACUCUCAAUAUAAUACAAAGGUCACCUCACGUUGGAGGUGUGCCACAAAGCCCUAAAACUCUUGUCUAAUAUAGUAUCCGACAUAACGAUCUAAUCUCUUUUCUUCGGCUCCGCCAUCGCCGCCAGCCGCCGCCGUCGCCUCGAGCGCCGCCGCCGCUGCGGUCUCCUUCCCCGCCCUCUUGCCACCGCCCUAUCCACAUGGAUCAUGCGUUCCUUCCACCGUCUCUCGCGCGUCUCCUCAAUGGUGGGACUGCGCCAUACACGGCGGAGGGAUCACUCGGCCCCCUGCAGACCAAAUCGGCGGGGUCCUUCUUCGCCAGCCAAUCGGCGGCAUCCCUUUUCGCCGGCCCGGUUUCUUCACUGUACGCCGGUGUGUCUUCCUCGUCGGCCGCUGCAUCGGUGCAGUUCCAGCAACCGCCGCCGCCUCCGGCCACCACGCAUUCCUUGGUGCCUGCGCAACCACCCCUGACCGCAUCGCAUCUGAUGAUGCACGCGGUCGCGCCUGCCCCUGCUUCCUCCAUCUACACCGCAACAGGCCCGGUUGUUGCCGACGUCGCCCAUGCGACCUAUGGCAGCCCUGACGGCUAUCCGCUGUAUGCUGCUCCAUACGGUCCUCCGCCACCCGUGCGUCCCUCCUAUGGCGCGUUCCCUGGCCAGGGCUCAUAUGCGGCCAUGCCGCCCUAUGGUGCAUCCUACGCGUACGGCGUCAGACAGGUGUACGCACCUGCAGCGGCUUCGAAUGCACCAAUGCCAUCUCAUGUGCCAUACAUGGAUGUUGAGGCUGCUCUUACUGUGAUCUUCUCGCCGCUGUUCCUGUUCUCGCACCUUCUUCCGGUGAAGCUCAAGGAGGAUAAUUACCUGUACUGGCGUGCUCAAGUGCUUCCUCUUCUGCACAUCCAUUAUUUGGAGGGGUUCAUUAAUGGCACACUGCCGUGUCCGCCACCACAACAUCCGAUGUUCUGUGCGUGGAUCGCUCAGGACCAAGCCAUCCUCUCAGCAAUCCAGUCUUCCCUGGGUGAGGGUGUUGCCGGGCUUGUCCUCUUCGCUGCAUCGUCUCACGAGGUGUGGGACAUCCUGGAGUUGAGUUUCUCGUCCCAGUCUAAUGCUCAGUCUAUGGCUCUUCGUGCCAAGCUUGGUGAGACCUGUAAGGACAAUGGUACGGUGGCUGCCUUCUACAACACGGUCAAGAAGUUGGCCGACACCCUUGCUUCGAUUGGAGAGCCCUUUCGCGCCAUCGAGUUCACGACCUUCAUCCUCGCCGGCCUCAACAGCGACUAUGAAUCGCUCGCCGAGGAGAUCAAUGAACGCAAGGAGCCUAUUCGCCCUCAGGAACUCUACAACCGCCUCCUGUCUAUGGAGCAGCGUCUCAAUGCGCGCCGCCCUGACAUCUCCACCGACUCCUCUGUCAAUGCCGUGUAUCGCGGCAAAGGAGGCGGCCGUGGUUCCUCUGCAGCUCCCUCCUCCGAGGGGAGGGGGGGCGCAAGUCCGGGGUCGCGCCCCUAGCUCAGCAGCAGGCCCCGCGUCCUGGCGCCUCGGUGGUCAUCGUCAACGACCGCGCUUGCCCCUGUUGUACGGCUUGUGGUGCAGCCCAGCUGUGCUAGCUCUGUGGCCUGCCCCGCCAUGUCGCCUCCCGCUGCCAUUGCCGUUUCAAGACCGACUUCCUUGGCCUCGGCAACAACGACAAGGGCAACGAUCGUCAAGGGAACAUGGCGCAACAGGGACACACUCCCUUCUAUCCCGUUGGUCCUUCUUGGUACAUGGAUACCGGAGCCACAACUCAUGUCACGAACGAACUGGGCAAGCUUACCGUUCAGCAACCCUACCAUGGGCACGACAAGGUUCACACAGCUAAUGGGGCAGGUAUGCACAUCUCACAUGUUUGACAGGCAUCUCUUCUCACAAACACCUCUAGGUCAUUGCAUCUUAGAAAUAUUCUUCGUGUUUGCAUAGUUGCACGUAACUUACUCUCUAUUCCUAAACUUACACAGGAUAAUAAUGUUUUCUGUGAAUUUCACCUGUUUCAUCUCUUUGUUAAGGAUCGUGCUACAAGGAACAUACUUCUUAGAGGUUGCUACCGCUGUGGCUUAUAUGCUCUUGAUGCGCCCACCGCCCAUCCCCAAUACUGUUGCUGCGUUCCAAGUCUUCAGUGGUGUUCUUGUGUCUCCUUCAUUGUGGCAUUCUCGCCUUGGCCACCAUGCAUCACCCAUUGUUCGCCAUCUUCUCCACCGUCAUGAGCUACCAUCAGAGUCUAGUAAUAAAGAUGUUGUUGUCUGUGAUGCCUGUCAGCAAGGUAGAAGUCAUCAGUUACCUUUUUAUGUUUCUACACAUAUAGUUAAAACUCCUCUUGAGCUUGUGUUUUCAGAUGUUUGGGUUUCUGCCCAGCUGUCCAUUAGUGGGCACGAAUAUUAUGUCAGUUUCAUUGAUGCUUAUAGUCUCUUUACUUGGAUUUAUCUUCUUAAGCAUAAGUCGGAUGUGUUCUUAAAAUUUCAAGCACAUGUUGAGCAUCUCCUUAAUCAUAAAAUCAUUCAUGUCCAGUCCGAUUGAGGGAGGGGGGUGAAUACCGCAAACUUAGUACUUUCUUUGAAAAACUCAGAAUCGCUCAUCGUGUGUCUUGCCCACAUACACAUCAGUGGAAUGGUUCAGCUGAACGUAAGCAUCGUCAUAUUGUUGAAACCGGGUUAGCCUUGCUCGCUCAUGCAUCUAUCCCGUUUCGUUUUUUGAGUGAUGCCUUUAAUACAGCCUGUUUUCUCAUAAAUAUGCUUCCUUCGCGACUCCUUCAUAUGAAAAUUCCACUUGAACUCUUGCUUGGUCAGAUUCCUGAUUACACGUUUCUUAAAGUGUUCGGUUGUGCAUGCUGGUCGUAUCUCCGUCCUUAUAAUAAUCGCAAGCUUGAGUUCCGUUCUAAAAAAUGUGUCUUUCUUGGGUACAGUUCUGUUCACAAAGGGUAUAAGUACCUUCAUGUCCCGUCUAACCGUGUGUAUAUUUCACGAGAUGUUGUCUUUGAUGAGCAUGUUUUUCCCUUUUCUGCUCUCCCACCACCUGCCACCAGUUCCACACCGCUAGUGCACCCACCCACUAUAUUGCCUGAUCAAUUUGUAGAUGCUCCACAUUCGCCCAUUUUGUUGUCUAACCAUGGUGCAUGUAUUGGGAGAUGUGUGCGGUUGGAGCUCCUAGACGAGGUUGAUCCUCCAGCUCUCUCGUCCCUGCUCGAUCACGUCGAUCGGCAGGCACCGUGCAUGUCCCAUGCAACGUGCCCACCCGCGCUCGAGACAGCGGCCUCUGCGCCGCGCGCCACCACUCUGGCCCAGCCGUCGCUUGUGCCAGCUGACGCCUCGGCCCAAUGGGCCGCCUCUCCUUCAACCAUGUCCUCGGCACCGACGCCUGGGCCAUACCCGCCUGGAAACCCUCUGCCAUCCCCGACGCCUAAGCGGCACUCGUCGCCCAGCUCGCCUGGGUCAGUGUCGCCCUCUAGUGGGUCAGCGUCUCCUGCUGCAUCCACACCGUCAACGCCUCCGCCUGCAUCAACAACUGUCAUGACGGAUGCUGCGCUCUCUUUGCCACUGUCACCGCUGACCUCGCCACCUGCUCCUCCCCCUGUGUUGCAUCCUCAUACAUGCAGCAAAACUGGGUUGUUUCUUCCUAAAAAGCGCACGGAUGGCACGGUUGCCUGGCUUGCGACUUGCAUGAUGCAAGCCCAGUCGGACCCUACUGUCGAGCCACGACACUUUUAGGCUGCCCUGAGUAUCCCCCACUGGCGCACUGCGAUGGAACAAGAAUACCAGGCUCUUCUCAAGAAUGACACAUGGUGUUUGGUUCCUCCCUAUUCUGUGUCAACGUCAUUGAUUCCAAGUGGGUUUUCAAGGUAAAGAAACAUGUCGAUGGCUCUAUCGAGAGAUACAAGGCUAGACUGGUUGAUAAAGGCUUCAAACAACACCAUGGCCUUGACUAUGAGGACACCCAGUGCGGUGGUCAAACCUACCACUAUUCGGCUUCUGCUCUCACUGGCUCUUAUUCGCGGAUGGUCUCUUCGUUAGCUUGAUGUUCUGAAUGCUUUCCUUCAUGGUGUCCUUGAGGAGGAGGUUUACAUGUGUCAGCCUCCUGGUUUUAUUGAUCCAGCUCGUCCGCAGCAUCUGUGUCGUCUUGGUAAGGUGCUCUAUGGUAUGAAGCAGGCUCCGCGUGCUUGGCAUGCACGUCCUGGCACUACUCUUCGGUCUCAUGGGUUUGUUCCCUCUAUGGAUGAUACUUCGCUGUUUCUUCUUUAGCAUCCUACAGUUACUAUGUAUCUGUUGGUCGACGUUGAUGAUAUCAUCCUUGUCAGCUCCUCGGAUUAUGCUGCGGAACGCUUGGUGUCUGCUUUGAGUGGUGACUUUGCUGUUAAGGAUCUUGGGAAGCUUCACUAUUUCCUUGGGCUGGAGCUUUUGCACUCUGGUUCUGGCUUGACACUUACUCAACAGAAGUACUCUCUUGAUAUUCUUCCACAGGCUGGUAUGCUACAAUGCAAGACGGCUACUACACCUAUGUCCUCUACUGAUAGACUCUCUGCUUUCGAUGGUUCUCUUCUCUCAGCUAAUGAGGCUAUUGAGUAUCGCAAUAUUGUUGGUGGCUUGCAGUACUUGACCAUCACCCGUCCUGAUGUCUCUUAUGCUGUCAACCGUGUCUGUCAGUUUCUUCAUGCACCUCGAGGUUCUCACUAGACUGCGGUUAAGCGCAUCUUGCGCUAUAUUCGGUUGACUGCUUCUUAUGGCUUGCAUCUACAACCGCCCCCCUCUGGAGUUCUCUCCGCGUUCUCUGAUGCUGACUGGGCUGGGAGUCCGUAUUUCUUGGUUCUAACUUGAUCGCCUGGAGUGCUCGUAAACAAGCAACAGUGUCCUGCAGUAGCACUGAAGCUGAGUACAAAGCAGUUGCAAAUGCCACAGCUGAGCUUAUUUGGAUACAGUCUUUGCUCCAAGAGUUGAAGAUCUCUCAAAAGCAGCCGCCGAUCCAUUGGUGUGAUAACAUUGGUGCGACGUAUUUGUCUUCAAAUCCAUUAUUUCAUGCUUGCACCAAACACAUUGAAGUUGAUUACCAUUUUGUCAGGGAACGUGUUGCCCAGAAACUGCUUCUUAUCAAGUUCAUCUCCUCAAAGGAUCAACUUGUUGACAUCUUCACAAAGUCGUUGCCUCUUCCUCAGUUUGAAGGUUGUAGACGCAAUCUCAACCUAGCACUACUAGGAAAAGGCCUGCUAGUGGCACACCCGUUUUGCCUACUAAUGGCGCACUACAGGUGCGCCACUAGCAUCACGACAUUAGAAUAUUUUACUAAUGGCGCACCACAUGUGCGCCAUUAGUAUCUGGUAUACUAAUGGCGUACCAGGCAUUGCGUCAUUAGUAUAGCCCACGGUGCACCAUUAGUAUGCCUCCCAGGGGCCAUAUUUACCCAUGUGCUCUGGCUUACUAAUGGCGCACUAGUUGGUGAUGCGCCACUAGUGUGCUUUUUGCAGUGCGCCACUAAAGUGCUGAGAGGUGCUCCACUAGUAUGAAUAUUAGGGAUUUUUUUUAUUUUCUGAUAUUUGCACAGGUUACAAAACAUAUUACUGCACAGAAUAUAGACAGCACAACAUAUAAACAACCGAUUUAUCGAAUACAUUAGAAGAUUAGUCUCUGAAUACAAUUCAUCAUAUUAGUCUCCAAAUUUAAAAUAACGAACAAAGUUAGAACAUUACAAGUCUCGAGACUGCGUGUAGCGAGUUUGUCUUCACAUUACAAGUCGAUAUCGAUCAUCUAGACUACCAUCACAUAGAGUUGUGGUCAUCACGAUGAGCAUAAUCGCGAUGAAACUGGUCUUCAUCCGGUUCCUCCAAUGCUCCCUCCUCUCUCCCGCUUGAUAGCGCGCGUAUCUAACUUCCGCCUCCGCCCUAGUUGUGUACCCGUUGUAACUGUUACCGUUGAAGCGGUGAACCUGUCUCCGACACUCCUCCCAGUCGUCGUAGACUCCGGGAACCUUAGCCUUGUACACGACAUACGACGGCAUCUCUAUGCACUAGCCAAACAAAAGGUUAGUAGCAAUUCACAGAGACAUACAAGUUCAUUAAAGUUUAAUAUUACAACUAUAAUAGCACGAUUCAUAGUCCUACUAAUAAAUAGCAUCGAUUACAUAUAAGUUGAACGACUGCCCAAACCAAAGCGACAUACAAGUUCAUUAAAGUUUAAUAUUACAACAUGAAUUAGUAGCAAUUCACGGAGCAUGGAUGAAGCCGCCAUCUUUCGUGAUGGUCAUGAAAUCACGGUCGUUGUCAGCCUGCAUUUGUAGCGUUGUUUCUAUCUCACUAUUGGACGGUUGAAAUCUGAGGUAGAACUGCCCCGAGGUAUGAAGGACAUCUUGAUGGAUGAUUUCCGCAAACUCCAACUGGAUGCGAAAGAAUUGUUGUCUGAUGUCCGCGUCCUGGAUUGCCGACAAGCAUGCGGCCCAAUCUUUGAGAUUAUUUGGUAGCCGAAGGUGAUUAUGGUCCCGUAUGAUCGCCCGCAUGUGAUGGAGGGCAUAGUAGGCAUCCUUCUGACCGCUAGCCGGCUGCUUGACGCAUGGGAACGUCGUAUUGUGGGUGAACACGUGCUGGCAUACCUACGGAUUGUCCUGCUGAAGGUGCCUCCAGAUCUGGCAUAGCCGGGAAGAGCUUCAUCAAGAACUUUCUCGAUAUUUGUGUAGUCUUUUGUCGACUGAUGGUCCGAGUCAAAAUACCUGGCCGUGGAAUAUUUCGGGCUAAAGAGGAUGAGUGUGCAAUGUGUGUCACUGCACAAAACACAGAAUGUUAGAAAAAAAAAUGAUCGAAAUCUAAGAAAUCAUAUGUUACGGGGCGGUGAGGGGAUAACUUACUCGGGAAAGUAAGGCACGAGGAAGUUAUCCUUAUCUGGGUUUGCCAGAAUGACGCCUUCGAGGUAUGAACUCGUGACUUGCCGGUCCCCAGCGCUGCCUAAGAUCUUGGCACGCAUAUAGAAGGGGUUGACUAUCACGAUGUCCGGGGUCUUGUCUCUAAUGAUCCGCAUCUCCAUACACAGCGAAAAUAGCCGGAUGAAGGUCUAGUGCAGUGGAUGAAGGUUAAACAUAGUAAAGAUGUCAGCAAACCGCAGGACGAUCAUACCCCGGAUGGCGCUAUCGACAAAGCCAUUGCCCUCUGGCACCUUGGCCACAAAAACCAGGUAUGCCACAUCAUUCUCGGAGAGACGCCACUUCUCCAAAGAAAGAACACUAUCAUGCAGACUCCGCAUAGCACCGGUUGUAGCAUUGAGCAGAUUAGUCGGUAGCCUCGGCCUACCCGCCACAUGCACCCUCCUCGAGAUAUCCUUAGGUGAAGGUGGCCCGUGCUGAGCACGGAUCGAACUCGGUGCCGGUUGGCUCGCACCCUUGUUAGUCUUUCUUUUCCGACCCUUCUUCUUUUGCUACUGUAAGGGAAUCAAAUUCUGCUCAGAGACCACCUUCUUGAGUUUGUUGGGGCAGAUAAUAUUUCGCACCUCGGCUACCGGAGGCUCGGUGAAGACGGCAGCUGGAGGCGUCUCUUGAGAACUGAACGCCAGAUGACGCCUAUUUCAAUUGGGUCUCUUCGCGGUACCAGCUAGAUCGCGGUCGUCUUUUGCAGGGUUGGGUUCUUGAGAAGGAGGCCCCAAGAAUUCCUCACCGUACUCAUGUUUGGCAAAGUACUUAUCAACCUUGGUAAAUGUACCUUCGUCAUCAUCAUCGUCGUCUGCAUCCAGUGCCAUAUGCAUGUCCGGAUCCUGUGCCAUAUGCAUGUCCGGCGUGUCCGGUAGCGUUGCGGCGGUCUUGCCACGGCUUGGCGCCGCCAUGACUGGCGGUGUUGUCUGUGGGGGAGCACGAUUAAGAUUGAGGGAGGGUGUUAGACUCUGUAUAUACUGGCCUAUUAGUGUCCCCAUCUGUAAUUGUGUUGUACAUCAUUAUGUACUCUCUAUAUAAUACAAAGGUCACCCCACAUUGGAGGUGUGCCACAAAACCCUAAAACUCUUGUCUAAUUCUAGGGAGCUGAAAGGCGCAAAGGCAAAGCUCAACUUCCCCUACCCUUUGCCGGCCAGAUAGGUUAAGGAGGUGAUAUCUGCACCAAGGCACCGCAGCCACGAUCACGAUGCACUACUCUUUCAGGUUGUUAUGUUGCCACCAGACCCCACAACACCGCUUCCACCGCCGCCCAAGCUGGUAGUAUACUUUCCCUUCCCCUUCGAAGCGCCCGACGGCGACAUCCCACUGGUGCCAGCAUAUCCUUUCCUGCACAUGCCGCAUCCGGCACGAGCAUGUCUCGGCCUGCAGCCGACGCACAUGCACGCACCUGCUCCACAGCCACAACAGCUGAUCCGACGGAUGCAGAUCCUGGCGCAGGCGGAAAGCUGCUUAAGCUCCUCAAGUGAACCCCUAGGGGCUCUGUCUAGCCACCUGGUGUUCAAGAAACCCAAGUUGUCCGUCAUUCCCGUCACUCCUAGUGCUCCAAAAGAAUAAUCUUUAAAUAUAUGCAGUAGCAAUCAUUGUAUGACCAUAUUUGAAGUACAAAGUUAUUAGUUGUCUUAACAUGAAAUAUUUUUAUAAUAAUAUUUGCGGCAUUCUGUUGUAGUACUUAUCUCUUGGAUUUGCAGUAUCGCAUAUCCUUAUUUUCUUUGGCAUGUACAUGAUCUUGUUGCAUCAUGAAAUUACUAGUGAUUUUAGGGUUUUUCCGAUUGGGUUAUUGCAGAGAUUAGGAUUCCAAAUGUAGUUGAUCUAGUACGACCCACAUGUAGAUGUAUUACACUUGCCUUGUGUAAGGUUAGUCUAAGCUAAGUAUAGAGGACAACUGAUGAUGUUCUUGAAAGGUUCAGGCCUACUGGGUAUGGAGAAUCAACAAGAUGAUUUUUCUCUUAUUCUGUAUAGUUCUUUUUUCCAGUUGAACCUCUCUGGUUCAAUGCACUUUUGUAAUUUUUUUUGAAAAGCAAUAACAAUAUGCAGCAGAGUCCUGCCGUUUCCCUCGAGAAAAAAGCAACAAGAUGAUUGAAUUUCGCACCAGGUUACCAGAUAACAUAGCUACUAGGUCAAAAUCGUUGCUAACCUUCCCCGCAACAAAAAAAAGCUUUGCUAACUUGACACUCAAUAAUAAAAUUGCAUCUUUCUUGUAUCUCAUGCUUUCUUUGUCACAAAUCACAUAUGCCACUUUUGGCAACUUUUGGCAAUAGAUUUGAUUGUUGCCACCCAAACCAAUUGCGUAGAACCCUAAAACUCAAUUGCAGAAAGCUUCACAUGUGUGCAUAGCAGUGCCAAACAAAGUCGUUUAUAUAAAAACCCUAGAACUGAAAACUCAUUGUUAUGUGAAAAGCUUAGCAGACAUUAAAAACAUGUGCAUUGGUGAGCAUUCUAUCCACAUCUGGUUUGUCGUUUGUUCUUUAUAUCAGAGUCAGCCUUGCAUCCAUCUAAUUUAUGACACGUGUAAUUUUUGAAUGGUUAUGUUUUCGUUCACACACACGCAAGCGCGCGCCCGCGGAUUUCUAUUUUGAUGGUUAAAUACAUUGUAUUAUACUAUUGCCAUCAAAUGUUCGUACUGAAGCAUAGUCUACUCUAUUUUGGUUCUUCAAUUUUAGCAGGAUAACGUAUUAAUAACUUAAGUAUUUAUUGCCUGGAGAAAUCAAAUUACUCAAAUACCGAGGUGUUACAAUUUGUAAAGUAAAGGAAGACGUAUGAAAUAUUGCAAAUUAAAUUUCAGGAAAGACAAAACAGUCCUAUCUUAUCUACCAUAUCGUGCAGACUCGUAAGCAACUACGUAAACGUUUUUAGGGAAACAUCAGGACUCUGCUGCAUAUUAUCUGUAUGGUUUCUAAGCUUCCAGGAAAUAGAGCCCUGGGAGAGAUCGAAAUCGAAUGUCUUGUUUUUCGGAGUGGGUCCAUUUGUCAGGGAAACAUACUCGCAACCGACGUUCCCUUUUCUUUCUUCUCAAUAUUUUUUCGCUUCCUAGAUACCGCCUCCUUCCCAAAUCCCCCAUAUCUUUGCCAGGAUCGCAGCCACCUUCCCCGCCGCUCCACUCCAACUUGCAUGGCCGCCGCUCUCUGAACUGUAACCGGCGCUCCCAGCCUCUGCGUCCGCGACUACGUCGGCUGGCGAUGAGGCAUUUGAAUCAGCCGCGGGGGGCUCGUGGUUGAUGACGUACGGCUGGCGGGCAAAUAGGGCCCGCGCGUGGGCGUGGCGCUGCUGGUGAAGUGGACGGGAAUGGACGGAGGAGCAGAUGCAAGGUGGAGGCCGGUAAUGAGGACGGACAUACCGUCGAGCAGUCUGGCGGCAAUCCGCUGAGAUCUCCCCGACAAAGCCGAGACAUCCCACCGCCUCCUUCCUGCUCCCCCCCUCCACCCACCCCCAACCCCUUCGCCUCCUCUUACCCAAUCCGCCAUGAUUUCUGGCAUCCCAGCACCGAUUAGCGAAACCUUCCCACGCAGAUCGACGCUCCUCCCUUGUGCACAAUUUUGAUCGUGCGGUUCUUCGUGCUCGCAUAUUCGGCAGCGAUGUGAACCAGAAUACAUCUGCACUGUACCCCUACUUGAGGUUGGCAGUGAGGCGUUUGCUUGAUGAGAGAAAAAGAGAGACAUCACUAACUCGCUGUAAGGCUCCUCUGCACUGUUAUUUUAUUAAUCUGUAAAAUAUAAAACUGCUCUGAAGUUAGUAUUCAAGCCCCUUACAUAUAAGACAUAGCCGAAGACGAUUUGAGUUGAGAAGUGAAGUUGCAUAAAAAAUUGUACGAGCAGAUAAUGUUGUGCAAUUGUUACCAAGCUUUCUAGAGAGCUAGCCUUGCAGGUUGUGAAGGAUUAAAGUUUUCUUAUCAGAAAUUAAGCUUACUGAAGUAUUACCAGUUGCUGAGUUUUACAUUGGACAUCGAUUUAACAAGAACUAGAAACUUGAACAUGGUGUCACGCCUUCUCAGAUGCAUGCCACUUGCCAAUGCAGCAACAUUCUGUUUCAUGCCUCCAUACUUACACGAUGUUGACCUUGGCUUUUUCGGCAAGGUCACUGUUGUCGUCUCCACUAGCCAUGGCUACAAGGUACUAAUAUGCCAUGCCUGAGGUCAAUGGAGGAGAGGGACGUGCAGCAGGUGUUUCUGGUGUGCCCCCAACAGACCCCUUGAUGCUCAAGUAACGCCCAUUUCAGUCUCUCCUCAAUCUAGAUCACAACACCGUAUGGUAUAUAGUUCUGGUUCAUGUGGAUCAAAGAAGAACUUGCAUUUUUUCAGUUGGGGUUUGUGGCUCAUUUCGUCUCACGAGGACACGAGCUGUAGAUCACAGAUUAGUGGAGAGGUGUCCAAUUUUAUGUGCGGCCUUACUCAUUCAGGAAUAUUUAAUGUUUAAUUGGUGAUUGUCAAAUGGCAAGGCUAAUCAUAAUUUAUAGUACUAUAUUUCUUUCAAAAAAAAGUAUACUCGAUUGUUUUCCAUGUACCAAGUAGCAUAUCUGACAGUUUCUCUAUUUCUUGAAGUUUCAGACUUUUAGUUAUUCCACGUGGGGCUUAGAGAUGACCAUUACCAUAUUAACAUAUAACUAAUGAAAACAUUCUGAGGUACUUUUGGGAGCAGACUAAUUUGAGCAAUUAAGCUUCCUUAGUCCUACUAACCUCUUGAUUAUAUUAAAAAAUUGAGGACAAUAUGAAGUAAUCUUAGUUGUUUGCAAAGUAACAAAUGCAAGCUAGCAUUUGCAACAAGAUCAUUUUGAAUUCAGUUAUGAUAUGCUAUGCCCACGUAGUGCAUAUCUGUAUAUUACAUAUGGGAUAAUUCUUAAUACAAAAGCCUGCUAUUUUCUUGAUAAUUUUAUUGCGGCGCUAAAAUCUAAGAUGCAUGGACGCCAUCCGAAUUUAUUUGAAUGCCAUGCAUGCCAUCUAAAUAAUGAUUCUUCACUGUCUGAAUGUCUGAAGCUCUAAACAGGAUCAUGAUCAGGAGAGAAAGAAGCUCAUGUGGUUCUACAGUGCUAUAUAAUAGAUGAGUUCCAUGAAAAUUUGCAUGUGCAGGCGGACAAAUUUAGCCCCGAUCACAGAAGUAACAAAAAUUGAUGCCUGCUGAACCAUUUUUCAGUUAACGUCCUUUUGUUCAGAAAGGCCUAAAGGAUUUACAAGCCUCUUGGACCUAUCUCAUGGGUUACUGAUAAUUGAGAUGCCUGCCCAUGGUUUUGCCCUUCAGCCUAUAAUUUCUUUCUAAUUCAUCGCAAGGUAUUUUUGAUCAAGCAGAUGGAUGGAUAAACAGUUUGGUGUACAUAGCAAAGCACUUCACCGUCAUUAUUUAUGUGUCUUAUCCUAUAUUCUUCAGGCCCUGCUUGGAUUGGGUGUAAACUUUUACACUUGUAUUUAUUUUACAGAUGUAAAUUACCGGUCACAGCUAAUUUUUCGCCUGAAAACAAAAUGACCAGUCCAGGCGUGUAUCCUAAACCAGUCGGAUACAAUCGGAAACGGGAAUCCAAGCAGGGCCUCAUUCUGUUUUGGUAGUGCAUGCUGAUUUUUCCACAACGACUGAGAGGUUAAAUAAAUCGUUUUAAAACACAUGAUGGUGAGACCUUGACAGCCAUUUCAUUUUGUUUGGUGUCAAAUUGUGUAAGAUCAGCAGAGUUGCUUGCAACACACGGUUUAAUCUACGUCCAUUAGAAGUCAGCUGCUAUCAGGACCGGCAAAGAUGCCGGACAUGGGGAGACAGGACAUGGAACAUGGACACCUCCACGGCUGGCGAAGAUUUCGACUAAGUUAACAUUUUAUAUUAAAAAAAUGUCAUGUACACUUUUGUUAAAUGAAAUAUGUUAAAAAUGUCAUGAAAUUGGCCUGGUUUAAAUGAUCGAAUGGUUUGUUCAAACACCAUCGUCUUGCACACAUCAGGCAUCCACCUCAAAGCGCAUCCACCUCCGUUCGACUAUGGUAGAGGCCAUGGCAGCCGCAGCGGCGGGUGAGAACAUCAGGUUAACUGGGGUGAGAAAGAAGGGGGAUGGCAAGUUCGCCGCAGUUAUCAAGCACCCGGUGACGAAUACAUUGUUGUGAUUGUGGACGUACCAGUCCCCCGAGCGCUGCGUGCGCGUACGACCUCGAGGCUAGGGAGCUGAAGGGCACAAAGGCAAAGCUCAACUUCCCCUACCCUCCGCCGGUCAGAUUGGUUAAGGAGGUGAUAUCUGCACCGAGGCACCGCAGCCACGGUCACGACGCACUGCUCUUUCAGGUCGUUACGUUGCCACCAGACCCCACGACACCGCUUCCACCGCCGCCCAAGUUGGUAGUUUACUUUCCCUUCCCCUUUGAAGCGCCUGCUGGCGACACCCCACAUGUGCCUGCAUACCCGUUCCUGCACAUGCCACUUCCGGCAUGAGCACGUCUUAGACUGCAGCCGGCGCACGCACAGAACUAGCAAAUAUCAAUAUGUGAAAAGUUCGUAGGCAAUGGAUCAAUGAUGGAUAAUUAUGUUGAAUGUCAUUCAUCAUGCAACAACUAUAAUCUAGGGUGUCACAAAACUAGCUCCAAUUCAUCAAUAUAAUGUAGGCAUGUAUUCCGAAUAUAGUCAUACGUGUUUAUGAAAAAGAACUUGCAUGACAUCUUUUGUCCUACCCUCCCAUGGCAGUGGGGUCCUAAUGGAAACUAAGGGAUAUUAAGGCCUCCUUUUAAUAGAGAACCGAACCAAAGCAUUAGCACUUAGUGAAUACAAGAACUCCUCAAACUAUGGUCAUCACCGAGAAGUGUCCCGACUAUUGUCACUCCGGGGUUGCCGGAUCAUAACACGUAGUAGGUGACUAUAACUUGCAAGAUAAGAUCAAGAACAAAAAUAUAUUCAUGGAACCAUAAAGGGUUCAGAUAUGAUUUCAUGGUACUCAGGCCCUAGUGACAAGCAUUAAGCAUAGGAAAGUCAUAGCAACAUCAAUCUCAAAACAUAGUGGAUACUACGGAUCAGACCCUAAGAAAACUAACUCGAUUACAUGAUAAAUCUCAUCCAACCCAUCACCGUCCAGCAAGCCUAGGAUGAAAUUACUCACGCACGGUGGUGAGCAUAGUGAAAUUGGUGUUGGAGGAUGGUUGAUGAUGACUAUGGCGACGGAUUCUCCUCUCCGGAGCCCCGAACGGACUCUAGAUCUGCCCUCCCGAUGAAGCACAGGAGGCGGCGGCGGCUCCGUAUCGUAAAACGCAAUGAAUCCUUCUCUCUCAUUUUUUUCUCCCCAAACAUGAAUAUGUGGAGUUGGAGUUGAGGUCGGUGGAAGUCCAGGGGACCCACAAGGGAGGGGGGUGCGCCUGGCGCACUCUCCGCCCUUGUAGACAGCCGGUGGGCCCUCCUCUAUUGGUUCUUUUGCCAAUAUUUUUAUAUAUUACAAAAAUAUUCUCCGUGAAGUUACAGGUCAUUCCGAGAACUUUUAUUUCUACACAAAAAUAACACCAUGGCAAUUCUGCCUAUAACAUCGUCAGUCCGGGUUAGUUUCAUUCAAAUCAUGCAAACUAGAGUCCAAAACAAGGGCAAAAUAGUUUGGAAAAGUAGAUAUGAUGGAGACGUAUCAACUCCCCCAAGCUUAACCCAUUGCUUGUCCUCAAGCAAUUGAGUUGACAAAUUGAAAGUGAUAAAUAAUUUUUUUUUACAAACUCUGUUUGAUCUUGUUGUUGCAAAUAUGUAUAUCAAGCAUUCAAAUUUUCAGCAAAGAUCAUGAACUAACCAUAUCACAAUAACAUUUAGGUCUCACAUUUACUCAUAUGAAAUGGCAUAAUCAACUAGCAAACAAUAAUAAUAAAUCUUGGAUGACAACACUUCUUCAAAACAAUCAUGAUAUGAUAUAACAAGAUGGUAUCUUGCUAGCCCUUUCUGAUACCACAAAACAUAAAUGCAGAGCACCCCUGAAGAUCAUGGACUGACUAGACAUUGUAAUUCAUUGUAAAAGAGAUCCAGUCAUAGACAUACUCAAUAUCAAUUAAUAACAACACAUACAAAUGACAGUGGUGCUCUCUAACUGGUGCUUUUUAUAAGAGGAUGAUGAAUCAGCAAUAAAAGUAGAUAGAUAGGCUCUUCGUAGAGGGAAGAACGGAUUUGCAGAGGUGCCAGAGCUCGAGCUUUUAAAACAGAGAUGAAUAAUAUUUUGAGCAGUAUGCUUUCAUUGUCAACAUAACAACCAAGAGAUCUCGGCAUCUUCCAUACUUGAUACAUUAUAGGCGGUUCCCAAACAGAAUGGUAAAGUUUUUACUCCCCCUCCACCAACAAGCACACUCCACGGCUGGUCCGAAACAACGGGAACCGUCCAACUAACAACAAUCCUGGGGGAGUUUUGUUUGAAGUUAUAAUUUGAUUUGGUUUGAGCAUGGAACUGGGCAUCUCAAUGACCAGCCAUUUUCUCAUGAAUGACGAGCGGAGUCCACUCAUUGUGAGAAUGACCCACCUAGCAUGGAAGGUAUUGAUAGCCCCCAAUCGCUACAUGAACGAUUCGGGCAUACAAAACAGAUUAUCAUUUGAAGGUUUAGAGUUUGGCACAUGCAAAUUUACUUGGAACGGCAGGUAAAUACCUCAUAUAGGUAGGUAUGGCGGACUCAUAUGGAAUAAAUUUGGGUUUAUGGAAGUGGAUGCACAAGCAGUAUUCCCGCUUAGUACAAGUGAACGCUAGCAAGAGAUUGAGGAGCGACCAACUAGAGAGCGACAACAGCCAUAAACAUGCCUUGAGAUUAACCAACAAUGAGUGCAAGCAUGAGUAGGAUAUAAAUCACCAUGAACAUAAAUAUCAUGGAGGCUAUGUUGAUUUUGUUUCAACUACAUGCGUGAACACGUGCCAAGUCAAGCCACUUGAAUAAUUCAAAGGAGGAUACCAUCCUAUCAUACUACAUCACAACCAUUUUAAAAGCAUGUUGGCACGCAAGGUAAACCAUUAUAAACUCCUUGCUAAUUAAGCAUGGCAUGAGUAACUAUAAUCUCUAAUUGUCAUUGCAAACAUAUUUCAUUCAUAAUGGGCUGAAUCAGGAACGAUGAACUAAUCAUAUUUACAAAAACAAGAUAGGUCGAGUUCAUAAUAGCUUUUCCUCAUCUCAAUCAUUUCAUGAUAUGUCGUCAUUAUUGCCUUUCACUUGCACAACCAAACAGUGUGAAUAAUAAUAAUAGUGCACGUGCAUUGGACUAAGCUGGAAUCUGCAAAUAUUUAUUCAAAGGAGAAGACAAGGUAAUAUGGGCUCUUUGCUAGAUCAACAAUAAUGCAUAUGAGAGCCACUCAUCAUUUUUCAUCGUGGUUUCUCCUCUCGACCCCAAAGAAAAGAAAAAGAAUUUCAAAGAAACACAUUGAAAUGUUUUUGGAGUUUUUGUUUUUCUGAAGCAAGAAGAACAAGUGCGAGAAAAACUAUUUACAUGGGAAAGCUCCCAACAAGCAAAAGAAGAAUGAGAAAUCUUUUUGGUUUUUUAUUUUAAUAGUACUACUACAUAAACAUGGAAAGGAAACUAAACAGAAGCUACAAAUAAUUUUUUGGUUUUUCUCAAAGUUUUUCAAACACACAAGAAGAAAGCGGGAAAAAGAUAAUAAACUAGCGUGGAUAAUACAAUGAAAAAGUAUGAACACCUACAAAUGGAAUGAAUGUGUGAACAUGAAUGUAAUGUCGGUGGGAAAUAUGUACCCCCCAAGCUUAGGCUUUUGGCCUAAGUUGGUCUACUCCCAUGGAUCAAAGUAGUCCUCUCCGGUGGACUGAGGAGGAUCCUAGGGGUUCCACUGGUUAGCGAGCACCUGCGGCUCCCACUGAUAAAUAGACUUUUGAUAUGGAUCAGGUGAUGACUCUGGCUCAGGAACUGGGGAGCGUGUCCCAUCCUAGUAUGUGUAGAUAUCUGCAGGCAUGAUGAAAUACCUGCUUGAAUGAAUAUCAAACAAAAAAGGUGCAGGAAAGGUAAUAAUCUGACAAGUCUUCUCGUUAAAUACUAGGUUAUAGAUGAGUCUCUUGUCAUCGUCUUUCUUAAUAAAAUCAUGUGCUAUCAUACUGUCAUAAUCUAAAUAUAUAGUGGGCAGCAAUUUCUCCUCUUCAUUCUCAUUUUCCUUCGAACCCCGGCUUGAAGAGCCUCUCAAUAAUCUCCUCAUCAUUUUAUCCCUUUAAAAAUCUGAAAUUUUUAAUGACUUAAAAUAAAAGUGAACCAAACUCAACAAGAUUGAUAGCAACUACUCCCACAAUUGCCUAGAGGCUAUACCAUGCAUCAAAACUACUUUGGACCAUAUAAAUUUGACAUGCAAGCUCAAGAACAGGGUCACCUAAGCAGCAAAAAAUUGCAAUAAAUAGAGCAAUAGGAUAAAAACUAAUUAGACCAUUGGAGGACUCACAUACCGUAGAGCAAUCCCCCAAAACAGUUUUGCAAAUGGAACUUUGCACAAGGAGAUAAAAUGGCAACACGAUGAGCAAGAACUCGAGUUUGAGCUACAGGAUGAUUUUUUCUGGAGGAAGACGAAGUGGAAGGGGGCUGGAAUAAGUGAGGGGGACCCACGUGGGACCCACAAGGAAGGAGGGCGUGCCCUCCACCCUGGUGGUCCACUGGUGCAGCCCCCUGGUGCAUUCUCGGUGCCAAAAUAUCUAAAAUAUUCUACAAAAAUCAUACUAAAUUUUUAGGGCAUUUGGAGAACUUUUAUUUUUUGGGCAUUUUUUAUUGAACGGAUAAUCCGGAAAAUAGAUAGAUACUACUAUUUUUGCUUUAUUAAUUCUAAAUAACAGAAAGUAAAAGUUGGGUACAGGAAGUUGUGCUUUCUAAGUUCAUCCAUCUCAUGCUCAUCAGAAGGAAUCCGUUAACAAGGUUGAAGAACAUGAAACCAGAGAACUUUCGAAUAACACUAGGGGAUAUGCAUGUCCCGAACAAUAAGAAUAUUGAUAUGUCUCCAACGUAUCUACUUUUCCAAACACUUUUGCCCUUGUUUUGGACUCUAACUUGCAUGAUUUGAAUGAAACUAACCCGAACUGACGAUGUUUUCAGCAGAACUGCCAUGAUGUUUUAUGUGUAGAAAACAAAAGUUCACGGAAGGACCUGAAAAUCCUCGGAGAUAAGUUUCAGAAAAUAUAAAAAAUACUGGCAAAAGAUGAAGACCAUGGGCCCACACCCUGGCCACGAGGGUGGGGGGCGCGCCCACCCCCUCUGGGCGCGCCCCCUGUCUCGUGGGCCCCCUGCAGCUCCGCCAACCUCAACUCCAACUCCAUAUAUUCCGUUUCACGGAGAAAAAAAUCAGGGAGGAAGUUUCAUCAUGUUUUAUGAUAUGGAGCCGCCGCCAAGCCCUAAUCUCUCUCGGGAGGGCUGAUCUGGAGUCCGUUCGGAGCUCCGGAGAGGGGGGUUCGUCAUCGUCGUCAUCAUCAACCAUCCUCCAUCACCAAUUUUAUGAUGCUCACCGCCGUGCGCGAGUAAUUCCAUCGUGGGCUUGCUGGACGGUGAUGGGUUGGAUGAGAUUUAUCAUGUAAUCAAGUUAGUUUUGUGAGGGUUUGAUCCAUAGUAUCCACUAUGUUCUGAGAUUGAUGUUGCUAUGACUCUACUACGCUUAAUGCUUGUCACUAGGGCCCGAGUGCCAUGAUUUCGGAUCUGAACCUAUUAUGUUUUCAUGAAUAUAUGUGUGUUCUUGAUCCUAUCUUGCAAGUCUAUAGUCACCUAUUGUGUGUUAUGAUCCGACAACUCCGAAGUGACAAUAAACGGGAUACUUCUCGGUGAUGACCGUAGUUUGAGGAGUUCAUGUAUUCACUAUGUGUUAAUGCUUUGGUCCGGUUCUCUAUUAAAAGGAGGCCUUAAUAUCCCUUAGUUUCCACUAGGACCCCGCUGCCAUAGGAGGGUACGACAAAAGAUGUCAUGCAAGUUCUUUUCCAUAAGCACGUGUGACUAUAUUCGGAAUACAUGCCUACAUUACAUUGAUGAUCUGGAGCUAGUUCUGUGUCACCCUGAUACGUCUGCAACGUAUCUAUAAUUUAUGAAGCAUUCAUGCUAUUUUAUUAUCUGUUUUGAAUGAUUAUGGGCUUUAUUAUACUCUUUUAUAUUACUUUUGGGACUAACGUACUAACCGGAGGCCCAACCCAUAUUGCUGUUUUAUUGCCUGUUUCAGUAUUUCGAAGAAAAUUAAUAUCAAACGGAGUCCAAACGGAAUGAAACCUUCGGGAGCGUGAUUUUUGGAAUGAACAUGAUCCGGGAGACUUGGAGUUCAAGCCAGGGAAGCUUCGAGGAGGCUAGGAGAUUGGAGGGCGCGCCCACCCCCUGUCUCGUGGGCCCCUCAAGACUCCCCCGACCGACUUCUUUCACCUAUAUAAGUCCACGUACCCUAAAAACAUCGACGGAGAAGAUAGAUCGGGAGUUCCGCCACCGCAAGCCUCUGUAGCCACCAAAAGUCAAUAGGGACCCUGUUCCAGCACCCUGCCGGAGGGGGAUCCCUCACCGGUGGCCAUCAUCAUCAUCAUCCCGGCGCUCUCCAUGACGAGGAGGGAGUAGUUCACCCUCGGGGCUGAGGGUAUGUACCAGUAGCUAUGUGUUUGAUCUCUCUCUCUCUCUCGUGUUCCCUAUAUGGCACGAUCUUGAUGUAUCGCGAGCUUUGCUAUUAUAGUUGGAUUUUAUGAUGCUUCUCCUCCUCUACUCUCUUGUAAUGGAUUGAGUUUUCCCUUUGAAGUUAUCUUAUCUGAUUGAGUCUUUAAUGAUUUGAGAACACAUGAUGUAUGUCUUGCGUGGGAUACCCGUGGUGAAAAUGGGGUAUUCUAUCGAUCCACUUGAUGUAUGUUUUGGUGAUCAACUUGCGGGUUCUGCCCAUGAACCUAUGCAUAGGGGUUGGCACACGUUUUCGUCUUGACUCUCCAGUAGAAAGUUUAGAGCACUCUUUGAAGUACUUUGUGUUGGUUGAAUAGAUGAAUCUAAGAUUGUGUGAUGCAUAUUGUAUAAUCAUGCCCACGGAUACUUGAGGUGACAAUGGAGUAUCUGGGUGACAUUAGGGUUUUGGUUGAUUUGUGUCUUAAGGUGUUAUUCUAGUACGAACUCUUGGAUAGAUUGAUCCGAAAGAAUAACUUUGAGGUGGUUUCGUACCCUACCAUAAUUUCUUCCUUUGUUCUCCGCUAUUAGUGGCUUUGGAGUGACUCUUUGUUGCAUGUUAAGGGAUUGUUAUAUGAUCUAUCUAUGUUAUUAUUGUUGAGAGAACUUGCACUAGUGAAAGUAUGAACCUUAGGCCUUGUUACCUAUCAUUGCAAUACCGUUUACGCUCACUUUUAUCAUUAGUUACCUUGCUGUUUUAUAAUUUCAGAUUACAAAUACCUUCAUCUACCAUCCAUAUUGCACUUGUAUCACCAUCUCUUCGCUGAACUAGUGCACCUAUACAAUUUACCAUUGUAUUGGGUGUGUUGGGGACACAAGACACUCUUUGCUAUUUGGUUGCAGGGUUGUUUGAGAGAGACCAUCUUCAUCCUACGCCUCCCACAGAUUGAUAAACCUUAGGUCAUCCACUUGAGGGGAAUUUGCUACUGUCCUACAAACCUCUACACUUGGAGGCCCAACAACAACUACAAGAAGAAGGUUGUGUAGUAGACAUCACACCCUAUGUUGUAGCUAUUACACGAGGAAUCGCAUAUGACAUAAUCAUCCAUCACUGAUCCAAUGCCUAUGAGCUUUUCAUAUAUUGUGCUUCGCUUAUUUACUUUUCUGUUGCUAUUGUUACAAUCACUACAAAACCCAAAAAUAUUACUUUUGCUAUCGUUACCAUUACUAUCAUACUACUUUGCUACUAAAUACUUUGCUGCAGAUACUAAGUUAUCCAGGUGUGGUUGAAUUGAGAACUCAACUACUAAUACUUAAGAAUAUUCUUUGGCUCCCCUUGUGUUGAAUCAAUUAAUUUGGGUUGAAUACUCUACCCUCGAAAGCUGUUGCAAUCCCCUACACUUGUGGGUUAUUAAGACUAAUUUAUGGCGCGUUGCCGGGGAGCAUAGCUCUAUUCUCUGAGUCACUUGGGAUUUAUAUCUGUUGAUCACUAUGAAGAACUUGAAAGAUCAAAGAACUAAAAUUUAUCCCUCAACUACGAGGGGAGGUAAGGAACUGCCAUCUAGCUCUGCACUAGAUUCUCCUUCUGUUAUGAAUAAGCUUGCAGCACCUAAACCAGCUACUGCUAUGAAUUCUGAUAUGUCGCAUGCUAUUGAUGAUGCCACUUCUGCUAUGCAUGAUACUUAUGAUGAAACUACUUCUAUGCUUGAUACUACUAUGCCAUUAGGUGAAUUUCUUGAUGAACAACUUACUAAGGCUAGGGAGAAUGAAAUUAUUGAAAAUGAAAUUAUUGAUGAAAGUGAUGAUGAAGGUUCUCCUCCUAAUUAUGAAUUGCCUGUUGUUCCUAAGGGUUAUGUUAUGGAUGAAGAAACUGCUAUAGAUUUUCUUGCUUGCAAAGAUAGAUCAGAUCUUAAGAAAUUGUUAGCUAUGCUGAAACAAAAGACUCUGAAUGCUAGAAUGAAACGUGACCCUGCUUUUGCUACUUCACCUAUCUUUGUUACAGAUAAGGACUAUGAAUUCUCUGUUGAUCCUGAGAUAAUUACUUUAGUUGAAUCCGAUCCUUUCUAUGGCACUGAAUCUGAAACUGUCGUGGCACAUCUCACCAAGUUAAAUGAUAUAGCCACCCUGUUUACUAAUGAUGAGAAGUCUCUCUACUAUUAUAUCCUUAAGAUAUUUCUGUUCUCAUUAAAGGGUGAUGCUAAGACUUGCUUUAAUUCUCUUGAUCCUGGUUGUGUGCGUUGUCCCUAGGAUAUGAUUUAUUACUUCUCUGCUAAAUAUUUCCCUGCUCAUAAGAAACAAGCUGCUUUGCGGGAAAUAUAUAACUUUGUGCAAAUCAAAGAAGAGAGCCUCCCACAAGCUUGGGGGAGGCUUCUCCGAUUACUUAAUGCUUUACCUGAUCAUCCUCUUAAGAAAAAUGAAAUACUUGAUAUCUUCUAUAAUGGACUAACUGAUGCUUCCAAGGACCACUUGGAUAGUUGUGCUGGUUGUGUUUUCAGGGAAAGAACAGUCGACGAAGCUGAAUUAUUAUUGAACAAUCUAUUGGCAAAUGAAAAUAAUUGGACUCUUCCUGAGCCAAUUCCUGAGGCAAUUCCUGAACCAAUUGAGCCAACUCCUGAGCCUAUUCCUAAACCCACUCCGAAGAAGAGAGGUGUUCUAUUUCUUAGCCCUGAAGAUAUGCAAGAGGCAUAGAAAUCAAUGAAAGAAAAAGGUAUUAAAGCCGAAGGACGUUAAGAAUUUACCUCCUAUUGAAGAAAUACAUGGUCUUAAUAUGCAUGUUAAAGAAACACAUUGUCUUGAUAACCCGACACAAGUAGUAAAGGUAAAUUCUCUCUAUAGAUAUGAUAAAGUUGAAAUUCCCUCUACUAAAUUUCAUAGCCCAUGCUUAGAUGAAUUUGAUGACUUUAUGGCUAGACAAGAAAGUUUUAAUGCUUAUGUUGGUAGAUAAUUAAAGAAUAAUGCUUUUGAGAUAGGACGCUUGAGUGAUUAUAUGUCUAGACUUAAGGGUGAACUUAAACUCACUAGUAAACAUGCUUCUAUGGUUACCAAUCAAGCUGAACAAGUACUUAAGGCUCAGAAUGAAUUGCUAGAUGAACUAAAUAAUAAACAUGACUUUGCUGUUAGAGUGGCUACUAGAACUGGUAAAAUGACUCAGGAACCUUUGUAUCCUGAAGGCCACCCUAAGAGAAUUGAACAAGAUUCUCAGAAUAAUAAUCUAGAUGCUCCUAGUUCCUCUAAGAAGAAGAAAAAGAAAAGUGAUAGGACUUUGCAUGCUUCUAAUGAACCUAAUGUAGAAACACCUGAGAAUCCUAAUAAUACUUCUAUCUCUGAUGCUGAAACACAAUCCGGAGAUGAACAUGAACCUGAUGAUAAUGCUAAUAAUGAUGUUCAUGUAGAUGCUCAACCUAGUAAUAACAAUGAUAUAUAAAUUGAACCUACUGUUGGUCUUGAUAACCCACAAUCAAGAAACCAACGUUAUGAUAAGAGAUAUUUUGUUUCUAGGAAGCAUGGUAGAGAAAGAGAACCAUGGGUUCAGAAACCCAUUCCCUUUCCUCCUAAACCAUCCAAGACAAAGGAUAAUGAGGACUUUGAGCAUUUUGUUGAAAUGAUUAGACCUAUUUUAUUACGCAUGCGCUUCACUAAUAUGCUUAAAACAAACCCUUAUGCUAAAUAUAUGAAAGAUAUAAUCACUAAUAAGAGAAAAAUACUUGAAGCUGAGAUUUCCACCAUGCUCGCUAACUAUACCUUUAAGGAAGGAAUACCUAAGAAACUUGGUGAUCUCGGAGUACCCACUAUACCAUGCUCUAUUAAAAGGAAUUAUGUUAAAACUGCUUUAUGUGAUUUAGGAGCCGGUGUUAGUGUUAUGCCUCUUUCCUUGUACCGUAGAAUUGAAUUAAGUAAGUUGACACCCACUGAGAUAUCCUUGCAAAUGGCUGAUAAAUCAACUACUAUACCUGUUGGCAUUUGUGAGGAUGUGCCUGUUGUUGUUGCAAAUGUUACUAUCUUAACAGACUUCGUCACUCUUGAUAUUCCUGAGGACGACAGUAUGUCGAUUAUCCUCGGUAGAACCUUUUUAAAUACUACAGGUGUUGUUGUUGAUUGCAACAAAGGCAAUGUCAUCUUUCAUGAUAAUGGAAAUGAGAACACAGUACAUUUUCCGAUGAAACAACCUCAAGUUCAUAGCAUAAAUUCUAUUGAGAAAAUUCCAUCAAUCAUUAUUGGAGGUUUUGAAUUUCCUCUCCCUACUGUCAAGAAAAAGUAUGAUACUGUUAUUGUUGGGGAUGUCCAUAUCCCCGUUGAGGUAACCUAGUGUCACUUCGAAAUUUCUCCGGUUCCGUGUUAUUCGGAAUGAGUUUGUUAACAAGACUUGAUCAACCUUGUUAGUGGAUUCAUUUUGGUGAUCAUGAGAUGGAUGAAACUAGAAGGCACAACCUUCUGUACCAUCUUUUUACUUUCUGUUAUUUAAAUAAAUAAAGCAAAAAUAGUAUUAUCUGUCUGUUUUCUGAAUUAUCCGUGCAAUGAAAAAUAUCCCGAAAAUAAAAGUGCUCCAAGUGCCCUGCAAAUUUAGUAUUCUUUUUUAUGGAAUAUUUGAGGAUUUUAGGCACUGAAAUCACUGCAGGAGGGUCAAGCACCAGGCCACGAGAGUGGAGGGCGCGCCCACACCCCCUGGGCGCGCCCCUUGUCUCGUGGGCCCCUGGUGGACCCCCUCCACUUAUGCCAGCACCCACACACUCCAUCUUCUUCCCAAAAAAUCCCCAUCCAGCUCUAGCACGAGUUCUAGCUCAUUUUGCUGCGAUUUUCGAUCUCCUUGCUCAAAGCUCCAUUCACAAAACUGCUUUGGGAGAUUGUUGCUUGGUAUGUGACUCCUCCAUUGGUCCAAUUAGUUUUUGUUCUAGUGCUUUAUUCAUUGCAAAUCCUUGCUGCCUUGGUGACCCUGUUCUUGAGCUUGCAUGUUAAAUUUAUGAGGUCCCAAGUAAUUAUAAUGCAUGAUAUAGGCUCUAGGCACUUGUAGGAGUAGUUGCUAUCAAUCUUGUUUAGUUUUAUUCACUUUUAUUUUGAAGUUACUAAAAAUUUAAAAAAUAUUGCAGAAAAAGAAAUAUGUUCAGGAAAAUGUACCAACGUGGUUCUUCAAGGAAGAAAGGACCCUGGCUCGCAAUACCUGAGAUCGAUGACAAAUUACUAAGGGAAGCUUAUGUACGGCCUUGUGAAUGGCCAUCGGAGCCAUUUAUGGUUGCAGCGGGUAUCAAGGAUGAAUUUGAUGCAUAUGUGCGUAAUGCUGACCUUGAGGCGUUCAUGCAAGAUAAGUGCCCGUAGUACCAGUACUUAACUGAUUCAUUUGUGAGAAGGUUUACAUUUACAUCUUCACGCAAUUCUCAUAGUGUUCUGUUUGAUAUUUAUGACAAAUCAUAUACCAUGGACCUGGAAGAUUUUACUAUUGCUUGCAAACUCCCGUAGUGGGGAAUUGUUAAUGAUCCCCACAAAUCUGAAUUUAGAGAUUUCCUUGCUAGUAUUACUGUGGGAGAGUAUAGGGAUAUUACACAAGCUACCAUAGGGAGCAUUCAUUUUCCUGCUAUACAUUAUUUUGCUCUUUUCAUUGGUAGAUGCAUUAACGGUAAAUAUGAAGCAUGUCAUAUGUGUGUGCCUGAUCUUUCUGUCCUCAAGAGUGCUAGGUUAGGUUAUAAAGAUUAUUACUUGGGGGAAAUAGUUGCACGUAGGUUGUAUAAUAAUGGUAGAGCUGGAGAUUUAUUUGGAGGAAUUUAUGCGACCCAUGUGGCAGAUUAUCUUGGUAUAGCCCCACGAGAGGGGGCUAUAAUGUUGCCUACUACUUAUUUAGAUUAUGACGCUAUGGUCCAACAUCAUUUUCUUAAGAGGAGUGAACUAUUCCUCUAGUAUCGACUAAUCUUUGACAGACGUAGCGCUGUCCAUGUUACUCUUCCUGCUCCUUUCCUUUUUGAUUACCAGGCAAAAGGAAGAUAUGUUGUUACCAGGGAGGAAGCAGCUGAACACGAGGGGAGAGCGGAGGCGGCUCGCCAACAUGCCACAGAUCAGGAGGCAUUUGCUGCUGCAUCUCAGUACGAUCCCAGUUACAUCUACGGAUAUCAGCCAGGCUACCCUUGGCAUUAGACCAACUUAGUCCAAAAGCCUAAGCUUGGGGGAGUACGUAUUUCUCGCCGACUUUACAUUCAUGUUCACACACUAUUCUAGUCGUCGGUGCUCAUACUCUUUCAUUGUAUUAUCCAUGCUAGUUUAGUUUUCUUUUUCUAGUUUUCUUCUUGUGUGUUUGAUAAACCUUAAGAAAAACCAAAAAAAUUAGUUAGUUUAAUUUCCAUGCUUGUAGUAGAAAUUAAAAUGAAAAACCAAAAAUAUUUCUCGUUCUUCUUUUACUUGUUGGUUGCUUUCCCAUGUAAAUAGUUUUAUUUUGUUUUCUUUCCUUUGGGUGUCGAGAGUAGAAGACCAUAUUGAAAUUGUUUAGCGGCUCUCAAAUGCAUGAUUGUUUAUUUAACUUAGAACCCAUAUUACCUUGUCUUCUCUCUUGAGUUGAAUGCUUGCAGAUUCCAGCUUCCAAUGCACGUGCACUAUUAUUAUUAUACACAUCAUUCAGUCGUGCAAGUGAAAGGCAAUAAUGACGAUAUAUGAUGGACUGAUUGAGAUGAGAAAAGCUGGUAUGAACUCGACCUCUCUUGUUUUUGUAAAUAUGAUGAGUUCAUCGUUCCUGAUUCAGCUCAUUAUGAAGUAAACAUAUUUGCAAUGAAAUUUAGAGAUUAUAGUUGCUUGUGCCAUGGUUGAUUAGCUAUGAGUUAUAAUGGUUUACUUUGCGUGCCAACAUGCUAUUAGAAUGAUUAUGAUGUGGUAUGAUGGGAUGGUAUCCUCCUUUGAAUACAUUGAGUGACUCGACUUGGCACAUGUUCACACAUGUAGUUGAAACAAAUCAACAUAGCCUUCAUGAUAUUUAUGUUCAUGGUGGAUUAUAUCCUACUCGUGCUUGUACUCGGUGUGAAUUAAUUUUAAUGCAUGUUUAUGACUGUUGUCGCUCUCUCAGGUUGUCGCUUCCCAGUCUUUUGCUAGCCUUCACCUGUACUAAGCGGGAAUACUGCUUGUGCAUCCAAACUCCUUAAACCCCGAAGUUAUUUCAUAUGAGUCCACCAUACCUUCCUAUAUGCGGUAUCUACCUACCGUUCCAAGUAAAUUUGUAAGUGCCAAACUCCAAACCUUCAAAUGAAAUUCUGUUUUGUAUGCUCGAGCAACUCAUGUUUUAACUAGGGCUGCCUAUAUCUUCCAUGCUAGGUGGGUUAUUCUCAAGAGGAGUGGACUCCGCUCCUCAUUGACGAGAAAGGGCCGGUAACUGGGAUGCCCAGUCCCAUGAUCCAAAAAGAUCAAAGCAAAUCAAUAUAAUUAAACAAAACUCCCCCAGGGCUGUUGUUAGUUGGAGGCACUCGUUGUUUCGAGAAAGCCAUGGAUUGAUGCUUGUUGGUGGUGGGGGAGUAUAAACUUUUACCAUUUUGUUUGGGAACUGCCUAUAAUGCAUGUAGUAUGGAAGAUAAAGCCAUCUCAUAGUUGCUGCGUUGACAGUGAAAGUAUGCCGCUCAAAAAUUUUAUUCAAUCUCUAUUUUAAAAUCGAGCUCUAGCACCUCUACAAAUCCCUACUUCCCACUGCGAAGGGCAUAUCUAUUUAAUUUUAUGUUGAGUCAUCACCUUCUUAUUAAAAAGCACCCGCUGGAGAGCACACUGUAAUUUGCAUGUAUUACUAUUGGUUUAUAUUGGGUAUGACUUGACUGGAUCUCUUUUACCAUGAAUUACAACGUUUAGUCAGUCCUUGAUCUUUAAAGGUGCUCUGCAUUUAUGUUUUGCGGUCUUAGAAACGGCUAGUGAGAUACCAUUUUGUUAUAUCAUGUUAUGAUUGUUUUGAGAAAGUGUUGUCAUCCGAGUUUUAUUAUUAUGGCUCGCUAGCUGAUUAUGCCAUUGAUAUGAGUAAUUGUGAGACCGAGGUGUUAUUGUGAGUAUGGUUAGUUCAUAAUAUUUGCUGAAACCUGAAUGCUGGCUUUGCAUGUUUAUAACAACAAGAGCAAAUAGAGUUUGUAAAAGUUUCUCUUUUUCACUUUCAGUUUAUCAAUUGAAUUGCUUGAGGACAAGCAAAGGUUUAAGCUUGGGGGAGUUGAUACGUCUCUAACGUAUCUACUUUUCCAAACACUUUUGCCCUUGUUUUGGACUAUAACUUGCACGAUUUGAAUGAAACUAACCCGGACUGACGAUGUUUUCAGUAGAACUGCCAUGAUGUUGUUUUAUGUGUAGAAAACAAAAGUUCUCGGAAUGACUGAAAAUCCUCGGAGAUAAGUUUCAAAAAAUAUAAAAAAUACUGGCAAAAGAUGAAGACCAGGGGCCCCACACCCUGUCCACGAGGGUGGGGGCACGCCCACCCCCUCUGGGCGCCCCUCUGUCUCGUGGGACCCGUACAGCUCUGCCGACCUCAACUCCAACUCCAUAUAUUCCGUUUCACGGAGAAAAAAAUCAGAGAGGAAGUUUCGUCGCGUUUUACGAUACAGAGCUGCCGCCAAGCCCUAAUCUCUCUUGGGAGGGCUGAUCUGGAGUCCGUUCGGGGCUCCGGAGAGGGGGAUUCGUCGCCGUCGUCAUCAACCAUCCUCCAACAUCAAUUUCAUGAUGCUCAUCGCCGUGCUUGAGUAAUUCCAUCGUGGGCUUGCUGGACGGUGAUGGGUUGGAUGAGAUUUAUCAUGUAAUCAAGUUAGUUUUGUUAGGGUGUGAUCCCUAGUAUCCACUAUGUUCUGAGAUUGAUGUUGCUAUGACUUUGCUAUGCUUAAUGCUUGUCACUAGGGCCCGAGUGCCAUGAUUUCAGAUCUGAACCUAUUAUGUUUUCAUGAAUAUAUGUGUGUUCUUGAUCCUAUCUUGCAAGUCUAUAGUCACCUAUUAUGUGUUAUGAUCCGACAACCCCGAAGUGACAAUAAUCGGGAUACUUCUCGGUGAUAACCGUAGUUUGAGGAGUUCAUGUAUUCACUAUGUGUUAACGCUUUGGUCCGGUUCUCUAUUAAAAGGAGGCCUUAAUAUCCCUUAGUUUCCACUAGGACCCCGCUGCCACGGGAGGGUAGGACAAAAGAUGUCAUGCAAGUUCUUUUCCAUAAGCACGUGUGACGAUAUUCGGAAUACAUGCCUACAUUACAUUGAUGAGAUAGAGCUAGUUCUAUGUCACCCUAUGUUGUAGCGAUUACAUGAGGAAUCGCAUCCGACAUAAUCAUCCAUCACUGAUCCAAUGCCUACGAGUUUUUGAUAUAGACAUGAACGAUAGCGCUAGUUGGGAGGCAACCCAAUUUUCUUUAUGUUCUUUGUUUUUGUUCCUGUUUAGUAAUAAAUUUUGUUUCUACUUUCUGUUUAGAUGUGUUUUCAUGUUUUAUUUAGUGUUUGUGCCAAGUAGAACCUAUAGGAUAACCUAUGAUAUGAGUUGAUUUGAUUCUGCUGAAAAACAGAAACUUUGCGCUCACGAGAAAAAAUUCUUUUGAUGUUGUUCAAUAAACAAAUUGUUUAGGACGUCCUAUUUUGGUAGGAUUUUUGAGGUUCCAGAAGUUUGCAUUAGUUACAUAUUGCUACAGACUGUUCUGUUUUUGACAAAUUCUGUUUUUCGUGUGUUGUUUGCUUAUUUUGAUGCAUCUAUGGCUAGUAUGUAAGGGUAUGAACCAUAUAGAACUUGGAAUACAGUAGGUUCAACACCAAUUUAAAUAAAUAAUGAGUUCAUUACAGUACCUUAUGUGGUGGUUUUGUUUUCUUUCACUAAUGGAGCUUAUGAGAUUUCCUGUUGAGUUUUGUGUUGUGAAGUUUUCAAGUUUUGGGUAAAGAUUUGAUGGACUAUGGAAUAAAGGGUGGCAAAAGCCUAAGCUUGGGGAUUCCCAAGGCACCCCAAGAUAUUCAAGAAUAGCCAAAAUCCUAAGCUUGGGGAUGCCCCCGGAAGGCAUCCCCUCUUUUGUCUUCGUUCAUUGGUAACUUUACUUGGAGCUAUAUUUUUAUUUGCUACAUGAUAUGUGUUUUGCUUGGAGCGUCGUGUAUUAUAUUAGUCUUUGCUUGUUAGUUUACCACAAUCAUCCUUGCUGUAACACACCUUUUGGGAGAAGCCUCUUUGAUUGAAAUUUAUUAGAAUACUCUAUAUGCUUCACUUAUAUCUUUUGAGCUAGAUAGUUUUUGCUCUAGUGCUUCACUUAUAUCUUUUAGAGCACGGUGGUGGAUUAAUUUUGAUGAAAUUGUUGAUCUCUCAUGCUUCACUUAUAUUAUUUUGAGAGUCUUUUUAGAACAACAUGGUAUUUGCUAUGGUUAUAAAUUGGUUCUAGAAUGUUGAGCAUCCAAGUUGGGUAUAAUAAAAACUAUCAUAGGAAGUGAAUUGGAUGCUAUGAUCAACUUGAUACUUGAUGAUUGUUUUGAGAUAGGGAGGUAGUGAUAUUAAAGUCAUGCUAGUUGGGUAAUUAUGAAUUUCAAGAAUGCUUGUGUUGAAGUUAGCAAGUCUCGUAGCAUGCACAUAUGGUUAAAGUUGUGUAACAAAUUUGAAGUAUGAAGUGUACCUGGCUUGUGCAUCCUUAUGAGUGGUGGUCGGGGACGAGCGAUGGUGUUUUCCUACCAAUCUAUCCCCCUAGGAGCAUGCACGUAGUGCUUGGUUUUUGAUGACUUCUAAAUUUUUGCAAUAAGUAUAUGAGUUCUUUUGACUAAUGUUGAGUCAAUGGAUUAUACGCACUUUUACCUUUCCAUCAUUGCUAGCCUCUUCGGUACCGUGCAUUGCCCUUUCUCACCUUCAGAGUUGGUGCAAACUUCGCCAGUGCAUCCAAACCCCGUGAUAUGAUAUGCUCUAUCACACAUAAACCUCCUUAUAUCUUCUUCAAAACAGCCACCAUACCUACCUAUUUAUGGCAUUUCCAUAGCCAUUCUGAGAUAUAUUUCCAUACAACUUUCCACCGUUCCGUUCAUCAUCAUGACAUACAUUACUUUUGUCAUAUUGCCAUUGCAUGAUCAUGUAGUUGACAUCGUAUUUGUGGCAAAGCCACCAUGCAUAUUUUUUAUACAUGUCACUCUUGAUUCAUUGCACCAUCCCGGUACACUGCCGGAGGCAUUCAUAUAGAGUCAUAUCUUGUUCUAGUUUCGAGUUGUAAUGCAUAUGUUGUAAUCAAUAAAAGUGUGAUGAUCAUCAUUAUUAGAGCAUUGCCCAAAAAAAGGGAAAGGCCAAAAAAUGUAAAGAAAGGCCAAAAGAAAAAAGAAAAAAAAGAAAAAGAAAAAAAAAUAAAAAAAAUAAAAAAAAUAAAAUAAAAGGGCAAUGCUACUAUCUCUUUUUCCACACUUGUGCUUAAAAGUAGCACCUUGUUCUUUAUUGAGUCUCAUAUAUUGUGCUUCAAAGUAGCACCAUGUUCUUCAUGUAGAGAGUCUCAUAGGUUGUCACUUUCAUAUACUAGUGGGAAUUUUUCAUUAAAGAACUUGGCUUGUAUAUUCCUACGACGGGCUUCCUCAAAUUCCCUAGGUCUUCGUGAGCAAGCAAGUUGGAUGCACACCCACUAGUUUUCUUUUGUUGAGCUUUCAUUCAUUUAUAGAUCUAGUGCAUCCGUUGCAUGGCAAUCCCUACUCCUCAUGUUGACAUCAAUUCAUGGGCAUUCCCAUAGCCCGUUGAUUAUCCUCAUCAAUGUGAGACUUUCUCCUUUUUGUAUUCUCCACACAACCCCGAAUCAUUAUUCUAUUCCACCCAUAGUGUUAUAUCCAUGGCUCAUGCUCAUGUAUUGCGUGAAGGUUGAAAAAGUUUGAGAUUAUUUAAGUAUGAAACAAUUGCUUGGCUUGUCAUAGGGGGUAUAGAAGUUGGGAACAUCUUUGUGUGACGAAAAUGAAGCAUAGCCUAAUUAUAUAAUUUUGUAGGGAUGAACUUUCUUUAGCGAUGUUAUUUUGAGAAGACAUGAUUGCUUUUAUUAGUAUGCUAGAAGUAUUACUAUUUCUUUUGUCAAUAUGAACUUUUAUCUUGAAUCAUUUGGAUCUGAACAUUCAUGCCACAAUAAACAAAAUUACAUUGAGAAUUAUGCUAGGUAGCAUUCCACAUCAAAAAAUUCUGUUUUUAUCAUUUACCUACUCGAGGACAAGUAGGAAUUAAGCUUGGGGAUGCUUGAUAUGUCUCCAACGUAUCUAUAAUUUUUGAUUGUUCCAUGCUAUUAUAUUACCUGUUUUGCAUGUUUAUGGGCUUUAUUUUAUACAUUAUGAUCAUUUUUGGGACUAACCUACUAACUGGAGGCCUAGCCCGUAUUGCUGUUUUUUUUUGCCUAUUUCAGUAUUUCGAAGAAAACGAAUAUCAAAUGGAGUCCAAACGGAAUGAAACCUUCAGAAGCGUGAUUUUUGGAACGAACGUGAUCCAGAGGACUUGGAGUGCAAGUCAAGAAGCAGUCGAGGCGGCCACAAGAGGGUAGGGCGCGCCCCCCUAUAGGGCGUGCCCCCCUGUCUUGUGGGCCCCUCAGGCGGCCACCGACGUACUUCUUCCUCCUAUAUAAGCCUACAUACCCCAAAAACAUCCGGGGAGCAACCGAAACACAAUUUCCACCACCGUAACCUUUUGUAUCCGCGAGAUCCCAUCUUGGAGCCAUCGUCGGCAUUCUGCCAGAGGGGGAUUCCACCACGGAGGGCUUCUACAUCAACACCAUAGCCCCUCCGAUGAGUUGUGAGUAGUUUACCACAAACCUUCGGGUCCAUUGUUAUUAGCUAUUUGGCUUUUUCUCUCUUUUUGGAUCUCAAUACAAUGUUCUCCCCCUCUCUUGUGGAGAUAUAUUCGAUGUAAUCUCUUUUUGUGGUGUGUUUGUCGAGAUCCGAUGAAUUGUGGGUUUAUGAUCAAGUUUAUCUAUGGAUAAUAAUUGAAUCUUCUCUGAAUUCUUUUAUAUGAUUGAGUUAUCUUUGCAAGUCUCUUUGAAUUAUCGGUUUGGUUUGGCCUACUAGAUUGAUCUUUCUUGCCAUGGGAGAAGUGCUUAGCUUUGGGUUCAAUCUUGCGGUGUUCUUACCCGGUGACAGAAAGUGUUGCAAGACAUGUAUUGUAUUGUUGCCAUCGAGGAUAAAAAGAUGGGGUUUAUAUCAUAUUGCUUGAGUUUAUCCCUCUACAUCAUGUCAUCUUGCUUAAUGCGUUACUCUGUUCUUAUGAACUUAAUACUCUAGAUGCAUGCUGGAUAGCAGUCGAUGUGUGGAGUAAUAGUAGUAGAUGCAGGCAGGAGUCGGUCUAUUUGUUGCGGACAUGAUGCCUAUAUACAUGAUCAUGCCUAGAUAACGUCAUAAUUAUUCACUUUUCUAUCAAUUGCUCGACAGUAAUUUGUUCACCCACCAUAAUACUUAUGCUCUUGAGAGAAGCCACUAGUGAAACUUAUGGCCCCCGGGUCUAUCUCUUAUCAUAUUUGCUUCCAAUCUACUUUUAUUUGCAUCUUUAUUUCUGCAUCUAUAUUAUGAAAUACCAAAAAUAUAUUUAUAUUAUCAUAUUAUCUCUAUCAGAUCUCACUUUUGCAAGUGGCCGUGAAGGGAUUGACAACCCCUUUGUCGCGUUGGUUGCGAGUUCUUUGUUAGUUUGUGUAGGUUCGUGGGACUUGUUGAGAAGCCUCCUACUGGAUUGAUACCUUGGUUCUCAAAAACUGAGGGAAAUACUUACGCUACUAUGCUGCAUCACCCUUUCCUCUUCAAGGAAAACCAACACAAGCUCAAGAGUAGCACUCUCUUCUCCCUGUGCCUCUGCUCAUCUCAUUACCGCGGUUCUAACCCAUCUUGGAAGGACUUCACGCUAGACAUGAGCUGGCAUCUUGAAGGAGUCCAGAGCACGCCUUGCCGGUGGUGAUCACGAGUGAUGCCAGCCAAAUCGGUGGUCUUCGCACUGUUUUCGUCGGCAGCCCUGCUCCGGCCAGACCUGGUUUGUCCGAGCGUGUCCAACCGCCUCCCUGCGACAUACUCUUCCCUCUGCACUCCUCUCCCCCUUCAUUUUCUUCCUCGACGUGCCAUCAUCGUCGCCGCACAGUACACGCCCGUGAGCGUCGUCGUCUUCCACCCCCGUGUCCUCUUCCUCCUCGUGUCCUCUAGUGCUGCUUGUCUCCGUGACUGUCUGUGGCUCGUCCGAUUNNNNNNNNNNNNNNNNNNNNNNNNNNNNNNNNNNNNNNNNNNNNNNNNNNNNNNNNNNNNNNNNNNNNNNNNNNNNNNNNNNNNNNNNNNNNNNNNNNNNNNNNNNNNNNNNNNNNNNNNNNNNNNNNNNNNNNNNNNNNNNNNNNNNNNNNNNNNNNNNNNNNNNNNNNNNNNNNNNNNNNNNNNNNNNNNNNNNNNNNNNNNNNNNNNNNNNNNNGACCAGCUCAGGUGCCCUUGCCCUGGCUAUAAAUAGCCCCGUCCACGACCCUCUGGAGAUCACCAGCAGCCCCCUCCUCUCUCUAAGCCUCCCCGAACCACUCUAGCAAGCCAGAGAAGCUCUACCCAACCCCCACCAUCGCCAUGGCUGCCGCCUCGGUUCCCCUUGAGGCCGGCACCACAGAGCACCUCCUCCUCCAUACCUCCACCACCAGCGAACCACCACAACUCUGGCAGUCCUCCCGGACUUUCCGCCGAUCCAUUUCCCCCACCGGAGCCACCCAAUCGCUCGACUCUGCCGCCCUAUGGUUCAGCUUGUCGUCAUGCAUUCCAUCCACCCCCGCCGCCCGGACCACCGCAGAUGGAGGCAGUGCUCGCCGGCGACCACACCCGCGCCAUCUCCUGGUCAAACUGCUCACUGAAACACCGGGGCCGGACUCCCUCACCACUGAGUCGGGACCAGGAGAGAAGAAGGAAUAAGAUGAGAAGGAGGAGAUAGAAGGAGACGUGGGGCCCGCUCGUCAGCGGGAGAAGGGCCUUGCCCAGCCGCCACGUCGUAUUAAGUGGAGACGUACUGGGCGAAGUACGCGUUCCCCAAGCGAAGGCGCAUUCUCCCACGGCCUCAUGCAAAAUGCACUUUCCCUCUUGCAAAGGCAUACUUCUGCAAAUGUGCUUUCCGCCUAGCCCACCGGUCGAAACUGUUGCUUUGUGAACUUUCGCCCGUUAAGGGCAGCAACGAACGAUUUUCUGUUUGUUUUCUUCCUAAACGAACAAACAUCGAUAACUCCGCGACCGUAACUCCGAUUGAGGUGAUUCCAAUGCUCUUGUUCUUUGUUUGUCGAGCUCUUUUCGAUGGGACUAUUUUCUUGAUGUUUGCACAUUCUGAAAAUACACAUUUUGCCCUUGCCCUAUAUCCAGCCCCUCUAAGAGAGAACCGUUCUCUGGCAAAUCUUUCCGUGAGGUGAUCGCACUUCUGCCCGGAGUAUUCCUCGACCCCCAGGCAAGCCAACCUCUUAUCAUGAGCCCUGAACUUGCAUGUUGACUUUGCUUGCAACUUGUGUGUGUGUGCGUAGUUGCUGUAGUUUCUCGUCUGUUUCGUCUGCAGUUAUUUCGGUUAUGGUAUAUGUUGUAUUGCUUGCCACGUCAUGCUUGUGCUUUCAUGAUAUAUUUUGCCAUGCUAGCUAAGAUAUUGUUGUUGAUAAUAUCAUGCCUGUGUUUUAGUUUAGUUUCAUGCCAGUAGUAUCGAUGCUAUGAUUAUUUUGGUACACCGUUGAUAUGCUUGUACCUCGUAUUGCCAUGUUCCAUGUGUUGUACUUGUUCACUUGUUCACUUGAGAAGCUUGGUAUUUUGUUAAUGCAUUUGUAUGCUGCAUGCUCAUUGUUGCAUUCAUGUUAAAUAUGCUCAUAAUGUUGAUGAUGAUGGAGAAGAUAAUAAUGUGACUUAAUAACAAACCUCCUCCAUCAUCGAUGGGAUUGAUUCAUAGUGCCACCAAAUCGAGCAUCUCCAGUGCAGCCACACUUGCCUUUAUGGGAGGACCUUAAUGCGAUCCAUUGACAUGCCUCUGGCCGGUGACUCCAAAGAGGGAAGGUUAUGGGCGUGCGCUACCCUGAUCAGGUAGGUGGACAUAAGCCUUGUGUGCCCGUGUUUGUUUGGUUUUGAGCUCAUGUCCUCGUUUGGGACCGUUUAUAGUUUUGCCACGAUGGUGGCCGUUGGAUGUCUUUGGUAGACAUCGGGGCCACCCAGGACCUAGCCCAGAGGGGAGUUGGUCGGAGUGGACGGGAGAGUGUCAUGGACAAUAGACCGGUUUUGUCGGAACACCGUUGGUCCACCUGAAUGGGAGUGCGAGGCCAUGGGUUCUGUCGUGGAUUUGUCACGUCAGAUGUCCUUAGUGUCAGGACUUAGCCGCGAGGCCAACGCAUCUAUGUGGUAGCUUGAGAGGGGUUGAGCGGAAUCGAGAGACGCAACACGAGACAAGGAUUUAGACAGCUUCGGGCCCCGGGAAACAUCAUCCGAUAAAAACCCUACAUGCUGUUUGAGGCUAGGUCUCAUUAUCAUCACGAGGGAGUCGCCGUAAACCGGCUCUCCUCUUUGUGUCUAGCCCUAAGAUUGUUUCUUGCUUCUUGUCGCUUGUCCCCUCUUUGGGGAGCCCUGCCCCUCCUUAUAUAUGUUGAAGGGGCGUGUUACAUGUGGAGUCCUAUUAGGAUUAGGACUAGUCUAUCUCUAAUGCAAACCGGGUACAAGUCCUGGUCUUAACUCCUUGUAAGGUAAAUAUUCCUCAUGCCUUUCCUGUUAAACCGGCCCACAAUAGUUGAACCGGCCUUCAUGAACCGCCAGACGGGCCACCGGGUCUUGUCGCUCCUCUGACCCGUCCGCCGGGUCACCAGUGAGUUACAACGUCCUGGCGGGUUGCUGGUAAAUUGCCAGGUCUGGGCGGGUCACCAGAUGAAAGUCGCCAAGUGCCAACGGGACCUCAAAUAAACCGCCAAGUCCGGCCGGGUUAACUUCCGACCGGUUUACACCGCGGGGUAUAUCCCCGACAUUAGCCCUCAAGUUUAGCUUGGAUUUAUCCAUGGUAAACUUAUGCUGCAAAAUAAACACCAGAACAAAUUUGGCAGGUUGUGCUCCGGGUUAAGAAUUCUUGUAGACCGGCACCUGAUCAUCCUUAAGUCCUUUGUCAUUUCAUCCUUCUAGAAAAUCCAAGUCAAUAGAUCAGCUUCAUAAUCAAUUUGCACGCAGAAAAAAUAUUGUAAAUAAAGAAUCCAUUUGAAUUGGCCUUCAAUGCUCUGACUUGACAAAAAUAUUAGUCUCUGAAAUAUUCAACUGAUAUCCAGCCGGUUUGAAGAUGUAAAACUUGCCAGUUUAUGAUUACCACCAUUGUCGGGUUAUAAAACAGAUAAUUCCGAGUCAUGAUUGUUGCAGACACCGGUUCAUGAUUGUUGCCAACGCUGGUUCAUGAUUAUUAAUGACGCCGGGUUGCAGCCACAGGGUCAUAAUGAUUGGUGACGCCAGGUCAACCUAGUUUGCUCAAUCAGAGAAUUUGAAAAUAGUUCUUCGAUAAUAUUAUAAUACCUGUAGCCCCCAAGUCUUGAGUAGAACAAAGUGAUGGCUUAAGACUUGCUUCAACAUAAAUAUUGCCACUUAAGAAGAAAUCCAUGUUGUUCAUUCCCAGUCACUUAGUAAAAACUGAAUACUCCAUAUUAUGUAGCCCCCAAGUGCCGGGUCAUUAUGCAAUAAUGAGCAGGGACUUUGUGAAUAUAAUCAUGUAGAUUUGAGCAAUGAUGUGUAGCCCCCAAGGACCGGCUCAGUAAGAUAAUAUUGAGCUGGGACUUGAUAUAUACUUCAAUGAAAAUAACAUCAUAUGAUGUAACCCCCAUCAUGGGAUUUGAAUCCACGUCCACAAGGUUAAGAGCCUUGUGCUUUACCAACUGAGCAGUGGACUCUUCAAUAUAAUGAAUAAAAGCUUUGUACCUUCAAUUGUUGACAGGAGCAAUUGGUAGCCCCCAAGGGCCGGCUCACUAUGAUAUGAUGAGUCGGGUCUUCAAUAAGAUGAGCAAAAAAAAGUACUUUGCAUUAGCCCCCAAGUGUCAUGGUGCAUGCUUGCAGCGACAUGAGACUUGCAUGUAAUCUCAAUUUGAAUAAUAUAGCCCCCAAGUGCCGGGUCGUGAGCCUGCAGCGACUCGGGACUAUUCCUUCCAUUGUAGAAUAAAUCAUAUCCUUUGAUAAAAUAAUAACUGUUGCACUAAAGAAACUUUGAAAACUCAAUAAUACCGGUUAUUAAUAACCAUAGAAAUCCAGCCAUGUUGGCUAUUCAAGAUAAUAUAAUCCGGUAUGAAAAAUUCAUCCAAUAUCAUAAUGAAAAUUCAGCCAAAUUUGGCUAUUUGAAUAAUAUAACCCAAUCAUUUAUAAGCGCAUGAUUCCAAUGGUGCAAUCCAAAUAUAUACUGGCGACGUAUAGUGCAAAGCCAGGCCAGUUUAAUAAACACCAGAUAAUUUAUAAUCAUGCUUUAUUCAACCUGUUUCUGCAUACAACAAAUUUAAAGUGUCCUGGCGGUUUACCGCCGGACGGGUCAUAAUGCCCAACAUAUAACCUGGGUUUAUAACCAAGGUUGCAUUUAAGAAUAAUCAAAUAUGAAAUAUAUCAUACCUGUGAUAUUGAAUCACAUUGCUAGUUUUACCAACUUUUUGUAGUAAAAGUGAUAACCCCAAUCUUGAGUAAUGACAACUCCUUUCAUACUGUGUCGAUUGAUGAUAAACCGUACCGGGUUGUGAUAAACACCGGUUUAACCAUAUAUAAUACUGGCAACUCGUAGUCAAGCCAAACCGGGCUGAUAGUCUCCGGAUCAUAACUUGAUCUUGUAUUGACAAUUUGUAAUUGAAAGUCAAGCCGGGUUAAUGAACACCGGUUUACUCCAUAAUAAGAUGGUAACAUAAAAUCAAACCGGGCAGAUAGUCUCCGGAUUAGGAUUUAACCGUGUUCCGUCAAUUUGUAAUUGACAGUUUGAACCGGAUUAACAAUGUCGGCUUAAAAACGCAACAGAAGUAAAAGUUCUUUAGCAAAAAAGAACAGAAUUCAAGCAAAGGCAAAAUAAAACUAUUGCAAAUGAGGCUUUACUGAGCCGAUCAGAUGGUGUUACCAUGGUCGGACACGACCAAGCUCCCAAUAAGGUGUAGCCAUGGUUCAAGUCAGCCAGGUCCCCAACUGAAACCGUGGCAUUAUGUCGAUCAAGUGGCGUGGCAAUGGUUCGGGUUCGACCAAGCCCCCAAGUGAUUCUGUGGCCUUAGGCCGAUCAAGAGGCGUGACUGGUUCAGACUUGACCAUGUCCCCAAGUGAUCUGGCGGCUUUCGCCUAUCAAAAGGUGUCGCAUUGGUUCGGACACGACCAAGGCCCCAAGUGAUAUCACAAAGCUUUUUUGAAAAGCAAAUUUCAAGGGGUAAACCGGAGGCCGCUUUAAAACAGAACCACUCCAUGUAACCACGCAUGAUGUAAAAAAGAACAGAGACCCUGCUUUAUGAAGCAGAAGCCCCCAUGAGAUCAAUAAUAUGUUAGGCCAAUAACAUGAUAUCCAUAUUUGAACCGCGCAUCAUGGCAGCAGGUCCUCUUCGGCAAUUUUUAACUUUCUUGCAAGAGAUAAAUUCUUCUUGAACCGGGAUUUUGAACCGGAUAUUGAGAGCUUCAAAGCUUUGUGGGAGACAUCUUUCCCUUGAACCGGAUUGUAAACCGGAAUCUUCAUUUUCAGCCGGAAAUUUUCUGAUGGCCGUUCAACUCGAACUUGCGAGAAGUUAAUUCCUUUUUGAACCGGACAUUUUUAAACCGGAUUUGAGCGCUUUGAGAGCUUUGUGGGAGAAUAUAUUUCCCUUGAACCGGAUUGUAAACCGGAUACUUGAGAGCUUUAGUGAGACUGACUUCCCUUGAGCCGAAUUUUAAACCGGAAUCCUUUCUGAUGAUCUGGAACUUCUUCAUUGAGCCGGGAUUUUGUAACUGUCAUAUACUUUCUAAGCCGGAAAUUUUCUGACGGCCUUCAAAUAACAGUAGCCUCCUGGACUGGGUUAUCUUUCCCUCCAUCGUCCUGGGGUUCUUAAAUUUGCUGAAACUAGCAAGAUUUGCUAAGUCAUGUCAUCGUAGCCCCCGAGUCUCAAGGUGACUCGAGGAGUUGGCUUGAAACUCUUCAUAUUUGACCAUGAUAUAAACUGACAUAACUUGUAUAUCAUUGGUGUUGAUAGCAUGAUGUAAAUCCACAUAAGGUUGAGGUGACUGCGGCGGGUUAUAAAUGAUCCCGUAUGAGCCGUGUCAGCAACUCGGCCAAUGGUUCCUUCCAACUGGCGAUUUGAAGUUAACCAAACUGUAGUGGCGGCGACUUGUGCGCCUGCCCAUUGAGCCAUCCAGUGCAAACGGCGGUUGAUAGUAUUUGAUAAUUUGCCUCCUUUUUGUUGAAAGAAAACUGGGCUACCCAAGCUGUGACUUGCUCAUACUCAAUAAACAGCUCAUGCAGACAGGUGCGGCCCGGUAUGUUGAUGUAGACCAGGCCGCGAGAGGCACACUGAAAAGCUGACCUCAACGUCAGAGGUGGCUCAAACAGAUGAACCGGCCGUGGUGUUGUAAACCGGCGCGGACGGGCAAGUUGUCCUCCUCGUUGUAAGCCGGCGUGGUCGCGAGAGACGGCCACGGCAUUGUAAACCGGCGUGGUCGCGAGAGACGGCCACGGCAUUGUAAGCUGGUGCGGGAGUCCGUUGAGUAACGACGACCACCAGUACCAAAAGAUGUUGGCGUUCCUCCAUCUCCGCGGUAUAAUAUCUCUUUUUGUCAUAAAUAAUUGCCCUGCAUAAACAAUAUUGCAGACCAAGGUAAAGAUAAACUUGUUCUUUAAUAGAAACAAUAUGUUUAAUAAAAUACACUUGGAUGAAUAUCACCUGAUAUUUUUUGCCGGUCAUUGAGACCCGGCAGAGGCAACAGGACGGCCCGCAAGGUCAAUGAGACCCAACCACGGUGACUUGGCGGCGAGGUUGCUCAGAGGCGAGGCAAGAGGUUCAAAGUUGAGGCCACAGCUAGCAGACCAAGCCAGCCACAGAGUUGAGGGCAGGGGCACCGCGGCACGGCAGAGUCAGCAGUGACGGGGGCGGUCUGGAACAUCAGCCAGCCAGAAGUGAAGCGGCGGUGAUUUGAAACAGGCAGAUGUGGCUCCGGUUUAAUGCCACCGGGCCAUGGCGGCUUGUAACCGCAGAGACAGCAACAGCGGGUGAGGCUUGAGUUGACUCGAUCCGGCGGCGGUUUGAAGAAAACAUCCGCCCGAUCAGACUGUACUCACCUCUUCCACCACUGAAUAUUGAAAUUGAUGGAUAUAUUUUUCCUUGCGUGGCUCCAUAUAAGGAAACAUAAAGACUGUUUUUGGAAAUUGUGUUUGUACCAGUACAUUUUUCCCAAAUGAUGACGGUGCUUGUAGUACUAAUCCUUAAUGCUUCUUUGGAUCGAUACCCAUGCUAGUGCUGACCUUUGAUAGCUCCCUCGUCGCUUUUGACAGCGCUUCAGGUUAUGUGAUGCAUCUCCAGAAAGGAAUCUCAUUUUUGGCUUGAUCCUCCGUCCUGGUGAUGGAUUUGGGUUCGGAUUAACAAUAUGUAGCAACGGAGUACAGCCAUGGCAACAACAAAGUCGCUUGAGGAUUCGUAGACAGCGCAGUAGACGCAGCAAACCGGCUUGGAUGUGAAGGCAAACCACUGCGUGGCUGGUGACUCGAGGGUGGAAACGAGGCUGCAGUAGCCUAGAGCACGACCACGGCAGAGGCGACUUUAGAAUAACUCAGAGGCGAGGUGGCUCGCGGAGGCCCAUGGUGGUUUGAAAACGGCGAUGGUGACUCAACGCGGCCCACGGCAGCAAAGGAAGUCGACGGGGCGGUAAGCUGGAUCAAGCACGGCUGUAUCGUUGCGGCGGCGGCUCAGGCGGAUCUUGUUCCAGGUCGUAGUUUGACUUUGGUCGUUUGAACAACUAGAACUCGGUGUUUUACUGCAGCCUGGGCAACUUACGUGUGUCUUAUAUGUAGUAAUACCACAGAUGAACCAGCCCAUGCAGCUCUCCCUGUCUUGGACUUGUUGCAUAGACAAUAGAAAUCCUACCAACGGCAACUUCUUUGCGGCGGCAGUAGAACAAACUGUAACCGAUGCAGCGACUCCCUGAUGCAGCAACUCCCUGGCGCCGUGGCCAGCCGGCCGGCUUGACGCGCCAGCUGCUACGAGGCGGAUGGACGGGGCCCGGCGGCGGCUCAUGGACAGGCCUUGGUGGAGGUCGGGAGAGUGAGGCCACGGCAAGUCGUGGAGGUCAUGGCUUGACCAGGAUUGGUGAGGGAAAACCGGCUCGAUGGCAGAGACCAAGUCUCUUGUCUAAUCCACUUACGAGUCGUGGGAUAUUUCCUUCUCUCUUCCUUUUGUUUUUCUUUUUUGGCAUCUGAACCGAAUCCAGCUUGGAGCAGUACGCAAUCGGCCUGGCUUGACUUUUGGUAAAAACAACCUUGAACCGCCGAUCGAACGAAUCUGAAACACUUGAAUCAACUGGACGUGGAUGCACCUGAUCCAAAAUUCCGUCGGUCUUGGAUACUUUUCAAUAAAACAGCGGCGGAACAGCUCGCAACCCUAAUUCCUUUGAACCUUAAAUCUGACAGAUCUUCAAUCUGGACUGAUGAACUCGUCACUGAUGCAAAUCCUUUCAAUCCAGCUUUUCUUCAUCUGAAAAAUUGCGAGCCCCUUGAUCCCUAAGAGAGAUCCUUCCAAGAACUCAACACCACCGUGCGCGAGCCCCACGGUGGGUGCCAACUGUCGUGGAUUUGUCACGUCAGAUGUCCUUAGUGUCAGGACUUAGCCGCGAGGCCAAUGCAUCUAUGUGGUAGCUUGAGAGCGGUUGAGCAGAAUCGAGAGACGCAACACGAGACAAGGAUUUAGACAGCUUCGGGCCCCGGGAAACAUCAUCCGAUAAAAACCCUACAUGCUGUUUGAGGCUAGGUCUCAUUAUCAUCACGAGGGACUCGCCGUAAACCGGCUCUCCUCUUUGUGUCUAGCCCUAAGAUUGUUUCUUGCUUCUUAUCGCUUGUCCCCUCUUUGGGGAGCCUGCCCCUCCUUAUAUAUGUUGAAGGGGUGGGUUACAUGUGGAGUCCUAUUAGGAUUAGGACUAGUCUAUCUCUAAUGCAAACCGGGUACAAGUCCUGGUCUUAACUCCUUGUAAGGUAAAUAUUCCUCAUGCAUUUCCUCUUAAACCGGCCCACAAUAGUUGAACCGGCCUUCAUGAACCGCUAGACGGGCCACCGGGUCUUGUCGCUCCUCUGACCCGUCCGCCGGGUCACCAGUGAGUUACAACGUCCUGGCGGGUUGCUGGUAAAUUGCCAGGUCUGGGCGGGUCACCAGAUGAAAGUCGCAAAGUGCCAACGGGACCUCAAAUAAACCGCCAAGUCCGGCCGGGUUAACUUCCGGCCGGUUUACACCGCGGGGUAUAUCCCCGACAGGUUUCGUGGUAUGGGUGCAAUGUGCUAACCUCUACAGAGAGUGUGUGUUAAAUCUAGCGAUAGCCGCGUCCUUGGUCAUGGGCACAGUUCGUAGUAGGUCACACUAUUGGGUCUUGGUCGAAAUGAAGGAUAAACCUGAAAUAACUAAGUUGAUAACUAAUGUGCGAUAAAGAAUGUGGUGACUUGGAUUAUGAGAUGGUCGUGAUAAGUCACGAUGAUGUUUUGAUAUGAUCACGAGACAAGGUCUCGGUGAGUCAUGAGUUGAGUUGUUUCAGAUAUGAUCAUGAAAUGAGAUCUCGGUGAGUUAUGAGUUUGCUCCAAGGAGCCGUGUGAGACGUCUCCGUCGUAUCUAUUUUUCCAAACACUUUUGCUCUUGUUUUGGACUCUAACUUGCAUGAUUUGAAUGAAACAAACCCGGACUGACGCUGUUUUCAGCAGAACUGCCAUGGUGUUAUUUAUUGUGCAGAAAAAAAAGUUCUCAGAAUGACCUGAAAAUCCAUGGAGAUAACGUUUGGAAAAUAUAAAAAAUACUGGCGAAAGAAUCAAGGCUAGGGGGCCCACACCCUGUCCACGAGGGUGGGGGGCGCGCCCCCUCCCCCUAGGCGCGCCCCCCUGUCUUGUGGGCCCCCUGGAGCUCCCCCGACCUCAACUCCUACUCUAUAUAUUCAGUUUCGCAGAGAAAAAAAUCAGAGAGAAAGUUUCAUCGCGUUUUAUGAUACGGAGCCGCCGCCAAGCCCUAAUCUCUCUCGGGAGUUCUGAUCUGGAGUCCGUUCGGGGCUCCGGAGAGGGGGAUUUGUCGCCGUCGUCAUCAUCAACCAUCCUCCAUCACCAAUUUCAUGAUGCUCACCGCCGUGCGUGAAUAAUUCCAUCAUAGGCUUGCUGGACGGUGAUGGGUUCGAUGAGAUUUACCAUGUAAUCAAGUUAGUUUUCUUAGGGUUUGAUCCCUAGUAUCCACUAUCUGAGAUUGAUGUUGCUAUGACGUUGCUAUGCUUAAUGCUUGUCACUAGGGCCCAAGUGCCAUGAUUUCAGAUCUGAACCUAUUAUGUUUUCAAGAAUAUAUGUGAGUUUUUGAUCCUAUCUUGCAAGUCUAUAGUCACCUAUUAUGUGUUAUGAUCCGACAACCCCGAAGUGACAAUAAUCGGGAUACUUCUCGGUGAUGAUAGUAGUUUGAGGAGUUCAUGUAUUCACUAUGUGUUAAUGCUUUGGCCCGGUACUCUAUUAAAAGGAGGCCUUAAUAUCACUUAGUUUCCAUUAGGACCCCACUGCCACGGGAGGGUAGGACAAAAGAUGGCAUGCAAGUUCUUUUCCAUAAGCACGUCUGACUAUAUUCGGAAUACAUGCCUACAUUAUAUUGAUGAACUGGAGCUAGUUCUGUGUCACCCUAUGUUAUAACUAUUACAUGAGGAAUCGCAUCCGACAUGAUUAUCCAUCGCUGAUCCAAUGCCUACGAGCUUUUCACAUAUUGUGCUUUGCUUAUUUACUUUUCCGUUGCUACUGCUACAAUUACUACAAAACUGCUAUCAUUACUUUUAUCACUGUUACCAUUACUAUCAUACUUCUUUGCUACUAAAUACUUUGCUGCAGAUACUAAGUUAUCUAGGUGUGGUUGAAUUGACAACUGAACUGCUAAUACUUUAGAAUAUUCUUUGGCUCCCCUUGUGUCGAAUCAAUAAAUUUGGGUUGAAAACUCUACCCUCGAAAAUUGUUGCGAUCCCCUAUACUUGUGGGUUAUCAAGACUAUUUUCUGGCGCCGUUGCCGGGGUGCUUAGCUCUAUUCUUUGAGACACUUGGGAUUUAUAUCUGUUGAUCACUAUGAGGAACUUGAAAGACGAAAGAACUAAGAUUUUUCCCUCAACUACGAGGGGAGGUAAGGAACUGCCAUCUAGCUCUGCAUUAGAUUCUCCUUCCGUUUUGAGUAAUCUUAUGACACCAAAACCUGCUACUGCUAUGAAUUCUGAUAUGUCGCAUGUUAUUGAUGGUGCCACUUCUGCUAUGCAUGAUACUUAUGAUGAAACUACUUCUGUGUUUGAUACUACUUUGCCAUUAGGUGAAUUUCUAGAUGAACAACUUGUUAGGGAUAGAGAGAAUGAAAUUAUUGAAGAUGAAAUUAUUGAUGAUAGUGAUGAUGAAGGUUCUCCCCCUAAGUAUGAAUUGCUUGUUGUUCCUGAGGGUUAUGUUAUGGAUGAAGAAGCUGCUAGAGCUAUUCUUGCUUGCAAUGAUAGAUAUGAUCUUAAGAAGUUAUUAGCUAAAUGGAAGCAGCAACCUCUGAAUGCUAGAAUGAAAUAUGACCCUGCUUUUGCCACUUGACCUAUUUUUGUUACUAAUAAGGAUUAUGAAUUCUCUGUUGAUCCUGAAAUUAUUACUUUAGUUGAAUAUGAUCAUUUUUAUGGCAAUGAAUCUGAAACUGUUGUGGCACAUCUUACUAAGUUAAAUGAUAUAGCCACCCUGUUUACUAAUGAUGAGAAGUCUCACUAUUAUUAUAUCCUUGAUAUUUCUGUUCUCAUUAAAGGGUGAUGCUAAAACUUGGUUCAAUUCUCUUGAUCCUGGUUGUGUGCGUAGUCCCCAGGAUAUGAUUUAUUACUUCUCUGCCAAAUAUUUCCCUACUCAUAAGAAACAAGCUGCCUUGCAGGAAAUAUAUAAUUUUGUGCAAAUCGAAGAAGAGAGUCUCCCACAAGCUUGGUGGAGGCUUCUCCGAUUACUUAAUGCUUUGCCUGAUCAUCCUCUUAAGAAAAAUAUACUUGAUAUCUUUUAUAAUGGACUAACCGAUGCUUCCAAGGACCACUUGGAUAGUUGUGCUGGCUGUAUUUUCAGGGAAAGAACAGUCAACCAAGAUGAAUUGCUAUUGAAUAAUAUGUUGACUAAUGAAAAUAAUUGGACUCUUCCUGAGCCAAUUCCUGAGCCAAUUGAGCCAACUCCUGAGCCAGCUCCUGAACUUAUUCCUAAACCAACUCCGAAGAAGAGAGGUGUUCUAUUUCUCAGUCCUGAAGAUAUGCAAGAGGCAAAGAAAUCUAUGAAAGAAAAAAGUAAUAAAGCUGAAGAUGUUAACAAUUUACCUCCUAUUGAAGAAAUACAUGGUCUUAAUAUACCUCUUGUCAAAGAAACACAUUGUCUUGAUAACCCGACACAGGUAGUAAAGGUAAAUUCUGUCUAUAGAUAUGAUAAAUUUGAAAUCCCGUCUACUAAAUUUCCUAGCCAAUGCUUAGAUGAAUUUGAUGACUUUAUGGCUAGACAAGAAAGUUUUAAUGCUUAUGUUGGUAGAGAAUUAAAGAGUAAUGCUUUCAUGAUUGGACGUUUGAGUGAUUAUAUGGCUAGAGUUAAAGAUGAACUAAAACUUAUUAGCAAAUAUGCUUCUGUGGUUACCACUCAAGCGGAGCAAGUACUUAAAGCUCAAAGUGAUUUGCUCGAUGAAUUGCAUAAUAAUCAUGAUUUUGCUGUUAUAGUGGCUACUAGAACUGGUAGAAUGACUCAGGAACCUUUGUAUCCUAAAGGCCACCCUAAGAUAAUCGAGCAAGAUUCUUAGAGAAAUAAUUUAGAUGCACCCAGUCCUUCUAAAAAGAAGAAAAAGAAAAAUGAUAGGACUUUGUAUGCUUCUAGUGAACCUGUUAUAGACACACCUGAGAAUCCUAAUGAUAUUUCUAUUUCGGAUGCUGAAACACAAUCAGGAGAUGAACAUGAACCUAGUGAUAAUAUUAAUGAUAGUGUUCAUGUUGAUGCUCAACCUAGCAAUAAUAAUGAUGUAGAGAUUGAACCUGUUGUUGAUCUUGAUAACCCAUGAUCGAAGAAUCAACGUUAUGAUAAGACAGACUUUGUUGCUAGGAAGCACGGUAAAGAAAGAGAAGCAUGUAUUCAGAAACCCAUGACUUUUGCUCCGAAGCCAUCCAAGAAAAAGGAUGAUGAGGAUUUUGAGCGCUUUGCUGAAAUGAUUAGACCUAUCUUCUUACUUAUGCGCUUAACUGAUAUGCUUAAAUUAAAUCUUUAUGCUAAAUACAUGAACGAUAUCAUUACAAAUAAAAGAAAGAUAUCGGAAGCUGAAAUUUCCACCAUGCUUGCUAAUUAUACCUUUAAGGGUGAAAUACCUAAGAAACUUGGAGAUCUAGGAGUACCAACUAUAUCAUGCUCCAUUAAAAUAAAUUAUGUUAAAGCUGCUUUAUGUGAUAUUGGAUCCGGUGUUAGUGUUAUGCCUCUCUCUUUAUAUCGUAGACUUGAAUUGAAUAAGUUGACACCUACUGAAAUAUCUUUGCAAAUGGCUGAUAAAUCAACUGCUAUACCUGUCAGUAUUUGUGAGGAUGUGCCUAUUGUGGUUGCAAAUGUCACUAUCUUAACGGACUUUGUUAUCCUUGAUAUUCCUGAGGACGGUAGUAUGUCGAUUAUCCUUGGUAGACCCUUUUUGAAUACUGCAGGGGCUGUUAUUGAUGGCAACAAAGGCAAUGUCACUUUUCAUGUUAAUGGUAAUGAGCAUACGGUACACUUUCCGAGGAAACAACCUCAUGUUUAUAGCAUCAAUUCUAUUGGAAAAGUUCCAACUAUCAUUGUUGGAGGUUUUGAAUUUCCUCUUCCUACUGUCAAGAAAGAAUAUGAUAUCUAUCUAUUAUCUUCUAUUAUCUAUUAUCUAUUAUCUAUUAUUUAAUUAAAACAAGAGUCAAACAAGCCACCACGUUCAUCCACAUAGAUUAAAUUAUCUUGACCGUAAAGUUGUAGAUAUAAACGGCCGAGAUUUAAUGAUAUAACUUACAUACAAAUAUUGUGUACAAACAUAUAUUGUGUUGCACAUCCAAUGUCUGCCACGAACAUGUACACAAAAGAAAAGUGCAUGCGUAUCUAGGAAGGACACGGACAAGGUUAUGGACUAUAUUAAUAAGGUGCAAUUGCUAUAGCCUGGUGAAAAGAAAGGGUCACGUACUCGGACACAAAGACGUAGCCGAAAAGUUUAUUUUUAUAUCUAGCCGAACAGUUUUUUUAGUGCAUAGACAAAGUGCCAAGUGGAUUCAACAUGCGUUGGUUCUGUACACGUAAUUAGGAAGCGGCCACAAGGAAAAAAGUCCAUAUUUUAACCUGCAAAAAAAAAGUCAAUAUUUCUCUUGGUAAACAACACGUGUAAAUAGUGGACCCUUAAAAAGAGGGAAUUCGCCCUAAAAAGAAACAAAGGAAGUGUCAGAAAGCCCGUACAAAAACGACACACGUGCAGUAUAUUUUUUGGGGUUUUUUUCUCAUAUAUUUAUACUAAUCACCACGUAAAGCAUCAUAUCUCAAUUUCAUCAUUUCGAAUAUGAUGUUGCUUACCACACAUGCCAUGUAGAUGUAUAUAUUAGUAUGGCCGUUGAAAAUUUGUAUGAGCUUCGUCAUUAUUUUUACGUACAUUAUUUGUACAUAUCAACAACUUAUAAAAAUUGUAUUGAGAAAUAAAAGUUUGAGUUAUGCAUAAAUAUGGAGCUCAAGGAGAAGUGAGCCCAAAAUUUUAAAAAUUAGAAGAAAAAUAUUAAACGGUGCUUCACAAAUUUGGAAUGAAAAAUCACAUCUAAUUUAAUAUCUCCUAAUGAAAAUGUAUACAUAUAUUAAAUACAUCUACAAAAAUCAUGUAGAAUGGCCCUUCGGAAAUUUUGACGGUUAAAACCAACUUUUUUUAAUAUAAAUCACUGGAUCCCGGGCUCCAAAAUGCAUUUGCAAUCAGACCCUCUCUUAAAAAAAAUAACGUGCGGUCAUUCACACAAUUUAUAGUGGUCUAUAGCAUGGAAAAGAGGCACACUAUGGACAGUACGAAAAACUAACUAUCUACCUAUUAUACUUAUUAAGACGAUAGAAAAUGAUCGGUGAAGAUUUAGCCAUCUAAAACAUACAUAUUUUAGCGGUGGAGAUUAGUGCAAAGCCUUUGUAAAAUCUGCAGUCUAGCGUACGUGUCUCACGUAGACCCAAAAGAGUUUCCAUCGGACAAGACUUUAUAUAUUAGGUAGGACGCGACUUGAUAUAUUAGGCUAGCGCGCAUGAGUUCCCCUAAAGAAAAUAAAGAAGGUUCCAGAUCUUCCACGUAUCAUCAAGUAAUAAAGUUGGUUAAGUUGGAUUAAAAAUCAUGUAGGAUAGCUCUGGCCGGAUUGGAAUAGAUCAGACCUUCAAGUACUAUUUUUUUAUUGGGCUGAAAAUCCAUCAAGUAUUAUUUAUGAGCACGCUUCCACACAAGCUUUAUCCGGCGAUCGUUUUCGCGAAUGCAGUUAUCGAUCUGAUCAUUCAGAGAUGAUUAGCGAUUGCACGUAGCCAAGAUUCCGGUCUGCUUCGCAAUCUCUUAAUCGAGAACUUAAACAGGGUUGCAGGACAACUGUAGGAGGUGCGGCACCGUCCACGAUGUAGGAGGCAGGCGAGAGUUGCACGGCGCACCGGCCGACGCUGCCGAGAAGUACUGAAAAAUCCUAGCGGCCAGUGUGAGUCUUUUCUUCCGUGACAAAACUCAUUUUUUCACUAAUGUGAGCUACUGUUUAAAAAAAGUGUGUCAGAGUAUACACAUUACGAAAUUAUUCUUCUUCAAAAAUAUUACUAUAUUAGAUAAUUAUUAUUUUCUAUGUUCAUCUUUUGUGUACGUAUGCAUCAGUUUAUUAAUUUGUAGCGGACAAUACAUCCACAAUUUGUUUUGUUAUUCACAAUUUUUGAAAUUUCGGUGACAGACAUGUAUUUAUCUAGCACUUAAUUAUUCGUCCCAUGCAUGAAUCUAUAAUCAGAAAAACAAAGAAUCCAUAUUACAAUUUCGUCUCCCCUCGACGGAUCCAUGGCAGUAAUUCAUUGUCAAGCACAAGGUUGGUGAAGCACGGCAACAAACCCCUAGAAUACUACAGUAGGAUGGUGUUCCAUUGUUAUAUUGCAUCCUUGCACACGCCAACAUUCACGGUGCCUGGCAAGAGCUACAGGUCUUUAGCUCACGCCAUUCACAUCGGCAGGAUCCGCCAAUGGACUCCACCAGGCUUUACAACACCAAGAUGACCACUCCAUUCAAGAUAUUAGAUAAGCAAGGCUUGGUUAGUCGGUCAAUAUAUUAGUGAGUAAUUUGGAGUUAGCGACCGAUGAUGCUGGGACGACCAUCCAUUACAAGUUGCAGAUGUAAUGUAAAACACGUGUGAGGGCAGUAUACACAUCAUUCCAUAAUAACCAAGGAAUAAAACAUGUGUGAACAAGGACACUUACAAUUUUCACCCAAUUCAACUUUUUUUUGCCGGGAUUGCUCCACUUUGCUCAAUGACCUUUGUCUAUGGAUCAUCAAAUUUCAUGACAAAUACCAUGCGUAAAUUAAUAAUCAUGUGUGGUUAUCUUUUAUAAAUUAAACUUAUACCAUUGAUUAUUAGAUAUUAGCCUUCACCUUUUAUGUGAUUAUAUUUGUCUUUGUUAUUAAUUAAGUAUUGUACAUAAACAUUUAUGAUCAAAGUUUACUAUUAGAAAAUGUGUGCCUUGCAUUUGUAAAGGAGGGACAAUGCAAUUACUUCUUUUAUCAUGCUAAACUCAUAACUUGUACAUAAACUACAAGGUCCAUGUCAUAAAGAGCAAUCUAUGAUUGACGUGAUCUUGGCUUACUGUGCCAUAGAUAGACAAGUGAAAUAGACAUAAGAACAUGGAACAAGAACAUGGGCAUGAACUGAAAAAGGAAAUUACGAUCAAAGUGGCGAAGAGAGAACGUAUAAGCAAGAUAUCAUGUCAAGUAUGUAAUGUAAUAUUUGAGUUAUGAUAAAAUUACAAAUAGCUGCAACCAAUAUAGAGAUGAUUGGAUAGAAUAAUCAUGUGCAUGCCCAUGUAAGAGAAGUCAUGUACAUGACAACAAUUAUAAAUAAUUGACAGAUGGAUGAGUGUGCCAGAGACAGUCAUAGAUGAAAUGCUUUUUUCCUCUAUAUUUGUGAAGGUUUGAAAUGAAAGUCCAUGCGAUGCACAUAUUUAGCUAUGCUAAAUAAAUAUGUCGGAGCAAAAAUGAUGGCACGAUCAGCGAAGGUAAGUUAUGAGACAAAUAACAUGGACACAAUUAGAUAAAUUAUAAAACAAGGUAUGCAAGAGUUAGCAGAGAGAUAGUGUUUUAGCAUUUUUUUUCCAGUGAAUACAAUUACAUUACAUUGAUAGGCACACGAUAAAGGAAAUUUGAGUAAGGAUUGCAUGUUUGGAUGCAUCUUGAUGCAUGGCAUUUUUGUAACCAAACCUAACUACAAUAGCACUAAUGAUGAUAAACAGAAGGAAACAUUUCAAAGGACAUUAUGAGCCACCAUGACUUGGAUUAAUUAUUAUCAGAAAUCUCCCUAAUACAAUGAUAUUUUUGAUGUCCAAUUUCUGAAGGACAAUGAGCAUAAUUGAUAAGAAAUAACACAAUCAAAGUUAAUACUGAAAUUAUAAUAAACUAAAAUUUGAAAACAUGGGAAAAUCUAGCCGCGCAAAUGCGCGGGUCACCCCACUAGUUCUUAUUAUAGGGGAUGUUCAUAUCCCCGUUGAGGUAACCUAGUGUUAUUCGAAAUUUCUCCGGUUCCAUGUUAUUCGGAAUGAGUUUGUUAACAAGACUUGAUCAACCUUGUUAGUGGAUUACUUUUGAUGACCAUGAGAUGGAUGAAACUAGAUGGCACAACCUUCUAUACCAUCUUUUUACUUUCUGUUAUUUAGAAUGAAUAAAGUAAAAAUAGGAUUUGUCCGUUUUCUGAAUUAUCCAUGCAAUAAAAAAAUAUCCCGAAAAUAAAAGUUCUCCAAAUGCCUUGCAACUUUAGUAUGAUUUUUUAUGGAAUAUUUGAGGAUUUUAGGCACUGAGAAGACAACAGGGGGGGCAAGCACCUGGCCACGAGGGUCCAGGGCGCGCCCACUCCCCUGGGCGCGCCCCCCUGCCUCGUGGGCCCCCUCCACUUAUUCUUGCACUCACACACUCCAUCUUCCUCCCAAAAAAUCCCCAUCUAGCUCAAGCACGAGUUCUAGCUCAUUUUGCUGCGAUUUUCGAUCUCCUUGCUCAAAGCUCCAUUCAGAAAACUGCUUUGGGAGAUUGUUGCUUGGUAUGUGACUCCUCCAAUGGUCCAAUUAGUUUUUGUUCUAGUGCUUUAGUCAUUGCAAAUUUUUUCCGCCGAGAUGACCCUAUUCUUGAUCUUGCAUGUCAAAUUUAUGAGGUCCCAAGUAAUUUUAAUGCAUGAUAUAGGCUCUAGGCACUUGUGGGAGUAGUUACUAUCAGUUUUGUUGAGUUUGAUUCACUUUUAUUUUGAAGUUACUAAAAAUUUCAGAAAUUUUUCAGAGGAAGAAAUAUGUUUAGGAAAAUGUACCAAGGUGGUUCCUCAACAAAGAGAGGACCCAGGCAUGCUAUGCGUGAGCAAGACGAUGAACCACCAAAGGAAGCUGAUAUUUGGCCUUGUGAAUGGCCGUCAGAAGAGUUUAUGGUUAAUGCAGGCAUCAAGGAUGAAUUUGACGCAUAUAUGCGUAAUGCCGAUCUUGAGGACUUCAUGCAAGAUAAGUGUCCUCAAUACUACCAAUUGACUGAUUCAUUCGUGAGAAGGUUUAAAUUUACAUCUUCACGUAAUUCUCUCAUUGUUCUGUUUGAUAUUUAUGAUCAAUCUUAUACCAUAGACCUGGAAGAUUUUACAACUACUUGCAAACUCCCACAGUGGGGCAAUGUUAAUGAACCCCACAAAUCUGAAUAUAAAGACUUUCUUGCUAGUAUCACUGUGGGAGAAUCUAGAGAUAUAGCACAUGCCACCAUAGGGAGUAUUCAUUUUCCUUCUAUACAUUAUUUUGCUCUCUUCAUUGGUAGAUGCAUUAACGGUAAAGAUGAAGCAUGUCACAUGUGUGUCCUUGAUCUUUGUGUCCUUAAGAGUGUUGUAUUAGGCAAUAAAAAUUACAACUUGGGGGCGAUUGUUGCACGUAGGUUGCAUAAUAAUGGUUUAGUUGGAGAUUUAUUUAGAGGGAUUUAUGCGACCCAUGUUGCUAAUUAUCUUGGUAUAUCUCCACGUGAGGGUGAUAUGGAGUUGCCUUCCGCUAAUUUAGAUUCUGACGCUAUGGUCAGGCAUCGUUUUCUUGUGAGGAAUGAACAAUUCCUCCAGUAUCAACUAAUCUUUGACAAACGUCGCGCUGUCCAUGUUACUCUACCUGCUCCUUCCCUUUUUGAUUACCAGGCAAAAAGAAGAUAUGUUGUAACGAGGGAGGAGGCAACCGAACAUGAGAGGAGAGCGGAGGCAUUGGCUGCUGCAUCCCAGUACGACCCCAGUUAUAACUUUGGAUAUCAGUCGGGCUAUCCUUUGCAUUAGACCAACUUAGGGCAAAAGCCUAAGCUUGGGAGAGUAAGUAUUUCUCACCGACAUUACAUUCAUAUUCACACACUUAUUCUAGUUGUCGGUGUUCAUACUUUUUCAUUGUAUUAUCCAUGCUAGUUUAAUUUCUUUUUCUAGUUUUCUUCUUGUGUGUUUGAUAAACCUUAAGAAAAACCAAAAAAAAUAGUUACUUUAAUUUCCAUGCUUUUAGUAGUAAUUAAAAAGAAAACCCAAAAAGAUUUCUCAUUCUUCUUUUGCUUGUUGGGAGCUUUCCCAUGUAAAUAGUUUUAUUUUCUUUUCUUUCCUUUGGGGGUCGAGAGGAGAAGACCAUAAUGAAAUUGCUUAGUGGCUCUCAUAUGCAUGAUUGUUGAUUUAAUUUAGAGCCCAUUACCUUGUCUUCUCCCUUGAAUUGAAUGCUUGCAGAUUCCAACUUAGUCCAAUGCACAUGCACUAUUAUUAUUAUACACACCGUUUGGUUGUGCAAGUGAAAGGCAAUAAUGACGAUAUAUGAUGGUCUGAUUGGGAUGAGAGAAGCUGGUAUGAACUCGACCUCUCUUGUUUUUGUAAAUAUGAUGAGUUCAUCAUUCCUGAUUCAGCCUAUUAUGAAUAAACAUGUUUGCAAUAACAAUUAGAGAUUAUAGUUUCUUAUGCCAUCCUUAAUUAGCUAGGAGCUUAUAAUGGUUUACCUUGCAUGCCAACAUGCUAUUAAAAUGGUUGUGAUGUGGUAUGAUAGGGUGGUAUCCUCCUUUGAAUGAUUCGAGUGACUUGACUUGGCACAUGUUCACGCAUGUAGUUGAAAACAAAUCAACAUAGCCUUCACGAUAUUUAUGUUCAUGGUGGAUUAUAUCCUACUCAUGCUUGCACUCUGUGUUGAUUAAUUUUAAUGCAUGUUCAUGACUGUUGUCCCUCUCUCAGUUGGUCGCUCCCCAGUCUUUUGCUAGCCUUCACCUGUACUAAGCGGGAAUACUGCUUGUGCAUCCAAACUCCAUAAACCCCAAAGUUAUUCCAUAUGAGUCCACCAUACCUUCCUAUAUGCGGUAUUUACCUGCCGUUCCAAGUAAAUUUGUAUGUGCCAAACUCCAAACCUUCAAAUGAAAUUCUAUUUUGUAUGCUCGAGCAGCUCAUGUUUCCACUAGCGCUGUCUGUAUCUUCCAUGCUAGGUGGGUUAUUCUCAAGAGGAGUGGACUCCGCUCCUCAUUCAUGAGAAAAUGGCUGGUAACCGGGAUGCCCAGUCCCAUGAUCAAAAAGAUCGAAGCAAAUCGAAAUAAUUAAACAAAACUCCCCCAGGGCUGUUGCUAGUUGGAGGAACUCGUUGUUUCGAGCAAGCCAUGGAUUGAUGCUUGUUGGUGGUGGGGGAGUAUAAACUUUACCAUUCUGUUUGGGAACCGCCUGUAAUGUAUGUAGCAUGGAAGAUAUCGAGAUCUCAUAGUUGUUGCGUUGACAGUGAAAGUAUAUCGCUCAAAAUGUUAUUCAUCUCUAUUUUAAAAUCGAGCUCUGGCACCUCUAUAAAUCCCUGCUUCCCUCUUCGAUGGGCCUAUCUAUUUACUUUUAUGUUGAGUCAUCACCCUCUUAUUGAAAAUCACCCGCUGGAGAGCACACUGUCAUUUGCAUGCAUUACUAUUAGUUUAUAUUGGGUAUGACUUGACUGGAUCUCUUUUACCAUGAAUUGCAAUGUUUAGUCAGUCCUUGGUCUUUAAAGGUGCUCUGCAUUUAUGUUUUGUGGUCUCAGAAAGGGGUAGCAAGACACCAUCUUGUUAUAUCAUAUUAUGAUUGUUUUGAGAAAAUGUUGUUAUCCGAGAUUUAUUAUUAUUGCUCGCUAGUUGAUUAUGCCAUUGAUAUGAGUAAACAAGAGACCUAAGUGUUAUUGUGAAUAUGGUUAGUUCAUAAUCUUUGCUGAAAACUUGAAUGCUUGCUUUACAUAUUUACAACAACAAGAGCAAACAGAGUUUGUAAAAGUUUUUCUUUAUCACUUUCAGUUUAUCAACUAAAUUGCUUGAGGACAAGCAAAGGUUUAAGCUUGGGGGAGUUGAUACGUCUCCGUCGUAUCUACUUUUCCAAACACUUUUGCCCUUCUUUUGGAAUCUAACUUGCAUGAUUUGAAUCAAACUAACCCGGACUGACGUUGUUUUCAGCAGAACUGCCAUGGUGUUAUUUAUUGUGCAGAAAACAAAAGUUCUCGGAAUGACCUGAAAAUCCACGGAGAUAAAUUUUGAAAAAUAUAAAAAUACUUCUUAAAGAAAUAAGGCCAGGGGGCCCACACCCUGUCCACGAGGGUGGGGGCGCGCCCCCUCCCCCUGGGCACGCCCCCUGUCUCGUGGGCCCCUUGGAGCUCCACCGACCUCAACUCCAACUCUAUAUAUUCCGUUUCGCAGAGAAAAAGUUUCAUCGCGUUUUACGAUACGGAGCCGCCGCCAAGCCCUAAUCUCUCUCGGGAGGGCUGAUCUGGAGUCCGUUCGGGGCUCCGGAGAGGGGGAUUCAUCGCCGUCGUCAUCAUCAACCAUCCUCCAUCACCAAUUUCAUGAUGCUCACCGCCGUGCGUGAGUAAUUCCAUCAUAGGCUUGUUGGACGGUGAUGGGUUGUAUGAGAUUUACCAUGUAAUCAAGUUAGGUUUGUUAGGGUUUGAUCCCUAGUAUCCACUAUGUUUUGAGAUUGAUGUUACUAUGACUUUGCUAUGCUUAAUGCUUGUCACUAGGGCCCGAGUGCCAUGAUUUCAGAUACGAACCUAUUAUGUUUUCAUGAAUAUAUGUGAGUUCUUGAUCCUAUCUUGCAAGUCUAUAGUCACCUAUUAUGUGUUAUGAUCCGACAACCCCGAAGUGACAAUAAUCGGGAUACUUCUCAGUGAUGACAGUAGUUUGAGGAGUUCAUGUAUUUACUAUGUGUUAAUGCUUUGGUCUGGUAUUCUAUUAAAAGGAGCCUUAAUAUCCCUUAGUUCCCAUUAGGACCCCGCUGCCACGGGAGGGUAGGACAAAAGAUGUCAUGCAAGUUUUUUUCCAUAAGCACGUAUGACUAUAUUCGGAAUACAUGCCUACAUUAUAUUGAUGAACUGGAGCUAGUUCUGUGUCACCCUAUGUUAUAACUAUUACACGAGGAAUCGCAUCUGACAUAAUUAUCCAUCAUUGAUCAAAUGCCUACGAGCUUUUCACAUAUUAUUCUUUGCUUAUUUACUUUUUUGUUGCUACUGUUGCAACUACUACAAAACUGCUAUCGUUACUUUUAUCACUGUUACCAUUACUAUCAUACUACUUUGCUACUAAGUACUUUGCUGCAGAUACUAAGUUAUCCAGGUGUGGUUGAAUUGACAACUCAACUGCUAAUACUUGAGAAUAUUCUUUGGCACCCCUUGUGUCGAAUCAAUAAAUUUGGGUUGAAUACUCUACCCUCAAAAACUGUUGCGAUCCCCUAUACUUGUGGGUUAUCACCGUGGCAGAGUAAGAGAUUGUUGCCUAAAGUUAAUACAACAUGUCUUCACGGGAGGUAACUGGUAGUUUAUUUUCAGCAUAGUCAUGCAUGAAUCCAUGUCUCGUAGUUUCAUGAUGCCAUACCAUGCUUGAUUGAAAUGCUAGAUUAUGCCAUGUUUUGAUAUGCCAUGUUAUGAUUGAGAUUCUAUGCCAUGUUUUGCUAUUGCCAUGUUAGAAGCAUGUUUUGAUGUGCCAUGUUAUUGCCAUGCUAGUAGAUGCUAUGAUGUUGUCCAUGCUUAGUUUGAUCUAUGUCUCUAGUUAAUACCAUGCCAUCUUAGUAAUUGUUAUGAGAUAGGUUGUUGCAUGCGCUUGGUUCUCGCUUUGUCAUCUUCUUGUUUGGAUGCUAUAUAUUUGGUUGUCUUGCAAGUACAUUCAAUGUACUGACCUGGCAUGUCAUGCCAGUUUGUAGGUCGUGCCUGGAUUGCUUGCUUGUUUGGUCACGCUAGGCCGUAACCUUGCCAGUCCGGUGAGUUGUGGAGCCCAGCCAGAGUCGAUAUGCUGCCAAACCAAGACUUCCGCUGCCAUUUAGAUAGCCUUAGAGCUAUUCCAGAUGAUUGUAUUCAUCAAUGCUGUAAUCUUAUAUACAUGUAUUUGAUGAAUAUUCUUGUACCUGGAAUGCUGUAUCAUGGACCUGUUGUGUGUCAGGUGUUAUCCUGGGCUGACGUGCGAAGCCCCCCUGCUCCAUGCGGAUCGGGGUGCCACAUUCUUCUCUACAAUUGUGAUAUUUUAUUUAAAACAAAAAUUGUAUUGCUUCCUAUCCAUAAUGAGAACAUCCAGGAAAUCAUAAAAAAGUUGACCAUUUCAAAGUUUGAGCACAGUAAUUAAAAUGGUGCCCUCGCAUAUGUGAGGAACACUUUGCAAGUGUCAUCUAAAUGAAAACUUGUUAAGAAUCUGUUGGGGAACGAAGCAUGAGAAUAAAAAAAAUCUAUGAACACCCAAGAUCUAUCUAGGAGAAGCAUAGCAAUGAGAGGGGAGAGUGUGUCCACGUACUCUUGUAGACCGUUAAGCGGAAGCGUAUAUCACACAGUUGAUGUAGUCGUACUCUUCAUGAUCCAAUCGCGAUCCAAACUGAUGAAGUACCGAACGGAUGACCUCCGUGUUCAGCACACGUACGGAUCGAUGAUGUCUCCUCCACCUUGAUCCAACAAGCUAGGGAGGAGAAGUAAAUGGGAUUGCCGGUAGGACGAUGGCGUGACGAUGAUGGUGGUGGAGUGAUUCUGGUGAGGCUACGCCGAACGCUACUGAAACAAUGAAGAUGGAGGACUUACGAAGUAAUGGGAGAGAGGGGGGCAAGGGCUUGUGUUUCCUCUUCGAGCGCCCCCUCCCCUCUAUAUAUAUAGGUGGAGGGGCGUGGUGGCCAGCCCUCCAAGCCCUAGGGUCGCACAAAGGGGGAGGAGUUGGAUUCCUAGUCCAAUUCCCUUUUUUUUCGUACACAGGUGGAGUUUACACCUCUCCCAAGCCACAUGGGCCUUGAGGAACUUGUGCGCCUGGCCCAAUAAGACUAGGGUGUCUUCCCUCAGCCCAUGCUGGCCCUUGGAACAUGGUGGAACCCUUGGUGGACUUCUGGACUCCUCCGGAAGUUUCCGAAACCUUCUGGAAGCCUUUUCUGGAACCCUAGAAAGCAACUUUCCAUAUAUAAAUCUUUACCUCCGGACCUUUCCGGAGCUCCUCGUGAUAUCCGGGAUCUCAUCCGGGACUCUGAACAAUAUUUGGUGACCAACAUGCAUAUCCCAAUAUUACUCUAGCAUCGCCGAAUGUUAAGCGUGCGGACCCUACGGGUGAGAGAAUCAUGUAGACAUGACCGAGACACCUCUCCGGUCAAUAACCAAUAGCAGAACCUGGAUGCCCAUAUUGGUUCCUAAUAUUGUAAAAAUAUCUUUUAUUAGUUGAACCACGAUGUCAAGGAUUUGGUUAAUCCCGUGUGCAAUUCCCUUUGUCAGGCGAUAUGUUACUUGCCCGAGAUUCGAUCGGUAUCUCCAUACCUAGUUCAAUCUCGUUACCGGCAAGUCUUUUUACUCGUCCCGUAAUACAAGAUCUCGUGACUAACUCAUUAGCCACAUUGCUUGCAAGAUCUUUACAAUGUUGUAUUACCGAGAGGGCCCAGAGAUAUCUCUCCGUCACACGGAGUGACAAAUCCCAGUCUCGAUCCAUGCCAACCCAAUAGACACCUUCGGAGAUACAUGUAGAACAUCUUUAUGAUCACCCUGUUACGAAGUGAUAUUUGAUAGCACACAAGGUAUUCCUCCGGUAUCUGGGAGUUGCAUGAUCACAUGGUCUUAGGAAUAGAUACUUGAAAUGAAGAAAGCUAUAGCAAUAAACUCACGUGAUACAAUCGAAUGCUAAGCUUACAGUUGGGUAUCAAAUGAUGUGAUCCCGUUAUCAAAUGACAACUCAUGUGUAUGGUUAGGAAACCUUAACCAUCUUUGAUCAACGAGCUAUUCUAGUAUAGGCUCACUAGGGACAUAGUAUUUGUUUAUAUAUUCACACAUGUAUUUAAGUUUUAGGUCAAUACAAUUCUAGCAUGAAUAAUAAAUCUUUGUCAUGAACAAGGAAAUAUGAUAAUAACCAAUUUAUUAUUGCCUCUAGGACAUAUUUCCAACAUAAUCUAUUACCUUUUAAGAAAAAACUCAAUUUUUUUGUCUUCCUAAAUCCUAUACUCGUAAAAAGUUCAUUCCCACUAAAAGCAAAAUAUUCUUAAAAAGUUAAUGCCAACUACAAUCAAUUCUCUCAACAUGCAUCCCUCCACCUCAGAAAGUGUUUAAUGUCGGCAUUCACUAUUUUUUAGCCAUGCACCACAUCCACUACCUUUAGGUCUUACAACAUGCACUCACCAACCUCACAAAGACAUGCAUGUUUGCCACAUGACAAUUAUUCAUCUGCUUAUCGAAGUCAUGCAUCUUAGACAAACUCAUGUCAUUAGCAUGCCAUCUUAUUGAUGUGGUACUGAAUAUUAACUCAAACUGAUAGUAUAUAUUGAUCGUUAUGGUGUGGAUUAAAGAGUGAAAAUAUGAAUUGCAGAAUGCAAUAUGUUCUUACAAGUAUUGGCCGGUGUGUCGUCUAUUUGUAAAUACUAAGGGCAUCAAGGUCUCUUGGCGCCGCAAGGAAUCCAACAAUGUACACCCAUUGAUGUGCGAACGUGUCUACUUGUCUGAAAUCCCGCCAACUGGAUGCAAAGCAGGGGAGGUUGGCAGGCUUACGAGCCACCGCCAUGUACCCGUUCGACACCCCAGUCCCAUGAAAAUAUUCUCUCGAGCACACGCCAUCUCCGGCGCAACUGCACCUCCACUCUCCAUGUUGCAUUCAUGCCGGCCUAGAGGGGACGCGACCGGUCACAAGAGCCGACAUUAAAUGGGAGUGCUGGCCGAGAACGCCACCCCCAUCACGUCCCGGUCUCCCCACCAAUUCAAUGCCGGAGAGACGUGACAUGAUGGGGCGACGAGAUGACUAUCUACCGCAUUGACGGGGGAGCAACCGCCAUCACCAGUGUCAGUGUUUUGUCUGGCGCAGGGGGAGCAAAGCUACAACCUCUCCAACCUCCCACAUCACGGGAUGGCUUUGGGACAAAUUUACGGUGACUUCGCAAGCGAGGAGGCCACGACGACCAUGGCCUCAGAGGACCCGAAAUUCAUCGACCAGGAGGGAGCGCUCUACGAGACCACGUGCAACGCUCGCGCCGGCUGCAACGCGGUCAUGGUGGAGGCGGCCACGGCUGCUUAGGCGAUCACGAACGGGAACAGGUAUAUUGGCAGCUCUGCGUCACCCACAGUACCAUCGUGCCAAAAUGACCAUGAGUCCGGCCUGUCCACGUCCAUCUUGGACCUCACAUCGACUGGCGACAUCCAAGCUAGCAACGGAAUUCGACAAGGAAGUGUAGAGCAUGGGAGACGAAGGGGUCCGUAUCCCAUGUGUCCAUGCCCGUGUCCCAUUCCUUACUCUUCAUCGCCGGCGAGACACAACUUCACUUUGCGGAGCUCAGGCCCGGCAAAGAUGCUGGGCAUGGGGAAGACAGGACAUGGAACAAGGACGCAUCCACGGCUGGCGAAGAUUUAGACUAGACUAACAUUUUAUGUUAAAAAAUGUCAUGUACACUUUUUAAAAUGAAAUAUGCAAAAAUGUCAUGAAUUUAAUCCAGUUUAAAUGAUCAUCCGGUUUGUUCAAAUACCGUUUAAAAUGUGUCCGGAUGUUUGAUGGAUAUGGUUGAAUGCUCGGCUCCUAUAUCACUGUCCGUGGACAGAUACUGUGUCCGUUUUAGGGAUAGCAUUGUAGAUACUCUAAUGCCUUUUUUUCUUGAAAAGCUCUAGAAGGCUAUAAGACUAUUUGGAGAUACGCCCAAGGAAAUGAUAAAAAUAGAAAUACCGAAUAUUAAUUUGACAAUCUGACUUGAGAUGUUUUUUAUCAGAAAAAGAAUUUAAUUUAUUUUAAAAAGUACUCUAACCGAUAAAUUCCUAACUUAGCAAUGAUGCUUAACCACGUUUGAAAGAAAUGCAUUGGUAGAAAAGACAACGUUCAUUUAAGAAAAGACAAACUUCACACGAUAUAUGUAUAAGCAGCAGAAAAGUGAGGUUCCCAUCGGCUAAGCACACGUAAUCUAGGUCUCAUCCCAUCUGGGGCAUCAGAUGAUAAGCUAGACUGACGUGUAAAGUGCCUGUAUCCGGCGCCUUUUGGUUACGAGAGCACGCGCUCGGCCGAGGAGAUGCAUGCAGUCGCGCGAUAACAAAAACGGCAAAGCGAUGAAAGCAGUAAAAUCAGCAAUGCAAGCUGCACUAGUGUACUUGAUCCCUUUAGGUACACACCAUGGUAUAUAUCUUUUGUCGUGUUAAUCAGCGUUCCGUUCCAAGCGAGGACGCGCGAAAAAGCAGUCGCCUGACCAGCAACGUGUAUACGAGUAUAAGCUAGGGGAUAUACAACCAAAACAAAAGUGAAAAGUAACAAUGCAAGCUGUAAGGCGUGGUUCUUUACGUGCACACCAUCAUAUAUAUUUUUUGUCAGUGUUCAUAACCACUCUCCGUUCCUGGUGAGGCGGCGUGGUUCCAGUGGAGCUGAUACGUACGUACGCGACGCACGACAUGAUGCCGGCUGGGUAAGCUGCGCAAAACCCGCUAUUAAAAUUCAUCGUCUUGCACACAUCCGACAUCCACCUCAAAGGGCAUCCGCCUCCAUCCGACUGUCGUAAAGGCCAUGGCAGCUGCAGCGGCGGGUGAGAACAGCAAGUUAACUGGAGUGAGAAAGAAGGGGGAGGGCAAGUUCGCCGCAACGAUCAAGCACCUGGUGACAAAGACACUGUUGUGGCUGGGGACGUACUCUUCCCCCGAGGUCACCGCCUGUGCCUAUGAGCUCGCGGCUAGGGAGCUGAAGGGCAUAAAGCCAAAGCUCAACUUCCCCUACCCUCCGCCGUCCAGACUAGUUAAGGAGGUGAUCGCUGCACCGAGGCACCGCAGCCAUGGUCAUGACACACCGCUCUUUAAAGUCGUUAUAAGGGAAUCAUGGAACAUCUCAACCAGCCCACUUGUUUCAGUAGGCAUUGUUUCUUAUUUUAUGAGUAAGGAAGCUUUCAUGUGAAAAUCAAAUAAUGUUUACACAAGAACAGCAAUAAGUACUCUCCACAAAACCAAGGAAUUAAGAGAGAGAACGGUUAAAUCUGGGUGAAGGAAUCAACUCGAAAUUAAAAAAUCAAUCGACCACUUCACCAUUCUAUAACUUAAAUUGGCGCUUAACUUGUUAUAUUACAACAUGGGCAGAUUCAGUUUCAGAAUAUGGUGCCCACAAAUAUUUGGAACGCAGUCCACAACCUAGUCCAGCACACAUCUAGUCUUCAUGUCUACUAUAGUCAAUAUAUAAAUAAAUCGAGACACUUCCACUGGAAAAAGUUAAUAACAGAUGAAAACAUGCGCAAUACAACUAGGCCAUGAGCAAUUGAGGAAAACCUUAGUCAUGAACUCAAUGCCACUGAUGGCGGCAAAAGCGGCUGAGAGAGCAUGCGAAACAAUGGAGGGUCACUAGUAGAAAAGGUGGCACUAGUCCAGGCCGGGCCAGCCCAUUAGUCCCGGUUCAAUCCAGAACCGGGACCAAUGGGGGCAUUGGACCCGGUUCGUGAGCCCCGGGGGCCGGCCGGGCCACGUGGGCCAUUGGUCCCGGUUCGUCUGGACCUUUUGGUCCCGGUUGGUGGGACGAACCGGGACCAAUGGUCCUCGCUCCUGGCCCACCACUAUUGGUCCCGGUUGGAGGCAUGAACCGGGAUCAAAGGCCGCCCAUUAGUCCCGGUUCAUACCACCAACCGGGACUAAAGGGUUGGUCCUCGUUGCGGUCAGAGUUUAGUCCCACCUCGCCAACCGAAGGGGGCUCACACCGGUUUAUAAGCCCCUCCCUCUCUGCCUUGUUGAGCUCCUCUCAAAAUGAAAAUAGAUGCCCUUAUACAGGAAAUUUGACCUAAAUUCAUACUGAAUUUCUCUGUAGUUAGUAGAAAUUUAUUAUGAAUUUAGGUUGAAUUUUCUCUAUAAGCGCAUUUAUGCUCAUUUUUUAGUAAAGUUAAUCACAACUAUUUUUUCUUCUAUUUAUUUCUAAGUAGUUUUUUAUAUAGUUUUUUUCUUUUCUGCUAUAUUUAUUUUUUCUAUUUAUUUCUGAGNNNNNNNNNNNNNNNNNNNNNNNNNNNNNNNNNNNNNNNNNNNNNNNNNNNNNNNNNNNNNNNNNNNNNNNNNNNNNNNNNNNNNNNNNNNNNNNNNNNNNNNNNNNNNNNNNNNNNNNNNNNNNNNNNNNNNNNNNNNNNNNNNNNNNNNNNNNNNNNNNNNNNNNNNNNNNNNNNNNNNNNNNNNNNNNNNNNNNNNNNNNNNNNNNNNNNNNNNNNNNNNNNNNNNNNNNNNNNNNNNNNNNNNNNNNNNNNNNNNNNNNNNNNNNNNNNNNNNNNNNNNNNNNNNNNNNNNNNNNNNNNNNNNNNNNNNNNNNNNNNNNNNNNNNNNNNNNNNNNNNNNNNNNNNNNNNNNNNNNNNNNNNNNNNNNNNNNNNNNNNNNNNNNNNNNNNNNNNNNNNNNNNNNNNNNNNNNNNNNNNNNNNNNNNNNNNNNNNNNNNNNNNNNNNNNNNNNNNNNNNNNNNNNNNNNNNNNNNNNNNNNNNNNNNNNNNNNNNNNNNNNNNNNNNNNNNNNNNNNNNNNNNNNNNNNNNNNNNNNNNNNNNNNNNNNNNNNNNNNNNNNNNNNNNNNNNNNNNNNNNNNNNNNNNNNNNNNNNNNNNNNNNNNNNNNNNNNNNNNNNNNNNNNNNNNNNNNNNNNNNNNNNNNNNNNNNNNNNNNNNNNNNNNNNNNNNNNNNNNNNNNNNNNNNNNNNNNNNNNNNNNNNNNNNNNNNNNNNNNNNNNNNNNNNNNNNNNNNNNNNNNNNNNNNNNNNNNNNNNNNNNNNNNNNNNNNNNNNNNNNNNNNNNNNNNNNNNNNNNNNNNNNNNNNNNNNNNNNNNNNNNNNNNNNNNNNNNNNNNNNNNNNNNNNNNNNNNNNNNNNNNNNNNNNNNNNNNNNNNNNNNNNNNNNNNNNNNNNNNNNNNNNNNNNNNNNNNNNNNNNNNNNNNNNNNNNNNNNNNNNNNNNNNNNNNNNNNNNNNNNNNNNNNNNNNNNNNNNNNNNNNNNNNNNNNNNNNNNNNNNNNNNNNNNNNNNNNNNNNNNNNNNNNNNNNNNNNNNNNNNNNNNNNNNNNNNNNNNNNNNNNNNNNNNNNNNNNNNNNNNNNNNNNNNNNNNNNNNNNNNNNNNNNNNNNNNNNNNNNNNNNNNNNNNNNNNNNNNNNNNNNNNNNNNNNNNNNNNNNNNNNNNNNNNNNNNNNNNNNNNNNNNNNNNNNNNNNNNNNNNNNNNNNNNNNNNNNNNNNNNNNNNNNNNNNNNNNNNNNNNNNNNNNNNNNNNNNNNNNNNNNNNNNNNNNNNNNNNNNNNNNNNNNNNNNNNNNNNNNNNNNNNNNNNNNNNNNNNNNNNNNNNNNNNNNNNNNNNNNNNNNNNNNNNNNNNNNNNNNNNNNNNNNNNNNNNNNNNNNNNNNNNNNNNNNNNNNNNNNNNNNNNNNNNNNNNNNNNNNNNNNNNNNNNNNNNNNNNNNNNNNNNNNNNNNNNNNNNNNNNNNNNNNNNNNNNNNNNNNNNNNNNNNNNNNNNNNNNNNNNNNNNNNNNNNNNNNNNNNNNNNNNNNNNNNNNNNNNNNNNNNNNNNNNNNNNNNNNNNNNNNNNNNNNNNNNNNNNNNNNNNNNNNNNNNNNNNNNNNNNNNNNNNNNNNNNNNNNNNNNNNNNNNNNNNNNNNNNNNNNNNNNNNNNNNNNNNNNNNNUGUAGUAAGUGCUACUUUAUUUAUUUAUAGUAAGUGCUACUUUAUUUAUUUAUAGUAAGUGCUGCUUUGUUUUUAGUAAGUACUACUUUAUUUAUUUAUAGUAAGUGCUUAGUAGUUGAACUAGAUAGUUGAUUUAAUUAAUAAAACUACUUUAUUUAACUAUAUAUAGAAGUAGUUUGUAGUAAGUGCUACUUUAUUUAUUUAUAGUAAGUGCUACUUUAUUUAUUUAUAGUAAGUGCUACUUUGUUUUUAGUAAGUACUACUCUAUUUAUUUAUAGUAAUUAAGUGCUUAGUAGUUGAACUAGAUAGUUGAUUUAAUUAACAAAACUACUUUAUUUAACUAUAUAUAGAAGUACGUAGUUCCCGCAUCGACGUCGGCGAUGCCUAUCCCGCAUCCUCGUCGUCGUCGACUCGGCGGUGGAGGCCUGCUUGAUCAGGACCAUGUUCGGGACUGGGCUCCGCCGGGCUGGUAUUGGGAGGUGCUACCUUCUGGGGGACGUAGGUUGGUGAGGAGGCAGCCCAUUGUUGACCCGAUACUUGUUUAGUGGCGGUCGCGUGGGCCAUGACGGUGCCGAGACUUCCGGACACCGCGGAGGUGGUAUGUCACCGUGUCAGCGAGGAGGACGAGCACGUCCGUCGCUACAUGGUUGCGUUGGAGGGCAGGUUCGACAAUACCUGGCAGGUUCUUCAGGGAUCUCACUGGAGCUAUGAUCAUGUGAUCGUUCCUUAUCUUUGGGUGUCCACCGCCCGCGACGAUACCCGUCGGGCGCUACGGUUCUAGCUGUAUUAAUUAGCGAUGCCAUAUGUAUGAUAGUAUUCGAGGAGUAUUCAACAAUGUACAGACACAAGAGAUGAUGUACUUUUGGUUAUAAUUGAAUGCAUGCUAAUUUGAAUACUACUUUAUUUUACGAUUUGGUUUUGCUUAUUGAAUGCUCAUAUUGGAAAAGUACUCCUACUUUGAAUGCUAAAAUUGAAGAGCACUAUAUGCAGAAAUCUAGGAGCCCCCUCCAUCAUCCACGCCGUCGUGGGGGUAGCUUCUCUUUCAUUCCCGUGUGCUAGACAAUUUGUUGUAAUAAUGCACUCGGGAAUGAAAGGAGCUACGUACCAUCACCGAUAGUGAACCCAUGAUUAAUAAUAAUGAUCUAAUUUAGGUGUUUUAGUACAUAUAUUUAAUAUUUGAAUUAUGAACUUAGGCCAGAAAUGUCAUACUCGGACGAUGAAAACCGCCCGGGGGAGUGCGACUGGUGCCACGACGACCGAGGUAUGUGCGACAGGUUCAUUGAGCUGGACGAAGAUCGGCGCUUCAGCAUUAAGCUCGAGGAGACCUUCGAUGUUCAUACGAUACGCAACGAUGACAAUAGUUUUUUUCGUAAUUAAGCACGACUUCAACUAUUUUGACGUGUAUUUUUCAUCUUUUCCAAUUCGACUAGCUUAUCCCAUGCUUUGCAAGACGCUAUGUCUUGGAGAGGAUGGGUUUUGAAGACCAUGAAAGUAUGGAAACCAAAAAAAUUAUCCUAAGUACCCAUCAUGGUGUGGAUUUUCAAGUAAAGUUGUACAAUGCUCAGAGUGUAACCCAUUUUGGUUGCAAAAACUGGGAAGCACUGUGCAAGAUGUAUGGUUUUAAUGAGGAUAUGCUUGUCACCAUGGAUCUUGUGGAUACACCUCCAAUUCUUCCCCCAUGUGAGCUUAACAUAGUUAUUAAGUAAUUUAUAUUGUUUAUUUCAAAAUAGUUGACAACUUAUUUCCAUUGACAGCUUAUUUUCAUUCUUCAAAGAAUGUGUGGAAGAUGGUAGACAGAACCUACUACACCGAAGGCUCCGAAUUAACUUAUCAGGAAAAAAAUCAUCUGGUCACAUUUUGUACUGAUCUUGAGAAUUACAAUAUCUACAAUCAAACUCCUCAACAUUAUGGUCAAUACGUGCCACUAGUGCACGUGUUGAACUACGACAAGUACCAUGGAGAUAUCCUGGUAAGACUUUUUACUAUUACGACAUCCGUGCAUCUUUUUGCCCACUUCUAAAACUAGUACAUCAUUGCUAACUAUGAAGUUAUUACUAUGUUUUUCAAUAGAUAAUCCCGAAUGAUUGUGUGCCUCAUCUGAUGUAUACGCAUGGUAGCCUUCAUGUUUUGAACAUACAACCAGGUCUUCCUACGAAUCUGAACUGUCCAUACCGGGUUUCUAAAAGAAGUGGAGACAUGACAAUCAAAGAAUGGAAAAAAUGUAUGGACAGUCGUAAGGAGCUUCUUGGAAGCAAAAAGCAGCGAAGGGCAAGAAUUGGAGACAGGAUGAUCGCCAUUCUUCAUAAUGGAGAGUCAGGGUCUAUAUUGUUUUAUGCUAUUUUACCUUAAGGGUGUUUAGGUCAUGUCCUACCUGAUACUGAUGAUCAUGUGCUAAGAACAAUUAUGUAGGGUUGGGUUCGAUGACUAUGAGGAUGAUGAUCGUAUGACUUAUUAUUAAUAACGAGUAGAAGUUGUAUGAUGAUGCAUGAUUAGUAGGACUUGUUAUUAUAUAUGAUGAUGUAUGAUGCGAGCACGCAUGAGUUAUUAUAUCAGCGGGUGAAAUGAACAUAUAUAGCAGCAACGUUGGUAAACCAAGGACGAAGAUAUAAGAGAAGACGCUUAUCUCUAUUAGCUAGCUAAUAACAACCUAAAAAUUAACCCCCAAAACCCCUAAAGCAGCCACUUUAUUUAAAGAACAUGGACUUUUGGUCCCGGUUGGUGCCACCACCGGGAUCAAAGGCCCUCUGACUGGGCUCGGUGCACAGGGCCACGUGGAGGCACAUUGGUCCCGGUUCAUGUUUGAACCGGGACUAAUGGGUGGAGGUAUUAGUAACGACCCAUUAGUCCCGGUUCAUGAACCGGGACUAAAGGCCCUUACGAACCGGGACUAUUAGGUGUUUUUCUACUAGUGGGUUAGGUCUGUGAGGUAGUGAGUGGAGUUCAGUAGCUGUAGGUGACAUGAGGUCGUGUGUUGUCGCUUGGUGUGAGCUCAUGGCUAUUGUGUAAAACUAUUGUUGAACUAUACUUUUGGUAAAUUCUCAUCCGAUAUGCCAGAAUUAUGAUGCAUCAGGACUUCAAUAACUAUUUGUAACGUGGUUGACAGAAAAAAAUUGCUACCCAUUGUGAUGUUGUCUAUGAUUGCCCCCACAUUGGUCAAUUACUCAAAUCCUAGAUCCGCCGCUUUAUUACAAUCUUAUUCUAGCUACAAAAAACUUGCUUCAUAUAUCCCAUAACGGUACAGCCAAGAUACUAAAAUAUCAGCCAGUGGCAAAAAAGAAAGAUGUUAAUCAUACCCACUGACAUUGCAAAUACGAAAAUCACUUGAUAGAUGAAGGGGUACAAAAGUUUAACGUGUUUUUUGAGGGACAUGUUGGGUCCAUAAAAUAUGCUAGCAGUAUUAUUUGAAGAUGAAGGAUACAUUGAUGCUACAAAAAUCCCUUGAUGGAAUCGUAAUGACCACAACCAUCCUAGGAUUGAGAUUAUCAAUUCGAUAAAAUAUGCCCAUCGUAGCCUUGCAGUUACUGGUUAGUAGAAAGCAGGUUGCUAAAUUAAUAAGAAUGGAGAAGUGACACAUUUAGCUCAAAUUAAAGCAAGAUAGACUGACACAAGAAAGCAAACUGAAGAGGGGGAUUACCUGCGCCUCAUUGUUCUCCUCCACCUCCUCCUGCGGCGGCUCCUCCAACUGCUUGAUAAAUACCAAAAUAAUAAUAAUAACUUGUUAGUUAGUACCAAGUUCUACCUGUGCAAAUGCAAACUUAAGCAUGUUAACACUAAUAUAACAUGCGCAUGCUUUAUGUAAGGUAGUCUCAAUCCUAGGAUGGUUGGUCCAUCAAUUAAUUCCUAAUUUUCUAUUCAUGAUUUAAUCAUAUGAAACAGUAUAAUGAUGAAGCACUUCAAUAAAUUCAUAGCCAAACAAGAUGAGAAAUGUAUCUAUUACUCCCUCCGUCCCAAAAUAAGCGUCUCUGCUUUGGUAUAAUGGCCAAAUGUCUCUAUUUUUUGUUGGAUUUUCUGGAAUAUUGUUCCUUUUAACUCUAUAUUGUGCUUUUAGCCUAUACUCCCUCCGUCUCCAAAUAAGCGUCGCUGAUUUUAUGAGGCAAUGCUCAACUGCUAUUCCCAUCUUGUUCUGUGAAAUGUAUAGCUAAUGGGUCCAUCAUUAUGGCAUUCCCCAUGAUGACAAUUUUGUUAACAGAUAAAGACUAAUUUGAUCCUACUAAAACAAUUUCAUGGCAUCAUAAUGAGCCAAACCAUCCUAUGAUUGAGGUCGCCAAUUCGAUCAGAUAUGCCCAUGGUAGAGCCUUGCAUUUGGUGGUCAGAAGGAAAGAAGGAAAGCGGAGUAGUAAUUAGCAACAAAGAAUAUAGUUACACACUUGCAUCGAAGCAUGAGAGACACAAGAAACUAAAUGGAGAGAGAGCUUACCAGAGGCUCAUCCUCCUCCUCCUCCUCUGUCUGCAUCAGCUCCUGCAAAUACUCAUAAAUAUAAUAAUAAUAAUAAUAAUAAUNNNNNNNNNNNNNNNNNNNNNNNNNNNNNNNNNNNNNNNNNNNNNNNNNNNNNNNNNNNNNNNNNNNNNNNNNNNNNNNNNNNNNNNNNNNNNNNNNNNNCAAGCCCUAGGGUCGCACAAAGGGGGAGGAGUUGGAUUCCUAGUCCAAUUCCCUUUUUUUUCGUACACAGGUGGAGUUUACACCUCUCCCAAGCCACAUGGGCCUUGAGGAACUUGUGCGCCUGGCCCAAUAAGACUAGGGUGUCUUCCCUCAGCCCAUGCUGGCCCUUGGAACAUGGUGGAACCCUUGGUGGACUUCUGGACUCCUCCGGAAGUUUCCGAAACCUUCUGGAAGCCUUUUCUGGAACCCUAGAAAGCAACUUUCCAUAUAUAAAUCUUUACCUCCGGACCUUUCCGGAGCUCCUCGUGAUAUCCGGGAUCUCAUCCGGGACUCUGAACAAUAUUUGGUGACCAACAUGCAUAUCCCAAUAUUACUCUAGCAUCGCCGAAUGUUAAGCGUGCGGACCCUACGGGUGAGAGAAUCAUGUAGACAUGACCGAGACACCUCUCCGGUCAAUAACCAAUAGCAGAACCUGGAUGCCCAUAUUGGUUCCUAAUAUUGUAAAAAUAUCUUUUAUUAGUUGAACCACGAUGUCAAGGAUUUGGUUAAUCCCGUGUGCAAUUCCCUUUGUCAGGCGAUAUGUUACUUGCCCGAGAUUCGAUCGGUAUCUCCAUACCUAGUUCAAUCUCGUUACCGGCAAGUCUUUUUACUCGUCCCGUAAUACAAGAUCUCGUGACUAACUCAUUAGCCACAUUGCUUGCAAGAUCUUUACAAUGUUGUAUUACCGAGAGGGCCCAGAGAUAUCUCUCCGUCACACGGAGUGACAAAUCCCAGUCUCGAUCCAUGCCAACCCAAUAGACACCUUCGGAGAUACAUGUAGAACAUCUUUAUGAUCACCCUGUUACGAAGUGAUAUUUGAUAGCACACAAGGUAUUCCUCCGGUAUCUGGGAGUUGCAUGAUCACAUGGUCUUAGGAAUAGAUACUUGAAAUGAAGAAAGCUAUAGCAAUAAACUCACGUGAUACAAUCGAAUGCUAAGCUUACAGUUGGGUCUUGUCCAUCACAUCAUUCUCCUAAUGAUGUGAUCCCGUUAUCAAAUGACAACUCAUGUGUAUGGUUAGGAAACCUUAACCAUCUUUGAUCAACGAGCUAUUCUAGUAUAGGCUCACUAGGGACAUAGUAUUUGUUUAUAUAUUCACACAUGUAUUUAAGUUUUAGGUCAAUACAAUUCUAGCAUGAAUAAUAAAUCUUUGUCAUGAACAAGGAAAUAUGAUAAUAACCAAUUUAUUAUUGCCUCUAGGACAUAUUUCCAACAUAAUCUAUUACCUUUUAAGAAAAAACUCAAUUUUUUUGUCUUCCUAAAUCCUAUACUCGUAAAAAGUUCAUUCCCACUAAAAGCAAAAUAUUCUUAAAAAGUUAAUGCCAACUACAAUCAAUUCUCUCAACAUGCAGCCCUCCACCUCAGAAAGUGUUUAAUGUCGGCAUUCACUAUUUUUUAGCCAUGCACCACAUCCACUACCUUUAGGUCUUACAACAUGCACUCACCAACCUCACAAAGACAUGCAUGUUUGCCACAUGACAAUUAUUCAUCUGCUUAUCGAAGUCAUGCAUCUUAGACAAACUCAUGUCAUUAGCAUGCCAUCUUAUUGAUGUGGUACUGAAUAUUAACUCAAACUGAUAGUAUAUAUUGAUCGUUAUGGUGUGGAUUAAAGAGUGAAAAUAUGAAUUGCAGAAUGCAAUAUGUUCUUACAAGUAUUGGCCGGUGUGUCGUCUAUUUGUAAAUACUAAGGGCAUCAAGGUCUCUUGGCGCCGCAAGCAAUCCAACAAUGUACACCCAUUGAUGUGCGAACGUGUCUACUUGUCUGAAAUCCCGCCAACUGGAUGCAAAGCAGGGGAGGUUGGCAGGCUUACGAGCCACCGCCAUGUACCCGUUCGACACCCCAGUCCCAUGAAAAUAUUCUCUCGAGCACACGCCAUCUCCGGCGCAACUGCACCUCCACUCUCCAUGUUGCAUUCAUGCCGGCCUAGAGGGGACGCGACCGGUCACAAGAGCCGACAUUAAAUGGGAGUGCUGGCCGAGAACGCCACCCCCAUCACGUCCCGGUCUCCCCACCAAUUCAAUGCCGGAGAGACGUGACAUGAUGGGGCGACGAGAUGACUAUCUACCGCAUUGACGGGGGAGCAACCGCCAUCACCAGUGUCAGUGUUUUGUCUGGCGCAGGGGGAGCAAAGCUACAACCUCUCCAACCUCCCACAUCACGGGAUGGCUUUGGGACAAAUUUACGGUGACUUCGCAAGCGAGGAGGCCACGACGACCAUGGCCUCAGAGGACCCGAAAUUCAUCGACCAGGAGGGAGCGCUCUACGAGACCACGUGCAACGCUCGCGCCGGCUGCAACGCGGUCAUGGUGGAGGCGGCCACGGCUGCUUAGGCGAUCACGAACGGGAACAGGUAUAUUGGCAGCUCUGCGUCACCCACAGUACCAUCGUGCCAAAAUGACCAUGAGUCCGGCCUGUCCACGUCCAUCUUGGACCUCACAUCGACUGGCGACAUCCAAGCUAGCAACGGAAUUCGACAAGGAAGUGUAGAGCAUGGGAGACGAAGGGGUCCGUAUCCCAUGUGUCCAUGCCCGUGUCCCAUUCCUUACUCUUCAUCGCCGGCGAGACACAACUUCACUUUGCGGAGCUCAGGCCCNNNNNNNNNNNNNNNNNNNNNNNNNNNNNNNNNNNNNNNNNNNNNNNNNNNNNNNNNNNNNNNNNNNNNNNNNNNNNNNNNNNNNNNNNNNNNNNNNNNNNNNNNNNNNNNNNNNNNNNNNNNNNNNNNNNNNNNNNNNNNNNNNNNNNNNNNNNNNNNNNNNNNNNNNNNNNNNNNNNNNNNNNNNNNNNNNNNNNNNNNNNNNNNNNNNNNNNNNNNNNNNNNNNNNNNNNNNNNNNNNNNNNNNNNNNNNNNNNNNNNNNNNNNNNNNNNNNNNNNNNNNNNNNNNNNNNNNNNNNNNNNNNNNNNNNNNNNNNNNNNNNNNNNNNNNNNNNNNNNNNNNNNNNNNNNNNNNNNNNNNNNNNNNNNNNNNNNNNNNNNNNNNNNNNNNNNNNNNNNNNNNNNNNNNNNNNNNNNNNNNNNNNNNNNNNNNNNNNNNNNNNNNNNNNNNNNNNNNNNNNNNNNNNNNNNNNNNNNNNNNNNNNNNNNNNNNNNNNNNNNNNNNNNNNNNNNNGCAAAGAUGCUGGGCAUGGGGAAGACAGGACAUGGAACAAGGACGCAUCCACGGCUGGCGAAGAUUUAGACUAGACUAACAUUUUAUGUUAAAAAAUGUCAUGUACACUUUUUAAAAUGAAAUAUGCAAAAAUGUCAUGAAUUUAAUCCAGUUUAAAUGAUCAUCCGGUUUGUUCAAAUACCGUUUAAAAUGUGUCCGGAUGUUUGAUGGAUAUGGUUGAAUGCUCGGCUCCUAUAUCACUGUCCGUGGACAGAUACUGUGUCCGUUUUAGGGAUAGCAUUGUAGAUACUCUAAUGCCUUUUUUUCUUGAAAAGCUCUAGAAGGCUAUAAGACUAUUUGGAGAUACGCCCAAGGAAAUGAUAAAAAUAGAAAUACCGAAUAUUAAUUUGACAAUCUGACUUGAGAUGUUUUUUAUCAGAAAAAGAAUUUAAUUUAUUUUAAAAAGUACUCUAACCGAUAAAUUCCUAACUUAGCAAUGAUGCUUAACCACGUUUGAAAGAAAUGCAUUGGUAGAAAAGACAACGUUCAUUUAAGAAAAGACAAACUUCACACGAUAUAUGUAUAAGCAGCAGAAAAGUGAGGUUCCCAUCGGCUAAGCACACGUAAUCUAGGUCUCAUCCCAUCUGGGGCAUCAGAUGAUAAGCUAGACUGACGUGUAAAGUGCCUGUAUCCGGCGCCUUUUGGUUACGAGAGCACGCGCUCGGCCGAGGAGAUGCAUGCAGUCGCGCGAUAACAAAAACGGCAAAGCGAUGAAAGCAGUAAAAUCAGCAAUGCAAGCUGCACUAGUGUACUUGAUCCCUUUAGGUACACACCAUGGUAUAUAUCUUUUGUCGUGUUAAUCAGCGUUCCGUUCCAAGCGAGGACGCGCGAAAAAGCAGUCGCCUGACCAGCAACGUGUAUACGAGUAUAAGCUAGGGGAUAUACAACCAAAACAAAAGUGAAAAGUAACAAUGCAAGCUGUAAGGCGUGGUUCUUUACGUGCACACCAUCAUAUAUAUUUUUUGUCAGUGUUCAUAACCACUCUCCGUUCCUGGUGAGGCGGCGUGGUUCCAGUGGAGCUGAUACGUACGUACGCGACGCACGACAUGAUGCCGGCUGGGUAAGCUGCGCAAAACCCGCUAUUAAAAUUCAUCGUCUUGCACACAUCCGACAUCCACCUCAAAGGGCAUCCGCCUCCAUCCGACUGUCGUAAAGGCCAUGGCAGCUGCAGCGGCGGGUGAGAACAGCAAGUUAACNNNNNNNNNNNNNNNNNNNNNNNNNNNNNNNNNNNNNNNNNNNNNNNNNNNNNNNNNNNNNNNNNNNNNNNNNNNNNNNNNNNNNNNNNNNNNNNNNNNNNNNNNNNNNNNNNNNNNNNNNNNNNNNNNNNNNNNNNNNNNNNNNNNNNNNNNNNNNNNNNNNNNNNNNNNNNNNNNNNNNNNNNNNNNNNNNNNNNNNNNNNNNNNNNNNNNNNNNNNNNNNNNNNNNNNNNNNNNNNNNNNNNNNNNNNNNNNNNNNNNNNNNNNNNNNNNNNNNNNNNNNNNNNNNNNNNNNNNNNNNNNNNNNNNNNNNNNNNNNNNNNNNNNNNNNNNNNNNNNNNNNNNNNNNNNNNNNNNNNNNNNNNNNNNNNNNNNNNNNNNNNNNNNNNNNNNNNNNNNNNNNNNNNNNNNNNNNNNNNNNNNNNNNNNNNNNNNNNNNNNNNNNNNNNNNNNNNNNNNNNNNNNNNNNNNNNNNNNNNNNNNNNNNNNNNNNNNNNNNNNNNNNNNNNNNNNNNNNNNNNNNNNNNNNNNNNNNNNNNNNNNNNNNNNNNNNNNNNNNNNNNNNNNNNNNNNNNNNNNNNNNNNNNNNNNNNNNNNNNNNNNNNNNNNNNNNNNNNNNNNNNNNNNNNNNNNNNNNNNNNNNNNNNNNNNNNNNNNNNNNNNNNNNNNNNNNNNNNNNNNNNNNNNNNNNNNNNNNNNNNNNNNNNNNNNNNNNNNNNNNNNNNNNNNNNNNNNNNNNNNNNNNNNNNNNNNNNNNNNNNNNNNNNNNNNNNNNNNNNNNNNNNNNNNNNNNNNNNNNNNNNNNNNNNNNNNNNNNNNNNNNNCAGCCCAUUAGUCCCGGUUCAAUCCAGAACCGGGACCAAUGGGGGCAUUGGACCCGGUUCGUGAGCCCCGGGGGCCGGCCGGGCCACGUGGGCCAUUGGUCCCGGUUCGUCUGGACCUUUUGGUCCCGGUUGGUGGGACGAACCGGGACCAAUGGUCCUCGCUCCUGGCCCACCACUAUUGGUCCCGGUUGGAGGCAUGAACCGGGAUCAAAGGCCGCCCAUUAGUCCCGGUUCAUACCACCAACCGGGACUAAAGGGUUGGUCCUCGUUGCGGUCAGAGUUUAGUCCCACCUCGCCAACCGAAGGGGGCUCACACCGGUUUAUAAGCCCCUCCCUCUCUGCCUUGUUGAGCUCCUCUCAAAAUGAAAAUAGAUGCCCUUAUACAGGAAAUUUGACCUAAAUUCAUACUGAAUUUCUCUGUAGUUAGUAGAAAUUUAUUAUGAAUUUAGGUUGAAUUUUCUCUAUAAGCGCAUUUAUGCUCAUUUUUUAGUAAAGUUANNNNNNNNNNNNNNNNNNNNNNNNNNNNNNNNNNNNNNNNNNNNNNNNNNNNNNNNNNNNNNNNNNNNNNNNNNNNNNNNNNNNNNNNNNNNNNNNNNNNNNNNNNNNNNNNNNNNNNNNNNNNNNNNNNNNNNNNNNNNNNNNNNNNNNNNNNNNNNNNNNNNNNNNNNNNNNNNNNNNNNNNNNNNNNNNNNNNNNNNNNNNNNNNNNNNNNNNNNNNNNNNNNNNNNNNNNNNNNNNNNNNNNNNNNUUUCUGGGUGGUAAUAAGUCAUUAAAAAUAAGCAUCUAUGCUCAUUUUUUUAGUAAAGUUAAUCACAACUAUUUUUUCUUCUAUUUAUUUCUGAGUAGUUUUUUAUAUGUUUUUUUUUCUUUUAUGCUAUAUUUAUUUUUUUCUAUUUAUUUCUUUGUGGUAAUAAGUCAUUAAAAAUAAAAAAGAGGCUUAAUGCUAGUUAAUUCGCUUCAAGCCUUUCGGAAUAGUGUAAACUGCACUGCACAUAGCUCCGUGCAGUCUACCCUAUUCCUCAAGGCUUGAAGCGAACCAACGUGCAGGAGAGCAUUGAGCCUCUUCUUCAUCAUCUCUGCACUCAGGGCUUAUAAACAGCUGUGAGUGCCUCUCGCUUGGCGAGGUGGGACUAAAAAACAACUGCAGAAAGAAUCAACUAAAAAACAGCUGCAGAAAAUAAAUAAGUAAUUAGACGGGUCCAUUGGUACCGGUUGGUGGCUCCAACCGGCACCAAUGCCCCUCUUUAGUCCCGGUUGGAGGCACCAACCGGGACCAAUGCCCCUCUUUAGUCCCGGUUGGUGGCACCAACCGGGAUCAAAGCCCCCUGCUUCCCGCCCUUUGGGCUACUGAAAAGAGGCCUUUGGUCCCGGUUGGUGGCACCAACCGGGACUAAAAGGGGCAUUGGNNNNNNNNNNNNNNNNNNNNNNNNNNNNNNNNNNNNNNNNNNNNNNNNNNNNNNNNNNNNNNNNNNNNNNNNNNNNNNNNNNNNNNNNNNNNNNNNNNNNNNNNNNNNNNNNNNNNNNNNNNNNNNNNNNNNNNNNNNNNNNNNNNNNNNNNNNNNNNNNNNNNNNNNNNNNNNNNNNNNNNNNNNNNNNNNNNNNNNNNNNNNNNNNNNNNNNNNNNNNNNNNNNNNNNNNNNNNNNNNNNNNNNNNNNNNNNNNNNNNNNNNNNNNNNNNNNNNNNNNNNNNNNNNNNNNNNNNNNNNNNNNNNNNNNNNNNNNNNNNNNNNNNNNNNNNNNNNNNNNNNNNNNNNNNNNNNNNNNNNNNNNNNNNNNNNNNNNNNNNNNNNNNNNNNNNNNNNNNNNNNNNNNNNNNNNNNNNNNNNNNNNNNNNNNNNNNNNNNNNNNNNNNNNNNNNNNNNNNNNNNNNNNNNNNNNNNNNNNNNNNNNNNNNNNNNNNNNNNNNNNNNNNNNNNNNNNNNNNNNNNNNNNNNNNNNNNNNNNNNNNNNNNNNNNNNNNNNNNNNNNNNNNNNNNNNNNNNNNNNNNNNNNNNNNNNNNNNNNNNNNNNNNNNNNNNNNNNNNNNNNNNNNNNNNNNNNNNNNNNNNNNNNNNNNNNNNNNNNNNNNNNNNNNNNNNNNNNNNNNNNNNNNNNNNNNNNNNNNNNNNNNNNNNNNNNNNNNNNNNNNNNNNNNNNNNNNNNNNNNNNNNNNNNNNNNNNNNNNNNNNNNNNNNNNNNNNNNNNNNNNNNNNNNNNNNNNNNNNNNNNNNNNNNNNNNNNNNNNNNNNNNNNNNNNNNNNNNNNNNNNNNNNNNNNNNNNNNNNNNNNNNNNNNNNNNNNNNNNNNNNNNNNNNNNNNNNNNNNNNNNNNNNNNNNNNNNNNNNNNNNNNNNNNNNNNNNNNNNNNNNNNNNNNNNNNNNNNNNNNNNNNNNNNNNNNNNNNNNNNNNNNNNNNNNNNNNNNNNNNNNNNNNNNNNNNNNNNNNNNNNNNNNNNNNNNNNNNNNNNNNNNNNNNNNNNNNNNNNNNNNNNNNNNNNNNNNNNNNNNNNNNNNNNNNNNNNNNNNNNNNNNNNNNNNNNNNNNNNNNNNNNNNNNNNNNNNNNNNNNNNNNNNNNNNNNNNNNNNNNNNNNNNNNNNNNNNNNNNNNNNNNNNNNNNNNNNNNNNNNNNNNNNNNNNNNNNNNNNNNNNNNNNNNNNNNNNNNNNNNNNNNNNNNNNNNNNNNNNNNNNNNNNNNNNNNNNNNNNNNNNNNNNNNNNNNNNNNNNNNNNNNNNNNNNNNNNNNNNNNNNNNNNNNNNNNNNNNNNNNNNNNNNNNNNNNNNNNNNNNNNNNNNNNNNNNNNNNNNNNNNNUACUAUAUAGUAAGUGCUACUUUGUUUUUAGUAAGUACUACUUUAUUUAUUUAUAGUAAGUGCUUAGUAGUUGAACUAGAUAGUUGAUUUAAUUAAUAAAACUACUUUAUUUAACUAUAUAUAGAAGUAGUUUGUAGUAAGUGCUACUUUAUUUAUUUAUAGUAAGUGCUACUUUAUUUAUUUAUAGUAAGUGCUACUUUGUUUUUAGUAAGUACUACUCUAUUUAUUUAUAGUAAUUAAGUGCUUAGUAGUUGAACUAGAUAGUUGAUUUAAUUAACAAAACUACUUUAUUUAACUAUAUAUAGAAGUACGUAGUUCCCGCAUCGACGUCGGCGAUGCCUAUCCCGCAUCCUCGUCGUCGUCGACUCGGCGGUGGAGGCCUGCUUGAUCAGGACCAUGUUCGGGACUGGGCUCCGCCGGGCUGGUAUUGGGAUGUGCUACCUUCUGGGGGACGUAGGUUGGUGAAGAGGCAGCCCAUUGUUGACCCGAUACUUGUUUAGUGGCGGUCGCGUGGGCCAUGACGGUGCCGAGACUUCCGGACACCGCGGAGGUGGUACGUCACCGUGUCAGCGAGGAGGACGAGCACGUCCGUCGCUACAUGGUUGCGUUGGAGGGCAGGUUCGACAAUACCUGGCAGGUUCUUCAGGGAUCUCACUGGAGCUAUGAUCAUGUGAUCGUUCCUUAUCUUUGGGUGUCCACCGCCCGCGACGAUACCCGUCGGGCGCUACGGUUCUAGCUGUAUUAAUUAGCGAUGCCAUAUGUAUGAUAGUAUUCGAGGAGUAUUCAACAAUGUACAGACACAAGAGAUGAUGUACUUUUGGUUAUAAUUGAAUGCAUGCUAAUUUGAAUACUACUUUAUUUUACGAUUUGGUUUUGCUUAUUGAAUGCUCAUAUUGGAAAAGUACUCCUACUUUCAAUGCUAAAAUUGAAGAGCACUAUAUGCAGAAAUCUAGGAGCCCCCUCCAUCAUCCACGCCGUCGUGGGGGUAGCUUCUCUUUCAUUCCCGUGUGCUAGACAAUUUGUUGUAAUAAUGCACUCGGGAAUGAAAGGAGCUACGUACCAUCACCGAUAGUGAACCCAUGAUUAAUAAUAAUGAUCUAAUUUAGGUGUUUUAGUACAUAUAUUUAAUAUUUGAAUUAUGAACUUAGGCCAGAAAUGUCAUACUCGGACGAUGAAAACCGCCCGGGGGAGUGCGACUGGUGCCACGACGACCGAGGUAUGUGCGACAGGUUCAUUGAGCUGGACGAAGAUCGGCGCUUCAGCAUUAAGCUCGAGGAGACCUUCGAUGUUCAUACGAUACGCAACGAUGACAAUAGUUUUUUUUCGUAAUUAAGCACGACUUCAACUAUUUUGACGUGUAUUUUUCAUCUUUUCCAAUUCGACUAGCUUAUCCCAUGCUUUGCAAGACGCUAUGUCUUGGAGAGGAUGGGUUUUGAAGACCAUGAAAGUAUGGAAACCAAAAAAAUUAUCCUAAGUACCCAUCAUGGUGUGGAUUUUCAAGUAAAGUUGUACAAUGCUCAGAGUGUAACCCAUUUUGGUUGCAAAAACUGGGAAGCACUGUGCAAGAUGUAUGGUUUUAAUGAGGAUAUGCUUGUCACCAUGGAUCUUGUGGAUACACCUCCAAUUCUUCCCCCAUGUGAGCUUAACAUAGUUAUUAAGUAAUUUAUAUUGUUUAUUUCAAAAUAGUUGACAACUUAUUUCCAUUGACAGCUUAUUUUCAUUCUUCAAAGAAUGUGUGGAAGAUGGUAGACAGAACCUACUACACCGAAGGCUCCGAAUUAACUUAUCAGGAAAAAAAUCAUCUGGUCACAUUUUGUAUUGAUCUUGAGAAUUACAAUAUCUACAAUCAAACUCCUCAACAUUAUGGUCAAUACGUGCCACUAGUGCACGUGUUGAACUACGACAACUACCAUGGAGAUAUCCUGGUAAGACUUUUUACUAUUACGACAUCCGUGCAUCUUUUUGCCCACUUCUAAAACUAGUACAUCAUUGCUAACUAUGAAGUUAUUACUAUGUUUUUCAAUAGAUAAUCCCGAAUGAUUGUGUGCCUCAUCUGAUGUAUACGCAUGGUAGCCUUCAUGUUUUGAACAUACAACCAGGUCUUCCUACGAAUCUGAACUGUCCAUACCGGGUUUCUAAAAGAAGUGGAGACAUGACAAUCAAAGAAUGGAAAAAAUGUAUGGACAGUCGUAAGGAGCUUCUUGGAAGCAAAAAGCAGCGAAGGGCAAGAAUUGGAGACAGGAUGAUCGCCAUUCUUCAUAAUGGAGAGUCAGGGUCUAUAUUGUUUUAUGCUAUUUUAGCUUAAGGGUGUUUAGGUCAUGUCCUACCUGAUACUGAUGAUCAUGUGCUAAGAACAAUUAUGUAGGGUUGGGUUCGAUGACUAUGAGGAUGAUGAUCGUAUGACUUAUUGUUAAUAACGAGUAGAAGUUGUAUGAUGAUGCAUGAUUAGUAGGACUUGUUAUUAUAUAUGAUGAUGUAUGAUGCGAGCAUGCAUGAGUUAUUAUAUCAGCGGGUGAAAUGAACAUAUAUAGCAGCAACGUUGGUAAACCAAGGACGAAGAUAUAAGAGAAGACGCUUAUCUCUAUUAGCUAGCUAAUAACAACCUAAAAAUAACCCCCAAAACCCCUAAAGCAGCCACUUUAUUUAAAGAACAUGGACUUUUGGUCCCGGUUGGUGCCACCACCGGGAUCAAAGGCCCUCUGACUGGGCUCGGUGCACAGGGCCACGUGGAGGCACAUUGGUCCCGGUUCAUGUUUGAACCGGGACUAAUGGGUGGAGGUAUUAGUAACGACCCAUUAGUCCCGGUUCAUGAACCGGGACUAAAGGCCCUUACGAACCGGGACUAUUAGGUGUUUUUCUACUAGUGGGUUAGGUCUGUGAGGUAGUGAGUGGAGUUCAGUAGCUGUAGGUGACAUGAGGUCGUGUGUUGUCGCUUGGUGUGAGCUCAUGGCUAUUGUGUAAAACUAUUGUUGAACUAUACUUUUGGUAAAUUCUCAUCCGAUAUGCCAGAAUUAUGAUGCAUCAGGACUUCAAUAACUAUUUGUAACGUGGUUGACAGAAAAAAAAUUGCUACCCAUUGUGAUGUUGUCUAUGAUUGCCCCCACAUUGGUCAAUUACUCAAAUCCUAGAUCCGCCGCUUUAUUACAAUCUUAUUCUAGCUACAAAAAACUUGCUUCAUAUAUCCCAUAACGGUACAGCCAAGAUACUAAAAUAUCAGCCAGUGGCAAAAAAGAAAGAUGUUAAUCAUACCCACUGACAUUGCAAAUACGAAAAUCACUUGAUAGAUGAAGGGGUACAAAAGUUUAACGUGUUUUUUGAGGGACAUGUUGGGUCCAUAAAAUAUGCUAGCAGUAUUAUUUGAAGAUGAAGGAUACAUUGAUGCUACAAAAAUCCCUUGAUGGAAUCGUAAUGACCACAACCAUCCUAGGAUUGAGAUUAUCAAUUCGAUAAAAUAUGCCCAUCGUAGCCUUGCAGUUACUGGUUAGUAGAAAGCAGGUUGCUAAAUUAAUAAGAACGGAGAAGUGACACAUUUAGCUCAAAUUAAAGCAAGAUAGACUGACACAAGAAAGCAAACUGAAGAGGGGGCUUACCUGCGCCUCAUUGUUCUCCUCCACCUCCUCCUGCGGCGGCUCCUCCAACUGCUUGAUAAAUACCAAAAUAAUAAUAAUAACUUGUUAGUUAGUACCAAGUUCUACCUGUGCAAAUGCAAACUUAAGCAUGUUAACACUAAUAUAACAUGCGCAUGCUUUAUGUAAGGUAGUCUCAAUCCUAGGAUGGUUGGUCCAUCAAUUAAUUCCCAAUUUUCUAUUCAUGAUUUAAUCAUAUGAAACAGUAUAAUGAUGAAGCACUUCAAUAAAUUCAUAGCCAAACAAGAUGAGAAAUGUAUCUAUUACUCCCUCCGUCCCAAAAUAAGCGUCUCUGCUUUGGUAUAAUGGCCAAAUGUCUCUAUUUUUUGUUGGAUUUUCUGGAAUAUUGUUCCUUUUAACUCUAUAUUGUGCUUUUAGCCUAUACUCCCUCCGUCUCCAAAUAAGCGUCGCUGAUUUUAUGAGGCAAUGCUCAACUGCUAUUCCCAUCUUGUUCUGUGAAAUGUAUAGCUAAUGGGUCCAUCAUUAUGGCAUUCCCCAUGAUGACAAUUUUGUUAACAGAUAAAGACUAAUUUGAUCCUACUAAAACAAUUUCAUGGCAUCAUAAUGAGCCAAACCAUCCUAUGAUUGAGGUCGCCAAUUCGAUCAGAUAUGCCCAUGGUAGAGCCUUGCAUUUGGUGGUCAGAAGGAAAGAAGGAAAGCGGAGUAGUAAUUAGCAACAAAGAAUAUAGUUACACACUUGCAUCGAAGCAUGAGAGACACAAGAAACUAAAUGGAGAGAGAGCUUACCAGAGGCUCAUCCUCCUCCUCCUCCUCUGUCUGCAUCAGCUCCUGCAAAUACUCAUAAAUAUAAUAAUAAUAAUAAUAAUAAUGAUAAAAAUAAUAAUAAUACAGUUACACAUUUGCAUGAAAGCAUGAGAGUCUAUCACAAGAAAGUAAAAGAGAGGGAGCUUACUAGAGGCGGAUCCUCCUCCUCCGGCCCCACCUGCAGCAGCUCCUGCAAAUACUCAAAUAAAAAAAUGUGUUACUUUGUACCCACUUCAACCUGUGCAAACUCAAACUAAAGCAUGUUAAGAAUAAUAUAACAUGGACAUGCUUAAUGUAUCCAAGGUAGAGUCUCAAUCCUAGGAUUGUUGGUCCACCAACAAAGUCCUAAAUUUCUAUUCAUACUUUAGUCAUAUGAAACAGGCAGUAUAAUGAUGAAGCAUUUCAAUAAAUUCACAGCCAACAAGAUGAGGAAUCUAUUAUGUACUAAAAGCACAAAAGGUGAAAGAACAAUAUUCUAGAAAGUCCAGAAAAAAUUAGAGACAUCUACGCAUUUAUGUCCUGCAUACUCAAUUAACCAUUAAACAACAGCCAUUGGAUCCCACAGCACUGCCUCCACUGCCGCCCAAGCUGGAAGUUUACUUUCCCUUCCCCUUUGAAGCGCCCGCCGGCGACACCCCACCGAUGCCAGCAUAUCCUUUCCUGCACAUGCCGCUUCUGGCACAAGCACGUCUCAGCCUGCAGCCAGCGCACGUGCACGCACCUGCUACACAGCCACAACAGUCGAUCUGACGGAUGGAGAUCGUGGCGCAUGCGGAAAGCUUCUUAUGCUCCUCAAGUGAACCCCUAGGGGCUCCGUCUCACCACCUGGUGUUCAAGAAACCCAAGUUGUUCGUCGUUCACGUCACUCCUAGUGCUCCAACAGAAGGGACUGAUGAUAAUUUCACCAAGCCGUGGUAUUUCCCCGGUUCUCCUACUGUUUAGCCUCGGCCGUGCGCAAUAUGCACCGAGGUCCCAUAGUCAUGUGCCAUCAUAAUCCAGAGGCAAUCUGAAUCUAUAUAUCAUAUAAGUUACAAUGUAUUUUCAUUGUUGUUCUCAUGUGUCGCUGCCAUGUAUUGGGUUUACUGUGGUGUUGUUUAUCAUCAUGUUGUUUCCUUUUACCAAUCAUGUAAUCUGUUCACUCUUGUCUUGUGUUUUGUUUUGGUGUGGGUGCACUCUUGUCUUAUGUUACCAUAAUGUAUUUUGAAUGCAAAUCAUAUAAUCAGUUUAGUCCCUUAGUUAAUCAAUAUCUUGUUUGGUGUGGUGUUUGAGAUAAUUGGUUUGAGUUGAAGAGAGAAAACAUUUCUCAAACACCGAUGUUGUUACAAUUUUCGGUGCAAAGUGAAGAAGUAUGAAAUAUGCAAGUUCCAAAUUCAGGAAAUCAUACUCAAGGAUCGAACGACCCUGAAAAACAUAAAAGUCCAUACUCAUGUCAUCCAAGCGCGAGUUUGUUGUAGUAUAUCAUGAACAAAGUUUGUUGUAACCUUUAUAACUGAACUAUAAAUGGCCACUAACAUUCAAAUCCCAGGCGGCUUCAUUUGUUGAUGUCAUGAAGGCGGCAUGAACGUUGAUCUUUAUCAAGAUUUCUCGGGGGAUCACGGCCCUAAAUUUCGGUACAUCGAUCAGUCUUAAUAGUAUUAGAUGUAUCCAAAUUAUAGAAAACUACAGUAAUUAACUUGUGUGGUGAUAUGUAAAGUAGUGGAAGGUCUUUGGUAUAUUAAUUUUAUUUAAUAAGAAUAAUCUUUAAAAAUGUACAGUAGCAAUCAUUGUAUGACCAUAUUUGAAGUACAAAGUUAUUAGUUGUCUUAACAUGAAAUAUUUUUACAGUAAUAUUUGCGGCAUUCUGUUGUAGUACUUAUCUCUUGGAUUUGCAAUAUAACAUAUCUUAUUUUCGUCCAUGUACAUGAUCUUGUUGCAUCAUGAAAUUACUAGUGAUUUUAGGUAUUUUCCGAUUGGGUUAUUCCAGGGAUUAGGAUUGCAAACGUAGUUGAUCUAGUACGACUCACAUCUAGAUGUAUUACACAUGCCUUGUGUAAGGUUAGUCUAAGAUAAGUUUAGAGGAUAACUGAUGAUGUUCUUGAAUGAUUCAGUCCUACUUAGUAUCGAGGAUCAAAAAGAUGAUUUUUCUCUCAUUCUGUAUAGUUGUUUUUUCCAGUUGAACCUCUCUGGUCCAAUGCACUUUUAUAAUUUUUUUUAAAAGCAAUACAAAUACGGAGCAGAGUCCUGCCGUUUCCAUAAAAAAAAGCAACAAGAUGAUUGAAUUUCGCACCAGGUUACCAGAUAACAUAGCUACUAGGUCAAAAUCGUUGCUAACCUUCCCCGCAAAAAAUGCUUUGCUAUCUUGACACUCAAUAAUAAAAUUGCAUCUUUCUUGUAUCUCAUGCUUUCUUUGUCAAAAUUCACAUAUGCCACUUUUGGCCACUUUUGGCAAUAGAUUUGGUUGUUGCCACCCAAACCAAUUGGGUAGAACCCAAAAAUUCAAUUGCAGAAAGCUUCACAUGUGUGCAUAGCGGUGCCAAACAAAGUCGUUUAGAUAGAAACCCUAGAACUGAAAACCCAUUGUUGUGUGAAAAGCUUCGCAGACAUUAAACCCAUGUGCAUUCGUGAGCAUUCUAUCCACAUCUGGUUUGUCGCUUGUUCUUUAUAUCAAUACCAGCCUUGCAUCCAACUAAUUUAUGACACUAUAAUUUUUUAAUGGUUCUGUCACACACACACACGCACACACGCACGCACGCACGCGCGCACGCGCGCACACACACAGCGGAUUUAUAUUUUGAAUACUAUUGCAUCAAAUGUUCGUACUGAAGCAUAGUCUACUCUAUUUUGGUUCUUCAAAGUCAGCAGGAUAACGUAUUAUAACUUAAGUAUUUAUUGCCCGGAGAAAUCAAAUUACUCAAAUACCGAGGUGUUACAAUUUGUAAAGUAAAGGAAGACGUAUGAAAUAUUGCAAAUUAAAUUUCAGGAAAGACAAAACAGUCCUAACUUAUCUACCAUAUCGCGCAGACUCGUAAGCAACUAAGUAAAUGUAUUUUAGGGAAACAACAGGACUCUGCUGCAUAUUAUUAGUAUUAUGUUUUGUAAAAAAUACAACUAAGUAAAUGUCUCUCUUAAUUUUGUCCUUCACUACUAAGCGAGAAGUUGUGUUGUACACAACUUUGGCAUAAUUGAUCCACAAACUCUAUAAAGUAUACACUACUACAAAACAAGCUAGCAGUGGUGGAUGACAUGUAUAUGCCUGCCACCGAAACAUUUAGCCCAUGACUAACAUGGUAAGAAUUUACUAGUGGAGGGCGGCAUGUUUUGCCCGCUAGUGCACAUCCAAUACCUGUUGUCAGCCCUCUUUUGUACCCACCACUAUCUAGAUGAAAUAGCGGUGGCAUGUACCUAUCGGUGCCCGUCAAUAAUGUGACCCCACCUAUAAGCCUUUUCCCAGUAGUGAUAGCAUUUUAAUCGGUUAGGAGGAUUUACCACUAUAAUAGAAUAAGAUCCAAGGAUCAAGCACCUAAAUAUCAUCAAAGUCCACACUCUCAUACUUACACAUAGGUUGUUUUAAUAUACAUGAACAAGGUUCAACCUUUAGAUGUGAACUAAAAUGACCACUAACUAGCAAUCAAUGAUGGCUUCACUAGUUUCAGUCUAUACAGCGGUGUGAAAGUUGAUCUAUAUACAUAUUUCUCGGGGUGGUCGCAUCCUUGAAUUCUGGUACAUCGGUCAUUCUUAACAUCACCAGAAAGUAUGAAAAUGAUUGAAAAAACUUAUAGUAUCUCCUGUAAGGUAAUAUCUACAGUACAUUACGGUCUUGGAGAUACUAAUUUUAUUCAUCUCUGAGAGCCUUCUGUCACAAUCUACCCAUCAACGGACGACUGGGAGGCUUUCUUCGCCCGACUGUAGAGAUCACGCGCCUUGGUUCCACAUGUCAUUGACACACGCUGACUAUAGCGAUCACGCGCCCUCGGGCCACCCAUCAACAAGCUUCCAACUGGGUCGCCCGGUUGCGAGCUGUCCGGGAUGGCCCGGAGCCGCCCCACGAGGCUCCUGCCGCAAGCCAACUAGCAAUGGAUGGGCAUGAGCCUUUCCUCACCCUCGAAAAGCCCAGGAAGGCACGCACUCUAGCAUUCUUUAUAUAGGAAUAAUGGGUUAAUUGAUUCAACAGGAUUUACCAGAAUCUUUCUGAUUUAAAAAAUUGAUAACGAUCAUUUUUGGACUAUACUCCAAGUAUAGUUCAUAACGGUUUUGCAGGCUCAUCACAGUUUUUUUAUGUUUGAUGUAUACAAUGUAAUAAUGCGUCAAUUCUCCAUCACUAUUUACGGGAAUAUUAUGGAAGAUGUUGUUUUUACCUCUUUAACUUGAUGAAGUAGUAAGAAAAUAGUAUUUAUACCCAUAUUAGUUGUUAUAUUUUAUUUUAUUUUCGAUAUAAUUAAAUAUGUAUUGUCUAUGAAGUGUUCUCGUUCUUUUUGACAAGUACUAUUGUAUGUUAUGGAUUCUUGAUGUGGCAAACAAACUGUAUUCCUUUAGUGGUGCUGCUUAAAUGAGUACAAUGUGAUUUAUCCUUUUAAAAUUGUACUCUAUUGGACAAUGUUAUUUGUUCAUCUUUUAGGAAGUGUUUACCAUUAUGGCUCAUACAAAUAAAAUUAUGAAAAAUUGAUCCUAAAAAAGGCAUGAUUAAAUUCUUUUCUACAGUUGUGAUAUUUUAUUUAACACAAAAAUUGUAUUGUUUAGCCAUAAUGAGAACAUCCAGUAAAUCAUAAAAAAGGUUAACCAUUUCAAAGUUUGAUCACAAUAAUUAAAGAUGGUGCCCUCGCAUAUGCGAGGAACACUUUGCAAGUGUCAUCUAAAAGAAAACUUGGUAAUUAUCUAUUACCUUUGAGAAAAAUUCAAUUUUUGUGGCUUCCUAAAUCCUAUAUUCCUAAAAAGUUCAUUCCCACUAAAAGCAAAAUAUUCUGAAAAAGUUAAUGCUCACCACAAGCAAUUCACACAACAUGCGCAGCCCUCCACAUCAAAAAGUGUUCAAUGUGAGCAUUCACUAUUUUGUAGCCAUGCAUCACAUCAACUACCUUUAAGUCUUACAACAUGCACUCACCAACCUCACCAAGACAUGAAUGUUUGGCACAUCACAAUUAGUCAUGUGCUUAUCGAAGUCAUGCAUCUUAGAAAAACUCAUGUCAUUAGCAUGCCAUCUUAUUGAUGUGGUACAGAAUACUAACUCAAACUGACAGUAUAUACUGAUCGUUAUGGUGUGGAUUAAAGAGUGAAAAUAUGAAUUGAAGAAUGCAAUACGUGCAUACAAGUAUUGGCUAUCUGUAAAUACUAAGGGCAUCGAGGUGUCUUGGAGCAGCAAGCCAUCCAUGAUGUACCCAUUGAUGUGCGGACGCAUUGGCUUGUCCGAAAUCCCGCCAACUGGAUGCAAAGCAGGGGAGGUGAGCAGGCUUAGAACCCCCACAACGUACUAGUUCGGCACCCCGGUCCAAUCAAAAUAUUCUCUCGAGCACGUGCCAUCUCCGGCGCAACUGCAUCUCCACUCUCCACGCUGCAUUCAGGCCGGCCUAGAGGGGACGCGACCGGUCACUAGACCCAUCAUUGAAUGGGAGUGCUGGCCGAGUGAGCCACCCCCCUCACGUCAUGGUCUCCGCGCCUGUUCAAUGCCGGAGAGACAUGACCGGAUGGGGCGACGAGACGACUAUCUACCACAUUGAAGUCGGCUGCUCAUCUAUCUGUGUGUCGACCUUAAACAGGCGUGAUAGCCGAGAAACCCACUCCAGUGUCCGCACUGAAACAACUUGAUGUUUGGCUUGGUUGAUGCCCUUUAUUUAUACGUGGCCGCCCACAACAUGAUCCGCACCACACCACGUUCAUUUUCUUUCCUCCUCUGUGCAGCACCUUUGCCACGACAAGCUCUAGAGAGAAGUGGGAGACCCUCUCCGCGGAGAAGAAGCACGAGUUGGCUAGGCUUGCGGCUGACUAGCAACACCGCCAUGUGUGACGAGUAGAGGCUGGUUUGUCGGAGGUGAGAGACGACGACGUGAUGAUGAGCCGGCGCCCCCGCUCACACAGGUCCAUUGCGAAACCACACUUCAACAUCGUCAUGACGGAGGAGCAGCCGACACCACCAGUGUUGAUGUUUUGGCUGGUGCCGGAGGAGCAAGGCUACAACCUUUCCAACCUCCCGCAUUACCGGCUGGCUGAGGGCCAAAAUCUAUGGCGACUUUGCAAGGGAGGAGGCCAUGGCGGCCAUGGCCUCGGAGGAGCCAGACUUCAUCGAACAGCAGGUACCGCUCUACGAGAGCAUGUGCAGCGCUUGUGCCAGCAGCAACGCGGUCAUGGUGGAGGCGGGCACGACGGCUUAGGCGAUCGCAAACAGGAACGGUUACAUCGGCAGCUCCGCGUCACCCGCGGUUCCCGUCAGGCCACAAGGACAACGAGUCCGGCCCGUUCCACGUCCAUCUUGGAUCUCACAUUGACCGACGACAUCCAAGCAACGGAAUUCGACAAGGAAGAGUAUGACAUGGAGAAGAAGGGGUCCGUAUCCCAUGUGGGCAUGCCCGUGUCCCAUUUCAUACUCUUCAUUGCCGGUGAGCCACAACUUCACUUCGUGGAGCUUAGGCCCGGCAAAGAUGCCGGACAUGGGGAAGACGGGACAUGGAACAAGGACGCCUCCACAGUUGGCGAAGAUUUAGACUAGAUUAACAUUUUAUGUUAAAAAAUGUCAUGUACAUUUUUAAAAAUGAAAUAUGCAAAAAAUGUCAUGAAUUUAGACCGGUUUAAAGGAUAGCGUUGAAGAUACCCUAGAGCCUUUUUUCUUGAAAAACUCUAGAAUGCUAUAAGACUUUUUGGAGAUACAUUUAUGGAAAUGAUAAAAAUAGAAAUACCAAAUAUUAAUCUGACAAUCUGACUUGAGAUGUUUUUUAUCAGAAAAAAUAAUUUAAUUUAUUUUGAAAAUGACUUAAACCGUUAAAUUCCUAACUUAGCAAUGAUGCUUAGCCACGUUGGAAAGAAGUGCAAUGGAAGAAAAGUCAACAUUCGUUCAAGAAAAGACAACUUCACACAAUACAUGUAUAAGCAGCAGAAAAGCGUGGUUCCCAUCAGCUAAGCACACGUAAUCUAGGUCUGAUCACCUCAUCCUCAUCCGGGGCAUCAGAUGAUAAGCUAGACUGACGUGUAACGUGCCCGUAUCCGGCGCCUUUUAGGUACGAGAUCGUGCGCUCGGCCGAGGAGACGCAUGCAUCCACGUGCGAGAACAGAAACGGCAAAGCCAUGAAAGCAGUAAAAUCAGCAAUACAUGUUGUACUAGUGUACUUGAUACCUUUACGAAACCACAUGCAGUGCUCACGCCGACUGCAACGCAAUUGCGAAUGGAAACAGCGGCAGCUCCGCGUCACCCACGGUUCCCGUCGAGCCACAACGACCACGAGUCCGGCCCGUCCACAUCUAUCGUCGACCUUACAUCGACCGGCGACGUUCAAGCGAUGGAAUUCGACAAAGAAGAGUAGCACAUGGGAGACGGACGCGCCCGUGUCCUUGCGGGCAUGUCCGUGGCCCAUGCCUUACUCUUUAUGGCCGGCGACUACCAGCUUCACUUCCCGGAGCGCAGAACCGGCAAAGAUGCCGGACAUGGGGAAGACAGUACAUGGAACAUGGACGCCUCCACGGCUGGCGAAGAUUUCGAAUAAGUUAACAUUUUAUAUUAAAAAAUGUCAUGUACACUUUUGUUAAAUGAAAUAUGUUAAAAAUGUCAUGAAGUUGGUCCAGUUUAAAUGAUCGACCGGUUUGUUCAAAUACCAUUUAGAAAUUAGAAGAAAAGACAACGUCCGUUUAAGAAAAAAGAAACUUCACACAAUACAUGUAUAAGCAGCAGAAAAGUGUGGUUCACACCAGCUAAGUGCACGUAAUCUAGGUGUCUGUCCCAUCUGGUGCAUCAGAUGAUAAGCUUGGCUGUGCGGCUCUUUUCGACCGAGGAUGCGCCAUCGAAAGUAGUAAAAUCAGCAAUGAAAGUUGUACUAGUGUGCCUGACCCCUUUACGUACAGGCCAUCGCAUAUAUCUUUUGUCGUGUUAAUCAACGAGAAAGCAGUGCGUGUAUAAUAGUAAAAGCUAGGAGAAAUACAACCAAACAAAAGUGAAAAGGAACAAUGCAAGCUGCAAAGCGGUUCUGUACGUGCACGCCAUGAUAUAUAUAUUUUUGUCAGUGUUAAUAACCACACUCCGUUCAUGGUGAGGCGGCGUAGUUCCAGUGAGUCUGAAACGUACGUACGCGACGCACGGCUUGAUGCCGGAGGCUGGGCUGCACAAGACCCGCUGUUAAAACCCCAUCGUCUUGCACACAUCUGGCAUCCACCUCAAAGCGCAUCCACCUUCGUUCGACUGUGGUAGAGGCCAUGGCAGCCACAGCGACGGGUGAGAACAGCAGGUUAACUGGGGUGAGAAAGAAGGGGCAUGGCAAGUUCGCCGCAGCUAUCAAGCACCCGGUGACGAAGACGCUGUUGUGGCUGCGGACGUACCAGUCCCCCGAGGUCGCCGCAUGUGCGUACGACCUCGCGCCUAGGUGUUAGACUCUAUAUAUACCGGGCUAUUAGUGUCCCCACCUGUAAUUGUGUUGUACAUCAUUAUGUACUCUCUAUAUAAUACAAAGGUCACCCACGUUGGAGGUGUGCCACAAAACCCUAAAACUCUUGUCUAAUAUGGUAUCUGACCUAACGAUCUAAUCUCAUGUCUUCCGCUCCGCCACCGCCGCCAGCCGCCGCCGCCGCUGCGGUCUCCUUCCCCGCCCUCUUGCCACCGCCCCUAUCCACAUGGAUCAUGCAUUCCUUCCACCGUAUCUCACGCGUCCCCUCAAUGGUGGGACUGCGCCAUACACGGCGGAGGGAUCUCUCGGCCCCCUGGAGACCCAAUCGGCGGGGUCCUUCUUCGCCGGCCAAUAGGCGGGGUCCCUCUUCAGCGGCCCGGUUUCUUUACUGUAUGCCUGCGUGUCUUCCUCGUCGGCCGCUGCAUCGGCGCAGUUCCAGCAACCACCGCCGCCUCCGGCCGCCACACACUCCCUGGUGCCUGCGCAGCCACCCCCGACUGCAUCGCAUCUGAUGAUGUGCGUGGUCGCGCCUGCCCCUGCUGCCUCCAUCUACACCGCAGCAGGCCCUGUCGUUGCCGACGUCGCCCAUGCGACCUAUGGCAGCCCUGGCGGCUAUCCACUGUAUGCUGCUCCAUACGGUCCUCCACCACCCGUGCGUCCCUCGUAAAUAAGCAACAGUGUCCUGCAGUAGCACUGAAGCUGAGUACAAAGCAGUUGCAAAUGCCAUAGCUGAGCUUAUUUGGAUACAGUCUUUGCUCCAAGAGUUGAAGAUCUCUCAAAAGCAGCAGCCGGUCCUUUGGUGUGAUAACAUUGGUGCGACGUAUUUGUCUUUAAAUCCAGUCUUUCAUGCUCGCACCAAACACAUUGAAGUUGAUUACCGUUUUGUCAGGGAACGUGUUGGCCAGAAACUGCUUCUUAUCAAGUUCAUCUCCUCAAAGGAUCAACUUGUUGACAUCUUCACAAAGUCGUUGCAUCUUCCUCAGUUUGAAGGCUGUAGGCGCAAUCUCAACCUAGUGAAUUCUUUAGAGCACGGUUAAGAUUGAGGGAGGGUGUUAGACUCUGUAUAUACUGGGCUAUUAGUGUCCCCACCUGUAAUUGUGUUGUACAUCAUUAUGUACUCUCUAUAUAAUACAAAGGUCACCCCAUGUUGGAGGUGUGCCACAAAACCCUAAAAUUCUUGUCUAACACUAGGGAGCUGAAAGGCACAAAGGCAAAGCUCAACUUUCCCUACCCUCCGCCGGCCAGACUGAUUAAGGAGGCGAUAUCUACACCGAGGCACCGCAGCCACGGUCAUGACACACUGCUCUUUCAGGUCGUUAUGUUGCCACCAGACCCCACAGCACCGCCUCCACCGCCGCCCAAGCUGGUAGUUUACUUUCCCUUCCCCUUUGAAGUGCCGGCCAGCGACACCCCACCGGUGCCAGCAUAUCCUUUCCGGCACAUGCCGCUUCCGGCACGAGCACAUCUCGGCCUGCAGCCGACGCACAUGCAUGCACCCGCUCCACUGCCACAACAGCCGAUCCGACGGAUGCAGAUCGUGGCGCAGGCGGAAAGCUGCUUAAGCUCCUCAUGUGAACCCCUAGGGGCUCCGUCUCGCCACCUGGUGUUCAAGAAACCCAAGUUGUUCGUCAUUCCCGUCACUCCUAGUGCUCCAACAGAAGGGACUAAUGAUAAUUUCACCAAGCUAUGGUAUUUCCCUGAUUCUCCUACCGUUUAGCCUCGGCCUAGCGCAAUAUGCACCGAGAUCCCAUAGUCAUGUGCCAUCAUAAUCCAGAGGCAAUCUGAAUCUAUCUAUCAUAUAAGUUCCAAAUGUAUUUUCAUUGUUGUUCUCAUGUGUCGCUACCAUGUAUUGGGUUUACUGUUGUGUUGUUUAUCAUCAUGUUGUUUCCUUUUACCAAUCAUGUAAUCUGUUCACUCUUGUCUUGUGUUUUGUUUUGGUGUGGGUGCACUCUUGUCUUAUGUUACCAUAAUGUAUUUUGAAUGCAAAUCAAAUAAUCGGUUUAGUCCUUGUUAAUCAAUAUCUUGUUUGAUGUGGUGUUUGAGAUAAUUGAUUUGAGGUUAAGAGAGAAAAUAUUUCUCAAACACCGAUGUUGUUACAAUAUGCAAAGCGAAGAAGUAUGGAAUAUGCAAAUUCCAAAUUCAGGAAAUCGUACUCAAGGAUCGAACGACACUGAAAAUCAUAAAAGUCCAUACUCAUGUCAUCCAAGCGCGAGGUUGUUGUAGUAUAUCAUGAACAAAGUUUGUUGUAACCUUUAUAACUGAACUUCCCCGACGGGUUCAUUUGUUGAUGUCAUGAAGGCGGCAUGAACGUUGAUCUUUAUCCAGAUUUCUUGGGGGAUAACGGCCCUGAAUUUCGGCACAUUGACCAGUUUUAACAGUAUUAGAUGUAUCCAAAUGUAUAGAAAACUACAAUAACUCAUGUGUGGUGAUAUCUAAAGAAGUGGAAGGUCUUCGGUAUAUUGAUUUUAUUGGAUAAGAAUAAUCUUUAAAAAUGUGUAGUAGCAAUCAUUGUACGACCAUAUUUGAAGUACAAAGUUAUUAGUUGUCUUAACAUGAAAUAUUUUUAUAAUAAUAUUUGCGGCAUUCUGUUGUAGUACUUAUCUCUUGGAUUUGCAGUAUCGCAUAUCCAUAUUUUCUUCGGCAUGUACAUGAUCUUGUUGCAUCAUGAAAUUACUAGCGAUUUUAGGUUUUUUCCGAUUGGGUUAUUCCAGGGAUUAGGAUUCCAAAUGUAGUUGAUCUAGUACGACCCACAUCUAGAUGUAUUACACUUGCCUUGUGUAAGGUUAGUCUAAGGUAAGUAUAGAGGACAACCGAUGAUGUUCUUGAAAGGUUCAGGCCUACUGGGUAUGGAGAAUCAACAAGACGAUUUUUCUCUUAUUCUGUAUAGUUCUUUUUUCCAGCUGAACCUCUCUGGUUCAAUGCACUUUUGUAAUUUUUUAUUGAAAAGCAAUAAAAAUAAGCAGCAGAGUCCUGCCGUUUCCCUCAAGAAAAAAGCAACAAGAUGAUUGAACUUCGCACCAGGUUACCAUAUAACAUAGCUACUAGGUCAAAAUCAUUGCUAACCUUCCCCGCAACAAAAAAAAGCUUUGCUAACUUGACACUCAAUAAUAAAAUUGCAUCUUUCUUGUAUCUCAUGCUUUCUUUGUCACAAAUCACAUAUGCCACUUUUGGCCACUUUUGGCAAUAGAUUUGGUUGUUGCCACCCAAACCAAUUGCGUAGAACCUUAAACUCAAUUGCAGAAAGCUUCACAUGUGUGCAUAGCGGUGCCAAACAAAGUCGUUUAUAUAGAAACCCUAGAACUGAAAACUCAUUGUUAUGUGAAAAGCUUAGCAGACAUUAAAAACAUGUGCAUUGGUGAGCAUUCUAUCCACAUCUGGUUUGUCGCUUGUUCUUUAUAUCAGAGCCAGCCUUGCAUCCAAUUAAUUUAUGACACGUGUAAUUUUUGAAUGGUUCUGUUUCCGUUCACACACACACGCACACGCGCGCCCGCGUAUUUCUAUUUUGAUGGUUAAAUACAUUGUAUUAUACUAUUGCCAUCAAAUGUUCGUACUGAAGCAUAGUCUGCUCUAUUUUGGUUCUUCAAAUUUUGUAGGAUAACGUAUUAAUAACGUAAGUAUUUAUUGCCUGGAGAAAUCAAAUUACUCAAAUACCGAGGUGUUACAAUUUGUAAAGUAAAGGAAGACGUAUGAAAUAUUGCAAAUUAAAUUUCAGGAAAGACAAAACAGUCCUAACUUAUCUACCAUAUCGCGCAGACUCGUAAGCAACUAAGUAAAUGUUUUUAGGACUCUGCUGCAUAUUAUCUGUACAGUUUCUAAGCUCCCAGGAAAUAGAGCUCUGGGAGAGAAGGACUGUCUUUUUUUCGGAGUGGGUCCAUUUGUCAGGGAAACAUACUCGCGACCGACAUUCCCUUUUGUUUCUUCUCAAUAUUUUUUCGCUUCCACUCCCUCGGUUCCUAAAUGUAAGUUUUUUUAGACAUUUCAAAUGGACUACAAUAUGCGGAUGUACAUAGACAUAUUUUAGUGUAGAUUCAUUCAUUUUGCUAUGUAUGUAGUCACUUGUUGGAAUCUUUAGAUAGACUUAUAUUUGGGAACGGAGGGAGUACAUGAAGAUACCGCCUCCUUCCCAAAUCCCCCAUAUCUUCGCCAGGAUCCCAGCCACCUUCCCCGCCGCUCCACUCCAGCUUGCAUCGCCGCCGCUCUCUGAACUGUAACCGGCACUCCAAGCCUCCGCGUGCGCGACUACGUCGGCUGACGAUGAGGCGUUUGAAUCAGCCGUGGAGGGCUCGUGGUUGAUGACGGACGGCUGAUGGGCAAAUAGGGCCCGCGUGUGGGCGUGGCGCUGCUGGUGAAGUGGACGGGAAUGGAUGGAGGAGCAGAUGCGAGGUGGAGGCCGGUAAUAAGGACGGACAUACCGUCGAACAGUCUCGCGGCAAUCCGCUGAGAUCUCCCCCACAAAGCCGAGACAUCCCACCGCCUGCUUCCUGCUCCCCCCUCCACCCACCCCCAACCCCUUCGCCUCCUCUUACCCAAUCCGCCAUGAUUCCUGGCAUCCCAGCACCGAUUAGCGAAGCCUUCCCACGCAGAUCGACGCUCCCCCCUUCUGCACAAUUUUGAUCGUGCGGUUCUUCGUGCUCGCAUAUUCUGCAGCGAUGUGAACCAGAAUACAUCUGCACUGUACCCCUACUUGAGGUUGGCAGUGAGGCGUUUGCUUGAUGAGAGAAAAAGAGAGACAUCACUAACUCGUUGUAAGGCUCCUCUGCACUGUUAUUUUAUUAAUCUGCAAAAUAUAAAACUGCUCUGAAGUUAGUAUUCAAGCCCCUUACAUAUAAGACAUAGCCGAAGACGAUUUGAGUUGAGAAGUGAAGUUGCAUAAAAAAUUGUACGAGCAGAUAAUGUUGUGCAAUUGUUACGAGCUUUCUAGAGAGCUAGCCUUGCAGGUUGUCAAGAUUAAAGUUUUCUGUUCAGAAAUUAAGCUUACUAAAGUAUUACCAGUUGCUGAGUUUUACAUUGGACAUUGAUUUAACAACAACUAGAAACUUGAACAUGGUGUCACGCCUUCUGAGAUACAUGCCACUUGCCAAUGCAGCAACAUUCUGUUUCGUGCCUCCAUACUUACACGAUGUUGUCCUUGGCUUUUUCGGCAAGGUCACUGUUGUCGUCUCCACUAGCCAUGGCUACGAGGUACUAAUAUGCCAUGUCUGAGGUCAAUGGAGGAGAGGGACGUGCAGCAGGUGUUUCUGGUGUGCCCCCAACAGACCCCUUGAUGUCAAGUAACGCCCAUUUUUGUCUCUCCUCAAUCUAGAUCACAACACUGUAUGGUAUAUAGUUCUGGUUCAUGUGGAUCAAAGAAGAACUUGCACUUUUUCAGUUGGGGUUUGUGGCUCAUUUCGGCUCACGAGGACACGAGCUGUAGAUCACAGAUUAGUGGAGAGGUGUCCAAUUGUAGGUGUGGCUUUACUCAUUCAGGAAUAUUUAAUGUUUAAUUGGUGAUUGUGAAAUGGCAAGGCUAAUCAUAAUUUAUACUAUAUUUCUUUCAAAGAAAGUAUACUCGAUUGUUUUCCAUGUACCAACUAGCAUAUCUGACAGUUUCUCUAUUUCUUGAAGUUUCAGACUUUUAGUUAUUACACGUGGGGCUUAGAGAUGACCAUUACCAUAUUUACAUAUAACUAAUGAAAACAUUCUGAGGUACUUUUGGGAGCAGAGUAAUUUGGGCAAUUAAGCUUCCUUAGUCCUACUAACCUCUUGAUUAUAUUAAAAAAUUGAGGACAAUAUGAAGUAACCUUAGUUGUUUGCAAAGUAACAAAUGCAAGCUAGCAUUUGCAACAAGAUCAUUUUGAAUUCAGUUAUAAUAUGCUAUGCCCACGUAGUGCAUAUCUGUAUAUUACAUAUGGGAUAAUUCUUAAUACAAAAGCCUGCUAUUUUCUUGAUAAUUUUAUUGCGGCGUUAAAAUCUAAGAUGCAUGGACGCCAUCCGAAUUUAUUUGAAUGCCAUGCAUGCCAUCUAAAUAAUGUUCUUCUCUGUCUGAAUGUCUGAAGCUCUAAACAGGAUCACGAUCAGGAGAGAAAGAAGCUCAUGUGGUUCUACAGUGCUAUAUAAUUGAUGACUUCCAUGAAAAUUUGCAUGUGCAGGCGGACAAAUUUAGCCCCGAUCACAGAAGUAACAAAAAUUGAUGCCUGCUGAACCAUUUUUCAGUUAACGUCCUUUUGUUCAGAAAGGCCUAAAGGAUUUACAAGCCUCUUGGACCUAUCUCAUGGGUUACUGAUAAUUUAGAUGCCUGCCCAUGGUUUUGCCCUUCAGCUUAUAAUUUCUUUCUAAUUCAUCGCAAGGUAUUUUCGAUCAAGCAGAUGGACGGAUAAACAGUUCGGUGUACAUAGCAAAGCACUUCACCGUCAUUAUUUAUGUGUCUUAUCCUAUAUUCUUCAGGCCCUGCUUGGAUUGGGUGUAAACUUUUACACUUGCAUUUAUUUUACAGAUGUAAAUUACUGGUCACAGCUAAUUUUUCGCCUGAAAACAAAAUGACCAGUCCAGGCGUGUAUCCUAAACCAGUCGGAUACAAUCGGAAACGGGAAUCCAAGCAGGGCCUCAUUCUGUUUUGGGAGUGCAUACUGAUUUUUCCACAAUGACUGAGAGGUUAAAUAAAUCGUUUUAAAACACAUGAUGGUGAGACCUUGACAGCCAUUUCAUUUUGUUUGGUGUCAAAUUGUGUAAGAUCAGCAGAGUUGCUUGCAACACACGGUUUAAUCUACGUCCAUUAGAAGUCAGCUGCUAUCAAGACCGGCAAAGAUGCCGGACAUGGGAAGACAGGACAUGGAACAUGGACACACGAAGAUUUCGACUAAGUUAAAAAUUUAUAUUAAAAAAAUGUCGUGUACACUUUUGUUAAAUGAAAUAUGUUAAAAAUGUCAUGAAAUUGGCCCGGUUUAAAUGAUCGACUGGUUUGUUCAAAUACCAUUUAAAAUGUGACCAGAUGUUUGAUGGAUAGGGUUGGAUGGCGGGCUUCUGUAUCACUAUCAUAGUUGGAUAGUAGGUCCGUUUUAGGGGAUAGCGUUGACGAUACCUGAAAGCAUUUUUUCUAAAAAAAUUCUACAAUGCUACAAGACUUUUUGAAGAUAUGUUUAUGGAAAUGUUAAAAAUAGAAUAACUAAAAUUAAUCUAACAAUCUGACUUGAGAUGUGUUUUUAACCGAAAAAAUAAUUUAAUUUAUUUUGAAGAUUCCAUAAACCGUUAAAUUCCUAACUUAACAUUGAUGCUUAACCAUGUUGGAAAGAAAUUAGAAGAAAAGACAACGUCCGUUUAAGAAAAAAGAAACUUCACACAAUACAUGUAUAAGCAGCAGAAAAGUGUGGUUCACAUCAACUAAGCGCACGUAAUCUAGGUCUCUGUGCCUUCUGGUGCAUCAGAUGAUAAGCUUCGCUGACGUAUAACGUGCCCGUAUACGGCGCUUUUAACGCGCCAUCGAAAGUAGUAAAAUUAGCAAUGAAAGCUGUGCUAGCUUUACGUAUAGGCCAUCGCAUAUAUCUUUUGUCGUGUUAAUCAGCGAGAAAGCAGUGCGUGUAUAAUAUUAUAAGCUAGGAGAAAUACAACUAAACAAAAGUGAAAAGGAACAAUGCAAGCUGCAAGGCGGUUCUAUAGGUGCACGCCAUGAUAUGUAUUUUUUGUCAGUGUUAAUAACCACACUUCAUUCAUGGUGAGGCGGCGUGGUACCAGUGAGUCUGAAACGUACGUACGCGACGCAUGGCUUGAUGCCGGAAGCUGGGCUGCACAAGACCCGCUGUUAAACCCCUAUCGUCUUGCACGCAUCAGGCAUCCACCUCAAAGCGCAUCCACCUCCAUUCGAUUAUGGUAGAGGCCUUGGCAGCCGCAGGGGCGGGUGAAAACAGCAAGUUAACUGGGGUGAGAAAGAAUGGGGAUGGCAAGUUCGCCGCAGCUAUCAAGCACCCGGUGACGAAGACGUUAUUGUGGAUGUGGACGUACCAGUCCCCCGAGGUCGCCGCGUGCGCGUACGACCUCACGGCUUGGGAGCUGAAGGGCGCAAAGGCAAAGCUCAACUUCCCCUACCUUUCGCCGGUCAGAUUGGUUAAGGAGGUGAUAUCUGCACCGAGGCACCGCAGCCAUGGUCACGACGCACUGCUCUUUCAGGUCAUUACGUUGCCACCAGACCCCACAACACCGCCUCCAUCGCCGCCAGGGCUGGUAGUGUACUUCCCCUUCCCCUUUGAAGCGCCUGCUGGCGACACCCCACAUGUGCCUGCAUGCCUAUUCCUGCACAUGCCGCUUCCGGCAUGAGCACGUCUCAGCCUGCAGCCGGCGCACGCACAGAACUAGCAAAGAUCUAUAUGUGAAAAGCUCGUAGGCAAUAGAUCAAUGAUGGAGAAUUAUGUCGAAUGUCAUUCAUCAUGCAACAGCUAUAACCUAGGGUGACACAGAACUAGCUCCAAUUCAUCAACAUAAUGUACGCAUGUAUUCCGAAUAUAGUCAUACAUGCUUAUGGAAAAGAACUUGCAUGACAUCUUUUGUCCUACCCUCCCGUGGCAGUGGGGUCCUAAUGGAAACUAAGGGAUAUUAAGGCCUCCUUUUAAUAGAGAAACGAACCAAAGCAUUAGCACUUAGUGAAUACAUGAACUCCUCAAAUUAUGGUCAUCACCGGGAAGUGUCCCGACUAUUGUCACUCCAGGGUUGCCGGAUCAUAACACGUAGUAGGUGACUAUAACUUGCAAGAUCAGAUCAGGAACACAAAUAUAUUCAUGGAACCAUAAAGGGUUCCGGUAUGAAUUCAUGGUACUCAAGCCCUAUUGACAAGCAUUAAGCAUAGGAAAGUCAUAGCAACAUCAAUCUCAGAACAUAGUGGAUACUAGGGAUCAAACCCUAACAUAACUAACUCGAUUACAUGAUAAACCUCAUCCAACCCAUCACCUUCCAGCAAGCGUACGAUGAAAUUACUCAUGCACGGUGGUGAGCAUAGUGAAAUUGGUGACGGGGGAUGGUUGAUGUUGACGAUGGCGACGGAUUCCCCUCUCCGGAGUCUCGAACGGACUACAGAUCUACCCUCCCGCUGAAGAACAGGAGGCGGCGGUGGCUCCGUAUGGUAAAACACGAUGAAUCCUUCUCUUUGAUUUUUUUUUCUCCCCGAACGUGAAUAUAUAGAGUUGGAGUUGAGGUCGGUGGAAGUCCAGGGGACCCACAAGGGAGGAGGGCGCCCCCGGCGCACCCUCCACCCUUGUAGAUAGCUGGUGGGUCUCCCUCUAGUGGUUCUUUUGCCAAUAUUUUUUAUAUAUUUCAAAAUAUUCUCCGUGAAGUUACAGGUCAUUCCGAGAAUUUUUAUUUCUGCACAAAAAUAACACCAUGGCAAUUCUGCUGAAAAUAUCGUCAGUCCGUGUUAGUUUCAUUCAAAUCAUGCUGGAGACGUAUCAUAUACCUUUAGUGGUGCUGCUUAAAUGAGUACAAUGUGAUUAAGCCUUUUAAAAUUGUACUCUAUUGGACAAUGUUAUUUGUUCAUCUUUUAGGAAGUGUUUAUCAUAUGGCUCGUACAAAUAAAUUAUCAAAUCUUUAUCCUAAAAAAGGCAUAAUUAAAUUCUUCACUACAAUUGUGAUAUUUUAUUUAACAAAAAAAAUGUAUUGUUUCCUAGCCAUAAUGAGAACAUCCAGGAAAUCAUAAAAAGUUAACCAUUUCAAAGUUUGAGCACAAUAAUUGAAAUGGUGCCCUCGCAUAUGCCAGUAACACUUUGCAAGUGUCAUCUAAAAGGAAACUUGGUAAUAAUCUGUUGGGGAACGAAGCAUGAAAAUAAAAAAAUUCUACGAGCACCCAAGAUUUAUCAGGGAGAAGCAUAGCAACGAGGGGGGAGAGUGUGUAUACGUACCCUUGUAGACCGUUAAGCGGAAGCGUAUAUCACACGGUUGAUGUAGUCGUACUCUUCAUGAUCCAAUCACGAUCCAAACCGAUGAAGUACUGAACGGACGACCUCCUUGUUCGGCACACGUAUGGAUUGAUGACGUCUGCUCCUUGUUGAUCCAACAAGCAAGGGAUGAGAUGUAGAUGGGAUUGCCGGUAGCACAACGGCGUGACGGUGAUGGUGGUGGAGUGAUUCCAGCGAGGCUAUGCCGAACGCUACUGAAACAAUGAAGACGGAUGAGUUACGAAGUAACAGGAGAGAGAGGGGGGGGGGCGGCAAGGGCUUGUGUGUCCUCUUGGGAGAGCCACAUCCCCUCUCUAUAUAUAUAGGCGGAGGGGCGUGGUGGCUAGCCCUCCAAGCCCUAGGGGCGCACCAAGGGGAAGGAGUUGGACUCCUAGUCUAAUUCCCUCCUUUUCCGUACACAGGUGGACUUUCCACCUCUCCCAAGCCACAUGGGCCUUGAGGGACUUGUGCGCCUGUCCCAAUAAGGCAGGGUGUCUUCCCUAAGCCCAUGUUGGCCCUUGGAACGUGGUGGAACCCUUGGCGGACUUCCAGACUCCUCCGGAAGUUUCCGAAACCUUCUGGAAGCUUUUUCCGAAACCCUGAAUGCAACUUUCCAUAUAUAAAUCUUUACCUCCGGAGGUCCUAGUGAUAUCCGGGAUGUCAUCCGAGACUCUGAACAACAUUUGGUCACCAACAUGCAUAUCCCAAUAUUACUCUCGCGUCAACGAAAGUUAAGCAUGCGGACCCUACGGGUUAGAGAAUCAUGUAGACAUGACCGAGACACCUCUCCUGUCAAUAACCAAUAGGGGAAUCUGGAUGCCCAUAUUGGUUCCAACAUAUUCCACGAAGAUCUUUUAUCGGUUGAACCACGAUGUCAAGGAUUUGGUUAAUCCCGUAUGUAAUUCCCUUUACCCGGCGAUAUGUUACUUGCCCAAGAUUCGGUUGUCGGUAUCUCCAUACCUAGUGGAAGGUCUUCGAUAUAUUAAUUUUAUGUAAUAAGAAUAAUCAUUAAAAAUGUACAGUAGCGAUCAUUGUACGACCAUAUUUGAAGUACAAAGUAAUUAGUUGUCUUAACAUGAAAGAUUUUUAUAAUAAUAUUUGCGGCAUUAUUUUGUAGUACUUAUCUCUUGGAUUUGCUGUAUAGCAUAUCUUAUUUUCGUCCAUGUACAUGAUCUUGUUGCAUCAUGAAAUUACUAGUGAUUUUAGGUAUUUUCCGAUUGAGUUAUUCCAGGGAUUAGGAUUGCAAACGUAGUUGAUCUAGUACGACCCACAUCUAGAUGUAUUACACAUGCCUUGUGUAAGGUUAGUCUAAGAUAAGUUUAGAGGAUAACCGAUGAUGUUCUUCAAAGAUUCAGUCCUACUGGGUAUGGAGGAUCAAAGGAUGAUUUUUCUCUCAUUCUGUAUAGUUGGUUUUUCCAGUUGAACAUCUCUGGUUCAAUGCACUUACAUUUUUUUUUUUGAAAAGCAAUACAAAUACGCAGCAGAGUCCUGCCGUUUCCCUAAAAAAAGCAACAAGAUGAUUGAAUUUCGAACAAGGUUACCAGAUAACAUAGCUACUAGGUCAAAAUCGUUGCUAACAUUUCCCGCAAAAAAAAGCUUUGCUAUCUUGACACUCAAGAAUAAAAUUGCAUCUUUCUUGUAUCUCAUGCUUUCUUUGUCAAAAUUCACAUCUGCCACUUUUGGCCACUUUUGGCAAUAGAUUUGGUUGUUGCCACCCAAACCAAUUGCGUAGAACCCUAAAACUCAAUUGCAGAAAGCUUCACACGUGUGCAUAGCGGUGCCAAACAAAGUCGUUUAGAUAUAAACCCUAUAACUGAAAACCCAUUGUUGUGUGAAAAGCUUUGCAGCCAUUAAACCCAUGUGCAUUAGUGAGUAUUCUAUCCACAUCUGGUUUGUCGCUUGUUCUUUAUAUCAGUACCAGCCUUGCAUCCAACUAAUUUAUGACACGUGUAAUUUUUGAAUGGUUCUGUCACACAAACGCAUGCACACACGGCCACACGCACGCACGCACGCACGCACACGCGCGCGCACACACACACGCAUGCACACACGGCCACAUGCAUGCACGCGCGCACGCACGCGCGCGCGCACACACACAGUGGAUUUAUAUUUUGAAUACUAUUGCCAUCAAAUGUUCGUACUGGAGCAUAGUAUACCCUAUUUUGGUUCUUCAAAGUUAGCAAGAUAACAUAUUAUAACUUAUGUAUUUAUUGCCUGGAGAAAUUAAAUUACUCAAAUACCGAGGUGUUACAAUUUGUAAAGUAAAGGAAGACAUAUUAAAUAUUGCAAAUUAAAUUUCAGGAAAGACAAAACAGUCAUAACUUAUCUACCAUAUCGCGCAGAUUCGUAAGCAACUAAGUAAAUGUUUUUUAGGGUAACAACAGGGCUCUGCUGCAUAUUAUUAGUAUUAUGUUUUGUAAAAAAUACAACUAAGUAAAUGUCUCUCUUAAUUUUGUCCUACACUACUAAGCGGGAAGUUGCGUUGUACACAACUUUGGCAUAAUUGAUCCACAAACUCUAUAAUGUAUACACUACUACAAAACGAGCUAGCAGUGGUGGGUGACAACUAUAUGCCUGCAACCGAACCAUUUAGACCAUGACUAACAUGGUAAGAAUUUACUAGUGGAGGGCGGCAUGUUUUGUCCGCUAGUGCACAUCCAAUACCUGUUGUCGUCCCUCUUUUGUACCCACCCCUGUUUUCAGCCCUCUUUUAUACCCACCACUGUCUAGAGGAAAUAGCGGUGGCAUGUACCCACUAGUAGAAAAAGGACCAAAUAUGAGACACAUUAGUGCCGGUUUGUGUUUGAGCCGGCACUAAUGUGUCCAAUAGUGCCGGUUCCAACGGCUAGCCGGCCGUUCUCAUUAGUACCGGUUCAUGGCGAACCUAUUGUACCGGUUCGUGGCACGAACCGGUACUAAAGAGGGUGGUGGCAGGGUGUUGUCAGUCUGGGGCCUCUCCAGCACAUUUAGUACCGGUUCGUGGCACGAACCGGUACUAAAGGCGACGUACAUAAACCCUUCGUCCCCCCCAAGCCACUCUCUUCUUCCCCUUUCCCCUCACUUCCUCUGUUCUUCCCCCUCUCUCCUCGAGCUCCACACAAAUUUUGCCCAAAAUUUGUCAAGAUUUGAAGGCCCCCAUCCAUUCAAAUGAUCACAAAGGUUAGAAACUUUGUCCUUUCAACUCUCAUUGCUAGAUUAUCUCUUGCAAUGCUUUGUAUAGUGAUUAAUUUGGGAGGAAUAAUUAUAUUUGCUAGUAUUUGAUUUAUAUGCAGUUUGAGUACAAAAAUAACACUUAGUUUGCAUAUAUAGGUGUGGUUUACUUAGUGCCUUCUAAAUCUCCGUCGUAACCACCGUCGAUCGCCCGCACCGUCUCGUCGCCGGCACCACCUUCUGGUGAGGCUCUUGUUCAUGAAUGUUUUACAUUACCAAAUUGAUGUUUAUGUGAUUUGGAUAUAUAGUUACUCGUAUAAUUAUCUUACCCAUACGUUGUUUGUUAUACAUAGUGCCAUGGUUUUGAUAUCCGUCCCCGUCGGCCCUCGUCCUUGUUAUGAUUCGGAUGUGGUAUAUUCUCUUUCAAAACUAGUUGUUGCAUUUCGUGUUUAUGACAAAUUAUGCCCACCAAGUUGACAUAGAUAUUUUUAUCUAGGAGGUAUGUGAACCGGAAAUUCCAACCGACCCUAUUGUCGAGAGGUUAAAUUUAGUUGAAAGAGAAAAUGAGUAUUUGAAAGAAAAAUUGAAAAGAAUUGAGGGGGAGAAGAUGGAAUUGGAGUUGCAUGUUGCCUAUGUCGUCGAUGAUCACAAGAUCAAGAUGGAGAAAAUGAGGUUGAAGAUUAGAAAGAUUAGAAAAUAUGCCAUUGAUAGUGUGGCUUGGUAUCAUUAUGCUGUUGGAUCAAUUGUUACCUUAAUUGCGAUCUUCAUCGCAUUUGUUGUUGCAUUUAAAUUCUUUAGCUAGAGAGUUAUUUGUAUGUUGCAUUUAAUUAAGUGUUGUAUAUGAACUUUAUGUAUGAACUUGUAUUAAUUUGGUCUAUUCGGUGCUGUGUAAUGAAGAUGAGCCGACAAUGGAUGUAUGAUGACAAAUGCUCUCCCGAGUUCAUUAAUGGCGUGUAUACUUUUCUCCUUGCCACUGAGGCAAACAAGCGGGCGGAUGGUUUUAUGCCUUGUCCAUGUGCUGGCUGUAAGAAUGGUCACAGUUACUCUACAUCAAGAACCAUUCACGUCCACCUAUUUGAGUCCGGUUUCAUGCCCCACUAUAAUGUUUGGACCAAGCACGGAGAAAUAGGGGUUAUGAUGGAAGACAAUGAAGAAGAAGAGGACGACGACGGCUAUCCUGGCCAUGGGUUCCCUGAAUACGAUGAUACAACAAUGGGGGAAGAAGCUGAGCCGGCAAUGCAGAAAGAAGCUGAAGAAGAGGCAUCAGAUGAGCCCGCUGAUGAUCUAGGUCGGGCCAUUGCCGAUGCAAAGAGAAACUGCGCAAGUGAUCUGGAGAGGACGAAGUUGCAGCGCAUGUUAGAGGAUCACAAGAAAUUGUUGUACCCGAAUUGCGAAGCUGACAAAAAAAAGUUGGGCACCACACUUGAAUUGCUGCAAUGGAAGGCAGAGAAUGGUGUAUCUAACAAGGGAUUUGCAAAGUUGCUGGUAAUGAUAAAGAAUAUGCUUCCAAAGGACAAUGAAUUGCCCGAGAGUAUGUAUGAAGCAAAGAAGGUUGUCUGCCCUCUAGGGUUAGAGGUGCAAAAGAUACAUGCAUGCCCUAAUGACUGCAUCCUCUACCGCGGUGAGUACGAGGAUUUGAAUGCUUGCCCGGUAUGCGGUGCAUUGCGUUAUAAGAUCAGUCGCGAUGACCCUGGUGAUGUCGAGGGUGAGCGCCCCAAGAAGAAGAUUCCUGCCAAGGUGAUGUGGUAUGCUCCUCUAAUACCACGGUUGAAACGUUUGUUCCAAAACAAAGAGCAUGCGAAGGCGAUGCGGUGGCACGCAGAAGACCGUAAGAAAGACGGAAAGUUGAGAGCACCCGCUGACGGUUCGCAGUGGAGAAAAAUCGCGAGAAAGUACUGGGAGGAGUUUGCAGGUGACCCAAGGAACGUAUGGUUUGGUCUAAGCGCAGAUGGCAUUAAUCCUUUUGGGGAGCAGAGCAGCAACCAUAGCACGUGGCCUGUGACUCUAUGUUUGUAUAACCUUCCUCCUUGGUUGUGCAUGAAGCGGAAGUUCAUUAUGAUGCCAGUGCUCAUCCAAGGCCCUAAGCAACCCGACAACGACAUUGAUGUGUACCUAAGGCCAUUAGUUGAAUAACUCUUACAACUAUGGAAUGGAACAGGUGUACGUGCGUGGGAUGAGCACAUGGGUGAACAAUUUGACCUAAAGGCGUUGCUGUUCAUGACCAUCAAUGAUUGGCCUGCUCUCAGUAACCUUUCAGGACAGACAAACAAGGGGUACCGCGGAUGCAUGCACUGUUUGGAUGAUACCGACAGUAUAUAUUUGAAUAGUUGUAAGAAGAAUGUGUACCAGGCACAUCGUCGAUUUCUUCCGAGCAAGCAUCCCAUAAGAAAGAAAGGCAAGCAUUUCAAAGGUGAGGCGGAUCACCGGACGAGGAUUUGAAGGCAAUCUUUGGAAAGGGUCCUGGCGGACAACCUGUUCCGAAGGACGCUGACGGACGCGCACCCAUGUGGAAGAAGAAAUCUAUAUUUUGGGACCUGCCAUAUUGGAAAGACCUAGAGGUCCGCUCCACAAUCGACGUGAUGCACGUGACGAAGAAUCUUUGCGUGACCCUGCUUGGCUUUUUGGGCGUGUAUGGGAAGACAAAAGAUACACCAGAGGCACGGGAGGACCAGCAACGUAUGCACGGAAAAGACGACAUACAUCAGGGUCAGGCCAGCUACGCUCUUACCAAAGAAGGGAAGGAAAUCUUCUUCGAAUGCCUGCUCAGUAUGAAGGUACCGUCUGGCUUCUCGUCGAAUAUAAAGAGAAUAAUAAAUAUGGCAGAGAAAAAGUUCCAGAACCUGAAGUCUCAUGACUGCCACGUGAUUAUGACGCAACUCCUUCCGGUUGCAUUGAGGGGGCUUCUACCAGAAAAUGUUCGAUUGGCCAUUGUGAAGCUAUGUGCAUUCCUCAAUGCAAUCUCGCAGAAGGGAAUCGAUCCAGAAAUCAUACCAAGGUUACAGAAUGAUUUGGUGCAAUGUCUUGUCAGUUUCGAGUUGGUGUUCCCACCAUCCUUCUUCAACAUCAUGACGCACGUCCUAGUUCACCUUUGCGAAGAGAUUAACGUUUUGGGUCCUGUAUUUCUACACAAUAUGUUCCCCUUUGAAAGGUUCAUGGGAGUGUUGAAGAAAUAUGUUCAUAACCGUGCUAGGCCAGAAGGAAGCAUCUCGAAGGGCCAUGAAAAUGAGGAGGUCAUUGAGUUUUGUAUUGACUUUAUUCCUGACCUUAAGCCGAUUGGUGUUCCUGAAUCGCGACAUAAGGGCAGACUGGAAGGAAAAGGCACGCUAGGAGGGCAUCAAAUAAUAUGUAUGGACGGGCAUUCUCUCACUGAAGCACACUACAUAGUUCUACAGAAUUCCGCCUUGGUGGCUCCGUAGAUGGAGGAACACAAGAAUUUUCUACAGUCCAAACACCGGGAGAAGUCUGACGACUGGACUACACGCGAACAAACGAGGACUUUCGCCGGUUGGUUGCAGAAACGUGCCCUGAAUGAUGGCGAUAUUCAAAAUGACCUGUACUCGCUGUCCCAGUUACCAUCUUCGAAUAUAAUGACUUUCAAAGGGUACCAGAUAAAUGGGAAUACAUUUUACAUGAUCGCCCAAGAUAAGAAGAGCACCAACCAAAACAGUGGUGUCCGCUUUGAUGCAACAACCAACACGGGAAAGGAAACAUAUUAUGGUUACAUAGAGGACAUAUGGGAACUUAACUAUGGAUCGGGUGAUUUGAAGGUCCCUUUGUUUCGGUGCAAAUGGGUCAAUAUGACACGAGGCGGGGUAACGGAAGACCCGCAGUACGGAAUGACAACAGUGGAUCUCAACAAUCUUGCGUAUGCAGACGAACCAUUCGUCCUAGCCAAUGAUGUGGCGCAGGUUUUUUAUGUGAAAGACAUGUCUACCAGGCCGAGAAAAAGAAAAGAUAAGGAAGCGAAUGGAUCAUACGACGAGCCAAAGCGCCACAUAGUUCUUUCAGGAAAAAGAAACAUCGUGGGAGUGGAUGACAAGACAGACAUGUCAGAAGAUUAUGAAAAGUUUGAUGAAAUUGCUCCAUUCAUAGUGAAUAUUGACCUGAGCAUCCAGUUAAAUGAUGAAGAUUUUCCCUGGCUACGGCGCAAAGGGACACACGAGAAGAAAAAGUUUCACACCCAAAUAUCUGGGAUGUGAUCGGCUUCACUAUCAUCACUUUCUUCUGUGUUUCACACCCAGGAGGGAAUGUCUGUAAUAGUUAGGGUAGUUAAUUAUGUGUUUUGGCAUUUGAAACGUGAAGAAAUUUUAUGUGCAAACAAAUUCUUUUUCAUGCAUUUACUGUUUUUUUCCAGCUAAAUGACCCUGAAAUUGAAAAGCAUUUGAAAUGAACUCAGAAAAGGUUGAAAGUUGGCAUGGUAUCAUAAUUUCAUACAAAUAGCAUGUGCAAAAAAGUAGAGAGGGUUACCGCAAAAACUGGAUACACUUCGUGUACAAAAUGGACAAUCUUUUUCGAAGUAUCAGGGUUUCCGACGAAAACUGAAAUGUUACAAAGGCAUUUCAUUUUUUAAAUAACCUAAGCAUUACCAAAUUGAAUAUAAUGAUAAAACACACUAAUAUUAAACAUAAUAAAAAAGAAUCACUGAAAAAUAUUUUUCCAAAGUUAAGUUAUUCACAAACUAGUGAUUCACACAAAUUUCAAAUAAUUCAAAAUUUAAACUAUUCAAAUUUGAAAACUACCGGCACUAACAGAUCAAAGUUUGUAAAUUUUUGUACCUAAAGCAAAAAUAUUCACAAACAAGCUCUAAAUACAGCAAAAAACAACUAGAAACUCAACCUUUUAUUGGGCCAGGAUGCAGGCCCGCAAAGGCCCAGUAGGCCCACAUGGCAGCAAUGAAUUGGUAAUCCCAGUAGGCUUGCUUAGGAGAGGAGCUUGAGAGAGGUACCGCACUGGGGCUUAUAAACCAGUGCGGUAGCCCUUCGACUAGCGAGGUGGGACUAAACUUGCCGCACCGCACUGCGCCAGCGCACCACCUUUAGUACCGGGUGGUGGCACCAACCGGUACUAAAGGGGGGUCUUUAGUACCGGUUGGAGCCACCACCCGGUACUAAAGGGGGGGCACUUCCCGCCGCUUGGCCUGGGCAAAACAGACCUUUAGUACCGGUUGGUGGCUCCAACCGGUACUAAAGGUCCAUCCUAUAUACAACACUUGAAAAAAAUUUAGUUUCCCUCUUUGUUCUUCCCUCUGUUUCCUCCCUCCGUCGCGCCGCCCUGCCCCGAUCGUUGCCGCCCCCGCCCCUCGUCGCCGACCCCGGCCGUCCCCACCCCUCGUUNNNNNNNNNNNNNNNNNNNNNNNNNNNNNNNNNNNNNNNNNNNNNNNNNNNNNNNNNNNNNNNNNNNNNNNNNNNNNNNNNNNNNNNNNNNNNNNNNNNNNNNNNNNNNNNNNNNNNNNNNNNNNNNNNNNNNNNNNNNNNNNNNNNNNNNNNNNNNNNNNNNNNNNNNNNNNNNNNNNNNNNNNNNNNNNNNNNNNNNNNNNNNNNNNNNNNNNNNNNNNNNNNNNNNNNNNNNNNNNNNNNNNNNNNNNNNNNNNNNNNNNNNNNNNNNNNNNNNNNNNNNNNNNNNNNNNNNNNNNNNNNNNNNNNNNNNNNNNNNNNNNNNNNNNNNNNNNNNNNNNNNNNNNNNNNNNNNNNNNNNNNNNNNNNNNNNNNNNNNNNNNNNNNNNNNNNNNNNNNNNNNNNNNNNNNNNNNNNNNNNNNNNNNNNNNNNNNNNNNNNNNNNNNNNNNNCAAUGUCCACACACACACACACACAGUACUACACACACACACACACACUACACACACACACACACACUACACACAUUAGUUUGUUUGUUAUAAAUUUUUCUGUUUUUUAGUUAUAGGAAUGUUAGAAAUUAUUCUGUUUUUUAGUUAUAUAAAUAUUUGAAAUGUUAGUUUUAUAGAAAUGUUAUAAAUGUUUUCUGUUUUUUAGUUAUAGAAAUAUUUAUAGAAAUGUUAGCAUUUUUUCUGUUUUUUAGUUAUAUAAAUAUUAGAAUUGUUAUGGAAAUGUUAGUUAUAUAAUCAUGAAAUUUUAGAAUUAGUUUUAGUUAGAUGAAUUAGAUUAAUGUCAAAUUGUUAGAAUUUGCAUAUAUAUAGAAUUUUAGUUUAUCACAAUCCAAUCAUUUAAAAAAUGUUACUUUUUGCGGGCAUAUAGUAUUUUUUCUCGACGAUAUGCCCAGCCCGCAUCCUCACCGUCGACCCGUUCGCGACGACGUCAUGCUUCAGGGGACCCAUGUCCGGGAGUGGGCUCCGCCGGGCUGGCACUAGGAGGUGCUACCUGGAGGGGCGCGCCGCUUGGUGAGGAACCCGACCUCGGGUCCCGUCGUCGACCCUGAUCUUCUUUGGUGGCGUUCGCGUGGGCCACAUUUGGUGCAGAGGCAGCCGGCCCCACCAAAGGUGGUGCAUCGCCGUGUCAGGGAGGAAGAUGAGCACGUCCAUCGCUACAUGGCUGCUAUGGACGACGCCAGGUUCUCCACUACUUGGCGGGUUCUUUGGGCAGAUGACCGGAGAUAUGAUCAUGUGAUGGUUCCUUCUCUUUGGGUGUGCACCGCCCGCGCCCCAGGAACCGCGAGUGGCGCCCUAGAUUCUUCUGUAGUACUCGAUCUUUAUUAGGUACCUAGCCAGUGAUGUAUUCGAUAUAUAGUAUUCGAGACGAUGUAUUCGAGAUUAUAUAUAUUAAGACGAUGAUGUAUUCUAGAUUAUAUAUUUGAGAGGAUGUAUUCGAGAUUCAGAUUUUCCUUAUUGAUUAAUUGCAUCCAUGCUUGUAAUUUGAAUACGAAAUUGUUUUAUAUUUCUUCUGUAUUAUUUGUAAAGUAAAAGCUAUGGCGGACAAUACCGGCAGAGAGAGAGAAGAGGAAUUGUUCGACAUCAUACGCAGCCCUCACAAGCUAGAUGAUCUGAAUGAAGCAGAUGUCGGCUCCCAAUAUCUUAACAAUAACGGAGAGGGUGAUGAAAAGAUAUUCGAUCUCGACGACCGGCCUGAUGAAGUCAUGAACUAUGAUUAUGAUUAUGACACAGACAAUGCUGAUCUUCAAAUAACAAACACUACCGGCGAGGUAUAUUUAUAUAAGCAUGCAUCAUGGUGAUCAUGACAUGUUUUUUUUAUUGAAGAUAUAUUAACGAAUCGAUCAUUCUUCUUUCAGCCCUCCGGAUCGAGCAAAUCUGCUUCUACAGACAGCAAGACAAAGCGAGGCCCGGGCAGAUUGUUGAAGGAUUGUGUAAAGUACCACAUCAAAUCCAUCAAACCUAGUGGCGAACCCCUCACGCCUAAGAACAUUGCGAACAAGUAGAUUCGUCAGUGCGGAGUUCUUGUGAAGGACAAACUCCCGAUCUCCAUUCAAGAAUGGAAAGAGCCAAAGACUUAACGUCCAGGUGUUACUUGGGUCGAUGGCAGAGCCAAAGAAGACCCGGUGAAAUCUCUGAUGGAACAUUUCACCCUACCAGAUCAUUUCACUAAAGCAGAUGUGGACAAAGUCAAGGCCGCUGCUCUUAAGAAGAUGGCAAUUGCAUUCAACACCCACAAGAAAACUGUAUGGGCCAACUACCUCGCUAAUGAAAGGAAGACUCCAGAUUUCAAGGGAACACUGGAGAAGCAAAGAGAACAUUGGGACGAUUUCGUGACCUUCAAGGAUUCAGAAAUAUCUAAGGAAUGGUCGAUGAAAAACAAGGCAAAUGCUGCAAGAAAGACGCAGUUCCAUAGGCUGGGUCCAGGUGGCUACCCGGUGGCAUUGCCUAAGUGGGAUAAGUCUGAGCAAGAGAUGGGGGAUGCAGGGGUCACUCCGGUUACCCGGCACUGGCCCGCCAGGUGCAGAACUUGGUUCUAUGCGCAUGGGGGGCGUUGGACCCGAAGACAGACAUGGUUUCGAAGAAGCCAAGUCUAAAAGGAUCCGAACAAAAGAUAAUUGACGCAAUAGAAGAAGCUCGAGCGGGGGUGUUCACGCCCAACAGAGAGAACGACAAGCUUACGCGUGCCCUGGGAAAUCCUGAACACCCAGGAAGAACACGAGGCAUGGGUGUUAUUCCCUGGUAUGAGGGCUUUUCGGACUGGAAUGACGACUACAGGUCCCGUGCAAGAAAGAAGAUGGAGGAGGAGAAGAAGAGGAAGCUGGAGGAGGAGCAUAGGAAGCAGGACGCAGAACGCCUUCAAGGCCUAGAAGCAAGGCACGUGGACCUGGCACUCAAAUUCCAGCAGCAGCAGCAGCAGAUCGACUCACUUAGCCAGGAAAGGGGGUCUCAGCAGCGGUAGCAGCAAGCGGAUGAUCGUCCAGCAUUGGAUAGCACCGACCAUCCAUGCCGAGAAGCAGCGUUGGUUCUGCCCCGGGCGACACACUGCUGGAUAAAUACCCUGUGGAUGACAUCAUAGAGAACACUAACUGCGAGCUACACUCCAAAAUGAAGAACAUAUCCAUGAAGGUGGCGGACGGCAUUGCUUUUCCAGUUACCCCCGAAGCAACCUACCAUUGCAUCCCGAUUCCAGAGGGCUAUGCUCGUGUCAUGGUUGAUGAAGUGGUGGACCCAUAUUCGGGGCUAACGCUUGACAUUCCUGGAGGUGAAGACGAGUGCACACUCGGAGAGGCCAUACAUCGUAUCAUCCUAUGGAGAAAGGAUUGGAUAAUCUUUCGAAGUCCACCGACACCGCGUCGUCUGCCAACUCCUUGAAGUCCACCACUGAGUCAGCAGACUCCCGCUCCUCCAAGUCCACAAACGCGUGAGACAACUCCUCCUCGAAGUCCGCCAGCUCCUCCAAGUCCCCGAACGCGUGAGCUGACUCCUCCGGUUUCAAGCCCGGCACAGCGUCAUGCCACUUCUCUGGUUGCAAGUCCGGCACCGUGUCAGGCCACACCUCCUGCUUCAAGUCCGGCACAUCGUCAGGCCACUUCUCCUAGUCCAACUCCACGUCAGCCGUCUCCGCCGUCUCAGCAAUCGCAGAAGAGACAUCCCGCAGCUUUGGUGCGUAGCGGUACGAGUCGAGGUAGUUCAGGAAGUACAGGCGAAGGCAAGCGAUAUAAAUAUGGUCCAAGCCUCGCUCCUCUUCCUCAGAGGCCUUACGACAUGACUAAGGAGCAAAACACAGCCAUAGUGCAAGCCCAAGUGGACGCCCAUUUUGGAGCGAAACCGGCACCGCCGCCAAAGGAGAAAGUGCCUGAGAAAGUAAUUGACCACUUCAUUCGUAUGGAUAGAGAACCAGCUCCCAAGCCUGUUGACUCGGACUAUGAGCGCCUAAUCAGGAAGGCACAUCGAGGACGACUACAGAAGGAAGCGAGCUCAAGCUCGAGCCAAAAAGCAGCUGGCAAAAAAUGCAGGAAAACCGUUCCCCAGUUGGGAGAACAGGCGGUGCAAGCGAUCCCCCCGCUUGUUGUGCCAACAACACACGAGAGGAGUAGUACGCGCGCCAAAUAUUAUUGUGGGCAAACCGUUAGCAUUCCCCAGCAUGGCGAUGUGGUAAUAACAGAGGAUCAUAUAAUGCAGGCUCAAAUGCUCAAUAUCUCUGUUGGACAACUCCUCGAAAUCGAGCCCAUGUCUGCGCUUAAAGAAUCGGAAAUAGCAUGGCAAUAUGUCCAGGGCAAACCUUUGGUCCAUCUAGACAAGUUCAAGGACCUCCCAACGAGAAUGUAUCAAUUGCAUCAAUGGUACAUGAACAUUACCAAUAUUUCCAAUCGAGAGUCCCUAAUGGUGAAUGUCAAGCAUGAGCAUUAUUACCAUGAGAAAGCUCUGGCUAUUGAGUAUCCAGAACUAUUUCAGUUAUUUAAUCAAGACGCACUCGACAAGUCUAUCGUCAGUUGCUAUUGUUUGUAAGUGAUUUCUUUCUAUAAUUUAAUUCUCAAGCUAGUUAUGUAGUGAUAAUUUUGAUCAAUCAUUACAUGUAAUUAUCCUCACUAUAUUCUUUUUCUGUGGUAUUAUAUGCAGGAUGAAGAUGUAUGAAAUGAAAAAAGCUGGACGCUAUGGCGUUGGGUUCAUUGACCCAAAUACCAUUAAUCAGGACAUAUGGCAGAUUGAAUAUUGUCGAGAUGAUGUAGAAGAAAGCAUGCUAGAGUUCUUGAAGCGCCUCAAUACCAAUGAAGAUAUACUACUUCCCUACAACUUCCCAUGAGUCACACUGUCUUGUACUAUAAAUUCUGUUUUUGCUUACUAGCUAGCUAGAUGUUAAUAAUUAAGUGUAUACGGUUUACGGUAGUUGAUUAAUUUUAUGCACAUUCCCGCUUAAUUAAGACAUGCAAACGUGUGGGUAUGCAGUUGGCACUGGGUCUUGUUAGACAUUAAAGUUGAGGAAGGAAAAGUUGAAUUAUUGGACUCACUAACUAAAUAAGAUACAGACUACACCAUAGUGAAGGGGAUAGUCAACAGGUAAUUUCAAUCAUUAUUAACUAUUAAUUAGUUCCUCAUAUGAACUAUUUAAUAACCUCUUUAUUAAUUUUCUUUGCCGGCGGGCAGGGCAUGCGCAAAGUUCAUCAAGGUGACUCCAGGCACGUGGCCAAAAAAGUUGUGUUGGUUUCGACCCAAGGUAAGUAAUUAAGUAGUACUAGCUAGCUACUAUCUCUUUAAUUCUUGUUUCAAUAUCAUUAUCUGAUUCAAUUCAAUUCUCAUAAAGGCCCUGAGGCAGGCGAAAGGGAAUAAUCUGUGUGCAUACUACGUUUGCGAGAACAUUCGCAUGAUGACGUGUGAAAGGAGCAGAUCUGAUAGAACAGGCCUGGGUACGUUUUUGUCAGAACACUAUUUACACCAUUAUUGAUAUCUAGUCACACAACUAACACACAUGCAUAUUGAUAUCCUUCUUAACAGUUCAGAUCGGUGUGGGAUAAGCUCCUACCAUCGGACCGCGUACAAGCACUUUAAGAGGAAAUAGCCGGAUUUUUGCUCGACCAGGUCAUAGAUCCGAAAGGAGAAUACUAUUACCCGCUACCGCCCCCAUGAACCACUUGUCAUUGUGCUCCGAAGGCACCAAGGCAAUAUGUAGUAAAAAUUGUAUAUGUAUAUAGAUGUGUAUAUGUGUGAAUAGUUAAUGGUGUUGGCUGUGAGACAUUCGAUGAUAUAUUAUAUAUAUAUAUAUAUAUAUAUAUAUAUGCGGUUCUACGUAUGAGAAAAUCUAUUUAAUAUAUAUGCAUAACAUGUACAAUUUGUAAUAUCGUGAAAUACCAGCAAACAAAAAAGAAUUAAAUGGAAAAUAAAGCCAAAUUGAAAACACAAAAUCAAAGAAAAAAUUNNNNNNNNNNNNNNNNNNNNNNNNNNNNNNNNNNNNNNNNNNNNNNNNNNNNNNNNNNNNNNNNNNNNNNNNNNNNNNNNNNNNNNNNNNNNNNNNNNNNNNNNNNNNNNNNNNNNNNNNNNNNNNNNNNNNNNNNNNNNNNNNNNNNNNNNNNNNNNNNNNNNNNNNNNNNNNNNNNNNNNNNNNNNNNNNNNNNNNNNNNNNNNNNNNNNNNNNNNNNNNNNNNNNNNNNNNNNNNNNNNNNNNNNNNNNNNNNNNNNNNNNNNNNNNNNNNNNNNNNNNNNNNNNNNNNNNNNNNNNNNNNNNNNNNNNNNNNNNNNNNNNNNNNNNNNNNNNNNNNNNNNNNNNNNNNNNNNNNNNNNNNNNNNNNNNNNNNNNNNNNNNNNNNNNNGUUUAGUCCCCACUCCGUCACGAACCGGCACUAAAGGCCGGUUCUGCACUAGUGACUUAUCGGUGCACGCCAAUAAUGUGACCCCACCUAUAAGCCUUUUCCCAGUAGUGAUAGCAUUUUAAUCUGUUAGGAGGAUUCACCACUAUAAUAGAAAGAUCCAAGGAUCAAGCACCUAAAUAUCAUCAAAGUCCAUACUGUCAUACUUACAAAUAGGUUGUUUUAAUAUACAUGAACGGGGUUCAACCUUUAGAUGUGAACUAAAAUGGCCACCAACUAGCAAUCAAUGAUGGCUUCACUAGUUUCAGUCUAUACAGCGGUAUGAAAGUUUAUAUAUAUACAUAUUUCUCGGGGUGGUCGCAUCCUUGAAUUCUGGUACGUCGGUCAUUCUUAACAUCACCAGAAAUAUGAAAAUGAUUGAAAAAACUUAUAGUAUCUCCUAUAAGGUAAUAUCUACAGUACAUUACGGUCUUGAAGAUACUAAUUUUAUUCAUCUCUGAGAGCCUUCUGUCACAAUCUACCCAGCAACGGACGACUGGGAUGAUUUCUUCACCGGACUGUAGAGAUCAUGCGCCUUGGAUCCACAUGUCAUGGACACACACUAACUAUAGCGAUCACGCGCCCUCGGACCACCCAUCAUCGAGCUUCCAACUGGGUCGCCCGAUUGCGAGCCGUCCGGGCAGAUCAGAUGGCUCGGAGCCGCCCCACGAGGCUCCUGCCGCAAGCCAACUGGCAAUCGAUGCGCAGGAGCCUUUCCUCACCCUCGAAAAGCCCAGGAAGGCGCGCACUCUAGCAUUCUUUAUAUAGGAAUAAUGGGUUAAUUGAUUCAACAGGAUUUACCAGAAUAGUUCAUAACGUUUUUGCCGGAUCAUCACAGUUUUUUUAUGUUUGAUGUAUACAAUGUAAUAAUGCGUCAAUUCUCCAUCAUUAUUUACCGGAAUAUUAUGGAAGAUGUUGUUUUUUUCUCUUUAACUUGACAAAGUAGUAAGAAAAUAGUAUUUAUACCCAUAUUAGUUGUUAUAUUUUAUUUUAUUUUUGAUAUAAUUAAAUAUGUAUUGUCUAUGAAGUGUUCCCGUUCUUUUUGACAAGUACUAUUGUAUUUUAUGGAUCCUUGAUGUUGCAAACAAACUGUAUUCCUUUAGUGGUGCUGCUUAAAUGAGUACAAUGUGAUUAAGCCUUUUAAAAUUGUACUCUGUUGGACAAUGUUAUUUCUUCAUCUUUUAGGAAGUGUUUACCAUUAUGGCUCAUACAAAUAAAAUUAUGAAAAAUUGAUCCUAAAAAAGGCAUGAUUAAAUUCUUUUCUACAAUUGUGAUAUUUUAUUUAACACAAAAAUUGUACUGUUUACUAGCCAUAAUGAGAACAUCCAGGAAAUCAUAAAAAGAAGUUAACCAUUUCAAAGUUUGAUCACAAUAAUUAAAGAUGGUGCCCUCGCAUAUGCGAGGAACACUUUGCAAGUGUCAUCUAAAAGAAAACUUGGUAAUUAUAUAUUACCUUUGAGAAGAAUUCAAUUUUUGUGGCUUCCUAAAUCCUAUAUUCCUAAAAAGUUCAUUACCACUAAAAGCAAAGUAUUCUUAAAAAGUUAAUCCUCACCACAAGCAAUUCUCUCAACAUGCGCAGCCCACCAGCUCAAAAAGUGUUCAAUGUCAGCAUUCACUAUUUUUUAGCCAUGCAUCACAUCAACUACCUUUAAGUUUUACAACAUGCACUCACCAACCUCACCAAGACAUGAAUAUUUGCCACAUCACAAUUAGUCAUGUGCUUAUCGAAGUCAUGCAUCUUAGAAAAACUCAUGUCAUUAGCAUGCCAUCUUAUUGAUGUGGUACAGAUUACUAACUCAAACUGACAGAUCGUUAUGGUGUGUAUUAAAGAGUGAAAAUAUGAAUUGAAGAAUGCAACACGUGCAUACAAGUAUUGGCUAGUGUGUCGUCUAUCCGUAAAUAAUAAGGGCAUCGAGGUGUCUUGGAGCAGCAAGGCAUCCACGAUGUACCCAUUGAUGUGCGGAUGCAUUGGCUUGUCUGAAAUCCCGCCAACUGGAUGCAAAGCAGGGGGAGGUGAGCAGGCUUAUGAACCCCCACAACGUACUAGUUCGGCACCCCGGUCCAAUCAAAAUAUUCUCUCGGGCACGCGCCAUCUCCGGCGCAACUGCAUCUCCACUCUCCACGCUGCAUUCAGGCCGGCCUAGAGGGGACGCGACCGGUCACUAGAGCCAUCAUUGAAUGAGAGUGCUGGUCGAGAGCACCACUCCCGUCACGUCAUGGUCUCCGCGCCUGUUCAAUGCCGGAGAGACGUGACCGGAUGGGGUGACGAGACGACUAUCUACCGCAUUGAAGUCGUCCGCUCAUCUAUCUGUGUGUCGAUAUUAAACAGACGUGAUAGCCGAGAAAACCACUCCAGUGUCCGCACUGAAACAACUUGAUGUUUGGAUUGGUCGAUGCCCUUUAUUUAUAUGUGGCCGCGCACAACAUGAUCCGCACCACACCACGUCCAUUUUCGUUCCUCCUCUGUGCACCGCCUUUGCCACGAGAAGCUCUAGAGCGAAGUGGGAGACCCUCUCGGCGGAGAAGGAGCACGAUUGGCCAGGUUUGCGGCUGACUAGCAGCACCGUCAUGUGUGACGAAUAGAGGCUGGUUCGCCGAAGGUGAGAAACGACGACACGACGAUGAGUCGGCACCCCCGCUCACACAGGUCCAUGGCGAAACCACACUUCAACAUCGUCAUGACGGAGGAGCAGCCGACACCACUAGGGUUGAUGUUUUGGUUGGCGCCGGAGGAGCAAGGCUACAACCUUUCCAACCUCCCGCAUUACCGGCUGGCUGAGGGACAAAAUCUAUGGCGACUUCGCAAGCGAGGAGGCCACGGCGGCCAUGGCCUCGGAGGAGCCGAACUUCGUCGAACAGCAGGUAGCGCUCUACGAGAGCACGUGCAGCGCUCGUGCCGGCUCCAACACGGUCACGGUUGAGGCGGGCACUACGGCUUAGGCAAUCGUGAACGGGAACGGUUAAAUUGGCAGCUCCGCGUCACCCGCGGUUCCCGUCGGGCCCCAAGGAUAAUGAGUCUGGCCCGUUCCAUGUCCUUCUUGGACCUCACAUUGACCGAUGACAUCCAAGCAACAGAAUUCGACAAGGAAGAGUAGGACAUGGGAGAAGAAGGGGUCCGUAUCCCAUGUGGGCAUGCCCGUGUCCCAUUUCUUACUCUUCAUCACCGGUGAGCCACAACUUCACUUUGUGGAGCUCAGGCCCAGCAAAGAUGGCGGACAUGUGGGAGACGGGACAUGAAACAAGGACGCCUCCACGGCUGGCGAAGAUUUAGACUAGAUUAACAUUUUAUGUUAAAAAUGUCAUGUACACUUUUUAAAAUGAAAUAUGCAAAAAAUGUCAUGUAUUUAGACCGGUUUAAAGGAUCCUCCAGUUUGUUCAAAUACCGUUUAAAGUGUGUCCGGACGUUUGAUGGAUAGGGUUGAAUGGCCGACUCCUGUAUCACAAUCCGUGGACAGAUACUAACGUCCGUUUUAGGGGAUAGCGUUGAAGAUACACUAGAGCCUUUCUUCUUGAAAAACUCUAGAAUGCUAUAUGACUUUUUGGAGAUACAUUUACAGAAAUGAUAAAAAUAGAAAUACCGAAUAUUAGUCUGACAAUCUGACUUGAGAUGUUUUUUUAUCAGAAAAAAUAAUUUAAUUUAUUUUGAAAAUUACUUAAGCCGUUAAAUUUCUAACUUAGCAAUGAUGCUUAGCCACGUUGGAAAGAAAUCCAAUGGAAGAAAAGACAACACUCGUUUAAGAAAAGACAAACUUCACACAAUAUAUGUAUAAGCAGCAGAAAAGUGUGGUUCCCAUCAGCUAAGCACACGUAAUCUAGGUCUGAUCACCUCAUCCUCAUCCGAGGCAUCGGACGAUAAGCUAGACUGACGUGUAACGUGCGCGUAUCCGGCGCCUUUUAGGUACGAGAGCGCGCGCUCGGCCGAGUAGACGCAUGCAUCCACGCGAGAACAGAAACGGCAAAGCGCUGACAGCAGUAAAAUCAGCAAGACAUGUUGUACUAGUGUACUUGAUACCUUUACGAAACCACAUGCAGUGCUCACGCCGACUGCAACGCAAUUGCGAAUGGAAACAACGGCAGCUCCGCAUCUCCCACGGUUCCCAUCGAGCUACAACGACCACGAGUCCGGCCCGUCCACAUCUAUCGUGGAACUUACAUCGACCGGCGACGUCCAAGCGAUGGAAUUCGACAAAGAAGAGUAGCACAUGGGAGACGGACGCGUCCGUGUCCUUGCAGGAAUAUCUGUGGCCCAUGUCUUACUCUUUAUGGCCGGUGACUACCAGCUUCACUUCCAGGAGCGCAGAACCGGCAAAGAUGCCGGACAUGGGGAAGACAGUACAUGGAACAUGGACGCCUCCACGGCUGGCGAAGAUUUCGACUAAGUUAACAUUUUAUAUUAAAAAAUGUCAUGUACACUUUUGUUAAAUGAAAUAUAUUAAAAAUGUCAUGAAAUUGGUCCGGUUUAAAUGAUCGACCGGUUUGUUCAAAUACCAUUUAAAAUGUUACCAGAUGUUUGAUGGAGAGGGUUGGAUGGCCGGCUCCUGUAUCACUAUCGUGGUUGGACACUAGGUCCGUUUUAGGGGAUAGCGCUGACGAUACCCGAAAGCCUUUUUUCUAAAGAAACACUACAAUGCUACAAGUCUUUUUGAAGAUAUGUUUAUGGAAAUGUUAAAAAUAGAAAUACCUAAUAUUAAUCUAACAGUCUGACUUGAGAUGUGUUUUUAACAGAAAAAAUAAUUUAAUUUAUUUUGAAAUUCCCGUAAACCCUUAAAUUCCUAACUUAACAUUGAUGCUUAACCACGUUGGAUAGAAAUGCAUUAGAAGAAAAGACAACAUCCGUUUAAGAAAAGAGAAACUUCACAGUACAUGUAUAAGAAGCAGAAAAGUGUGGUUAACAUCAGCUAAGCGCACGUAAUCUAGGUCUCUGUCCCUUCUGGUGCAUCAGAUGAUAAACUUGGCUGUGCGGCCCUUUUCGACCGAGGACGCGCCAUCGAAAGUAGUAAAAUCAGCAAUGAAAGCUGUACUAGUGUGCCUGACCCCUUUACGUACAGGCCAUCUUAUAUAUCGUUUGUCGUGUUAAUCAGCGAGAAAGCAGUGCGUGUAUAAUAGUAUAAGCUGGGAGAAAUACAACUAAACAAAAGUGAAAAGAAACAAGGCAAGCUGCAAGGCGGUUCUAUAGGUGCACGCCAUGAUAUUUUUUUUGUCAGUGUUAAUAACCACACUCCGUUCAUGUUGAGGUAGCGUGGUUCUAAUGAGUCUGAAACGUACGUACGCGACGCAUGGCUUGAUGCCGGAGGCUGGGCUGCACAAGACCCGCUGUUAAACCCCUAUCGUCUUGCACACAUCAGGCAUCCACCUCAAAGCGCAUCCACCUCCAUUCGAUUAUGGUAGAGGCCUUGGCAGCCACAGGGGCGGGUGAAAACAGCAGGUUAACUGGGGUGAGAAAGAAUAGGGAUGGCAAGUUCGCCGCAGCUAUCAAGCACCCGGUGACGAAGACGUUAUUGUGGAUGUGGACGUACCAGUCCCCCGAGGUCGCCGCGUGCGCGUACGACCUUGCGGCUAGGGAGCUGAAGGGCGCAAAGGCAAAGCUCAACUUCCCCUACCCUCCGCCGGUCAGAUUGGUUAAGGAGGUGAUAUCUACACCGAGGCACCGCAGCCAUGGUCACGACGCACUGCUCUUUCAUAUCUACACCGAGGCACCGCCUCCAUCGCCGCCUGGGCUGGUAGUGUACUUCCCCUUCCCCUUUGAAGCGCCUGCUGGCGACACCCCACAUGUGCCUGCAUGCCUGUUCCUGCACAUGCCGCUUCCGGCAUGAGCAGGUCUCAGCCUGCAGCCGGCGCACGCACAGAACUAGCAGAGAUCUAUAUGUGAAAAGCUCGUAAGCAAUGGAUCAAUGAUGGAGAAUUAUGUCAAAUGUCAUUCAUCAUGCAACAGCUAUAACCUAGGGUGACACAGAACUAGCUCCAAUUCAUCAACAUAAUGUAUGCAUGUAUUCCGAAUAUAGUCAUGCGUGCUUAUGGAAAAGAACUUGCAUGACAUCUUUUGCCCUACCCUCCCGUGGCAGUGGGGUCCUAAUGGAAACUAAGGGAUAUUAAGGCCUCCUUUUAAUAGAGAAACGAACCAAAGAAUUAGCACUUAGUGAAUAUAUGAACUCCUCAAACUAUGGUCAUCACCGGGAAGUGACCCAAUUAUUGUCACUCCGGGGUUGCCGGAUCAUAACACGUAGUAGGUGACUAUAACUUGCAAGAUCAGAUCAAGAACACAAAUAUAUUCAUGGAACCAUAAAGGGUUCCGGUAUGAAUUCAUGGUACUCAGGCCCUAGUGACAAGCAUUAAGCAUAGGAAAGUCAUAGCAACAUCAAUCACAGAACAUAGUGGAUACUAGGGAUCAGACCCUAACAUAACUAACUCGAUUACGUGAUAAAUCUCAUCCAACCCAUCACCUUCCAGCAAGCCUACGAUGAAAUUACUCACGCACGGUGGUGAGCAUAGUGAAAUUGGUGAUGGAGGAUGGUUGAUGAUGACGAUGGCGACGGAUUCCCCUCUCCGGAGCCUCGAACGGACUCCAGAUCUGCCCUCCCGAUGAAGAACAGGAGGCGGCGGUGGCUCCCUAUCGUAAAACACGACGAAUCCUUUUCUCUGAUUUUUUUCUCCCCGAACGUGAAUAUAUAGAGUUGGAGUUGAGGUCUGUGGAAGUCCAGGGGACCCACAAGGGAGGGGGGCGCCCCCGGCGCACCCUCCACCCUUGUAGAUAGCUGGUGGGUCUCCCUCUAUUGGUUCUUUUUCCAAUAUUUUAUAUAUAUUUCGAAAUAUUCUCCGUGAAGUUACAGGUCAUUCCGAGAACUUUUAUUUCUACGCAAAAAUAACACCAUGGCAAUUCUGCUGAAACAUCGUCAGUCCGUGUUAGUUUCAUUCAAAUCAUGCAAAUUAGAGUCCAAAACAGGGGAAAAAUAGUUUGGAAAAAUAGAUAUGAUGGAGACGUAUCAUAUACCUUUAGUGGUGCUGCUUAAAUGAGUACAAUGUGAUUAAGCCUUUUAAAAUUGUACUCUAUUGGACAAUGUUAUUUGUUAAUCUUUUAGGAAGUAUUUAUCAAUAUGGCUCGUACAAAUAAAUUAUCAAAUCUUUAUCCUAAAAAGGCAUAAUUAAACUCUUCACUAAAAUUGUGAUAUUUUAUUUAAUAAAAAAUGUAUUGUUUCCUAGCCAUAAUGAGAACAUCCAGGAAAUCAUAAAAAGUUAACCAUUUCAAAGUUUGAGCACAAUAAUUAAAAUGGUGCCCUCGCAUAUGCCAGUAGCACUUUGCAAGCGUCAUCUAAAAGGAAACUUGGUAAUAAUCUGUUGGGGAACGAAGCAUGAAAAUAAAAAAAAUUCUAUGAACACCCAAGAUCUAUCAGGGAGAAGCAUAGCAACGAGGGUGGAGAGUGUGUCUACGCACCCUUGUAGACCGUUAAGCGGAAGCGUAUAUCACACGGUUGAUGUAGUCGUACUCUUCAUGAUCCAAUCACGAUCCAAACCGAUGAAGUACUGAACGGACGACCUCCGUGUUCGGCACACGUAUGGAUGGAUGACGUCUACUCCUUCUUGAUCCAGCAAGCAAGGGAUGAGAUGUAGAUGGGAUUGCCGGUAGCACAACGGCGUGACGGUGAUGGUGGUGGAGUGCUUCUAGCGAGGCUAUGUUGAAUGCUACUGAAAUAAUGAAGACGGAUGAGUUACGAAGUAACGGGAGAGAGAGAGAGGGGGGGCAAGGGCUUGUGUGUCCUCUUGGGAGAGCCCCCUCCCCUCUAGGCGGAGGGGCGUGGUGGCUAGCCCUCCAAGCCCUAGGGGCGCACCAAGGGGAAGGAGUUGGACUCCUAGUCUAAUUCCCUCCUUUUCCGUACACAGGUGGACUUUCCACCUCUCCCAAGCCACAUGGGCCUUGAGGGACUUGUGCGCCUGGACCAAUAAGGCAGGGUGUCUUCCCGAAGCCCAUGUUGGCCCUUGGAAAAUGGUGGAACCCUUGGCGGACUUCCAGACUCCUCCGGAAGUUUCCAAAACCUUCUGGAAGCUUUUUCCGAAACCCUGAAUGCAACUUUCCAUAUAUAAAUCUUUACUUUCAGAGCUCCUAGUGAUAUCCGGGAUGUCAUCUGGGACUCUGAACAACAUUUGGUCACCAACAUGCAUAUCCCAAUAUUACUCUAGUGUCACCGAAUGUUAAGCGUGCGGACCCUACGGGUUAGAGAAUCAUGUAGACAUGACCGAGACACCUCUCCGGUCAAUAACCAAUAGCAGAAUCUGGAUGCCCAUAUUGGUUGCUACAUAUUGCACGAAGAUCUUUUGUCGGUUGAACCACGAUGUCAAGGAUUUGGUUAAUCCCGUAUGCAAUUCCCUUUAUCCGGCGAUAUGUUACUUGCCCGAGAUUCGAUUGUCGGUAUCUCCAUACCUAGUUCAAUCUCGUUAGCGGCAAGUCUCUCUACUCGUUCUGUAAUACAAGAUCUCGUGACUCACUCAUUAGCCACAUUGCUUGCAAGCUCUUUCGAUGUUUUAUUAUCGAGAGGGUCCAGAGAUAUCUCUCUAUCACACGGAGUCACAAAUCCAAUUCUCGAUCCAUGCCAACCCAAUAGACACCUUCGGAGAUACAUGUAUAGCAUCUUUAUGAUCACCCUAUUACGAAGUGGCAUUUUAUAGCAAACAAGGUAUUCCUACCGUAGCUGGGAGUUGCAUGAUCACAUGGUCUUAGGAAUAGGUACUUGACAUGAAGAAAGCUAUAGCAAUAAACUCACGUGAUACGAUCGAAUGCUAAGCUUACCGUUAUCAAAUGACAACUCAUAUCUAUGGUUAGUUAACCUUAACCAUCUUUGAUCAACGAGCUAGUCUAGUAGAGGCUCACUAGGGACACAGUAUUUGUUUAUGUAUUCACACAUGUAUUUAAGUUUCAGGUCAACGCAAUUCUAGCAUGAAUAAUAAAUCUUUAUCAUGAACAAGGAAAUAUGAUAAUAACCAAUUUAUUAUUGCUUCUAGGACAUAUUUCCAUCAUUAUCUAUUACCUUUGAGAUAAAUUCAGUUUUUUUGUCUUCCUAAAUCCUAUAUUCCUAAAAAGUUCAUUCCCACUAAAAGCAAAAUAUUCUUAAAAAGUUAAUCCCCACUACAAGAAAUUCUCUCAACAUGCAUCCCUCCACCUCACAAAGUGUUUAAUGUCAACAUUCACUAUUUUUUAGCCAUGCAUCACAUCCACUACCUUAGGUCUUACAACAUGUACUCACCAACCUCAGCAAGACAUGCAUCUUUGCCACAUGACAAUUAGUCAUGUGCUUAUCGAAGUCAUGCAUCUUAGACAUGGCAUUAGCAUGCCAUCUUAUUGAUGUGGUACGGAAUAUUAACUCAAACUAAUAGUAUAUAUUGAUCAUUAUGGUGUGGAUUAAAGAGUGAAAAUAUGAAUUGAAGAAUGCAAUACGUGCUUACAAGUACUGGCUGGUGUGUAGUCUAUUUGUAAAUACUAAGGGCAUCGAGGUGUCUUGGCACUGCAAGCAAUCCAACGAUGUACACCCAUUGAUGUGCGGACGUGUCCACUUGUCCGAAAUCCCGCCAACUGGAUGCAAAGCAGGGGGGCAUGUACCCGUUCGACACCCUAGUCCCAUCAAAUAUUCUCUCGAGCACGCGCCAUCUCCGGCGCAACUGCACCUCCACUCUCCAUGUUGCAUUCAUGCCGGCCUAGAGGGGACGCGACCGGUCACAAGAGCCGGCAUUGAAUGGGAGUGCUUGCCAAGAGCGCCACCCCAGUCAUGUCCUGGUCUCCCCGCCUAUUCAAUGCCGGAGAGAUACGACGAGAUGGGGCGACGAGAUGACUAUCUACCACAUUGAAGUCGGUUCUCAUCUGUGCGUGUGUCAACAAUUACCAGACGAGAUAGACGAGAAACACACUCUGGUGCCCGCACUGAAACAACUUGAUAUUUGGUUUGGUCGAUGCACAACAUGAUCCGCACCACACCACGUCUAUUUUCGUUCCUCCUCUCUGCACCAUCUCUACCACGGUAAGCUUUAGAGUGAAGUGGGAGACCAUCUGGGCGGAGAAGAAGCAUGAGUUAGCCAGCCUUGCGGCCGACUAGCAGCACUGUCAUGUGCAAUGAAUAGAGGCCAUCUAGCCGGAGGUGAGAGACGACGACGUGAUGACGAACCAGCACCCCGUCCGUGCAGGUCCAUUGUGAAACGACACUUCAACAUCGUCAUGAUGGAGGAGCAGUAGCGCCAUCACCAGUGUCAGUGUUUUGUCUGGCGCGGGGAGCAAGGCCACAACCUCUCCAACCUCCGACAUCACCGGCUGGCUGAGGGCCAAAUUUACGGUGACUUCGCAAGCGAGGAGGCCACAGCGGCCAUGGCCUCGGAGGACCCGAACUUCGUGGACCAAUAGGGAGCGCUCUACGAGACAACGUGCAAUGCUCACGCUACUAGGGAAAACCCUAGUAGUAGCGCGGGUUUUGAGGCUAUCAGUAGCGCGAGCACCCACGCUACCAAUAAGGCGCUACAGCUAACUGUCAGUAGUAGCGCUGUCUGCGCCCGCGCUACUACUAUUGACUAUAUCAGCAGCGCGUUUCCCGAACAUGCUGCUAUUAGUUAGCUGUAGCAAUUUCCCGAGCCCGCGCUACUGUUAUAUCUUUCACCAUUUCCCCACUCCAGCUUUAAUAAACUGCAAUUUCCAGAUACUAGGUACUACUAGAUAUCAAUUUCAUAAAGCAUUAUAGGUAUCAAAUUGGAACUAAAACCGCGAUGAGUAAUUUGGAACCGAGGGAGUACUAGAUAACAAUUUCAUAUAUACUCAACAUGCAUCCUCAAGCAGUACAAGGUGACAUCGACGAUGAUCAUCAUAUUUAGUUCUAGAUGAUAUCGAUGACGAUCAUCAUAUGUAGUUCUACAUGAUAUCGACGACGAUCAUCAUAUGUAGUUCUAGAUGAUAUAGCCACACACACACACAUAUGUAGUUCUAGAUGAUAUCGACGACGAUCAUCAUCCUCAAGCCUGGGCGGUGGGUGUUCCUGAUAGUAAUUAGGAUGGCCUGUCCAACACGAAGAUUCUUGCCAAUGAGGAAUCUCUUCCACCCAACCGAAUUUAAGUGUGUGCGACCGCCUGUGUCCAUGCGGUAAGUACAUGUGGUGACGGAGACCCUUGCGGUAAGGCGUAGUCCAGUUGAGCCUUCUUCAUCAGGCUCGAUACCACAACUCACAGAUAGGUUCUUUGGCAAUUUCUGAAUAAGAAAAACAUAUCAAUUAAUAAAUAGCCUCACACAUACUCUUGCAAAUAUAUUUCUAUUAAGUCUAGAUUUCUACACUAUCAAAAGACACAGUACUAUGCAUUUGUACUAAUUAUUCAUGAAUUCUACUAAUAAGUAUAUAUGGAUUAUCUACACUAUUAAUAGUUCCUUGGAUUCUACACUAAUAAGCAUGUGAUCAGACUCUACACUAAAGCAUAUCAACGACUAGAUUCCACACAACAUAUCAUUGGACUCUACACUAAGCAUAUCAUCAGAUAAUUUGCAUUUGUAAGUAUAACAUACCAUAUCAUGUCGAUCGACCAUGGUACUUGUCAGGCGGGUCACGAAUGGCACCCCGACAAAGUCAGCACGUGGUGGAAUUAUGUCCCAUAGGUUGCACACCACCUCCUCGCUCAACUCAUUCUUUGAGCUAGGAUGGCUUCAUGAAGUGGGUUCUCAUCAUCUUCAUCGAGUGGGUCCUCAUUAUCUUCAUCAUCUUCUUCAUCUGCAUCAUCUUCGUCAUCUUCAUCAUCUUCAUCAUCUUCAUCAGCUUCCACCAGGUUGAGAUAAAUGACAGCCAGCUUGGGUCUUUCUGCUCUGAAGGAGAAGUUGAUCAACUCACCACCAGUAAGACGCAUGCGGGCGAGGAAACGGGCCCAUCCAUCUCCUCCAAUGUGCGACAUAUUGCGUCCUUUCUCGACCUCCAUAGUGUAUAGCCCCCCAGGAGCCUCAAAUGUCACAGUGUCUCCUGUCAGCUUGUUGAAUGUCAACCUCACAUUGCAUGGGACGUUCUGUGUACGAAAAAAAUGACACAAUGCAGUAAUGCCAACAUUAAAAAUAAAAUAGUUGUUACAUUUCAUCUAAUUUCUUACCGCCGCAUGACAAAAACUCGGCUGGAAGUAGAUGCCAAACAGCUUGCCAGUUGCAAGGCUGCUGGCGCACCUUGACUUGCACAGUCGACAUAGUGGUGGUGGUGGUGGUGCCAUUUUCCUAAAGCAAUAUGAGCAAAGGAUUAAUGAUUCACUUCACAGGAAAAAAAACAGUAGCAUGUGAUAUUUUCCUAAAGCAAUAUGAGCAAAGCAUCCUAAAUCAACUAAAUCAACUAGCAUACUAAAUCCAGUAGCAUACUAAAUCAACUAAAUCAAAAUGUUCUAAAUCAACUAAAUCAACUAGCCUACUAAAUCAACUAAAUCAACUAGCCUACUAAAUCAACUAAACCAACUAGCCUACUAAAUCAACUAAAUCAACUAGCCUACUAAAUCAACUAAAUCAACCAGCCUACUAAAUCAACUAAAUCAAAAUGUUCUAAAUAACCUAAAUCAACUAGCUUACUAAAUCAAGUGAAUCAUAUCAACUAAAUCAGAAUGUUGCAUCUGAACUAGCCUACUGAAUCAAAAUGUAGCAGGGAGGAGGGAGAAGGAGGGGCGACUCGAGGAGGGAGAAGGAGGGGCGACUCGAGGAGGGAGAAGAGAGAAGGACGGAGGAGGAAGGUGGAGCGAGGAGGGGCUGGCCGGCGGCGAGUGGAGGGAGAAUGGAGGAGGAAGGCGGAGCGAGGAGCGAGGAGGGGCUGGCCGGCGGCGAGUGGAGGGAGAAUGGAGGAGGAACGCGGAGCGAGAAGGGGUCGGCCAGCGGCGAGUGGAGGGAGGACGGAGGGGGAGGACGGAGGAGGAGGCCGGUACCGAGUCCAGCGAGGAGGAUGAGGUGACUGCUGCGCAGAUCGGAGGAGGGGCGACGAGGGGGAGGUCGAGUGUGUGUGUGAGUGUGAUCUGGAUCGGAUAGGUGAGGAGGGGGGAGAUGGAAUGGCUUAGCAGUAGCGCGCUAUAGCAAAAUGCGCUACUGUUAAACGACCUAUCUGUAGCGCCUUUGGCCGAGAACGCGCUACUGCUAUGUUAGACAUAGACAUAAAAAAUACAUUGAUCAUCAAUUGUCUUUUUGUGUACAAUCUGAUUUGUCAAUAAAAAUCCUCGACGGUUGGUUUAGGAACAGGCGAGGAUUCCUAUUGCGGCCACAGAUCCUACACAUAGAGUUCAAUGAAGACCAAAUGCUUGUGAAAGUUGUAGAAGUAACAUAUUUAAGGUGGUACAAACUCUCUUCACGGAGCGAGGUGGGACUAAAUUUUUGUAGUAACCUUAGUAGUAGCGAUUACUGCGUAACUGUGCUUCUGCUACGAUCUGUAGCAGUAGCGCCGUUUGUUCCAACGCACUGCGGCUAUAAUUGGCCUCGCGGCGGCGUCGUGGGAAUUUUAGCAGUAGUGCGUCCUGAUGUGUGCGUGCUACUGAUAAACUUGUACCAGCAGCGAGGUUUUAAAGUGAGCGCUACUGCUAAGUAGCAGCAGCGCCUGAUUUUAAAGCGCGCUGCUGGUAAGAUUCUGUGUAUAGGCUUUUCCCUAGAAGUGUCACGCCGGCUGCAACACGGUCAUGGUGGAGGCGGCCACGACUGCUUAGGCAAUCGUGAACCGGAACAGGAACAUCGGCAGCUCCGCAUCACCCACAGUACCAUCGUCCAAGACAACCACGAGUCCGGCCCGUCCAUGUCCAUCUUGGACCUCACAUCGAUCGGCGACGCCCAAGAAAUGGAUUUCAACAAGGAAGAGUAGGUCAUGGGAGAUGAAGGCGUCCAUCUCUCAUGUGGGCAUGUCCGUGUCCCAUGUCUUACUCUUCAUCGCCGACGAGCCACAGGUUCACUUCGCGGAGCUCAGGCUCGGAAAGAUGCCGGACACGGGGAAGAUAGGACAUGGAACAAGGACGCCUCCACGGUUGGCGAAGAUUUAGACUAGACUAACAUUUCAUGUUAAAGAAAAUGUCAUGUACACUUUCGAAAAUGAAAUAUGCAAAAAAUGUCAUGAAUUUAGUCCAGUUUAAAUGAUCAUCCGGUUUGCUCAAAUACCGUUUAAAAUGUGUCCGUAUAUUUGAUGGAUAGGGCUGGAUGGCCGGAUCCUGUAUCACUGUCCAUGGACAGAUACUACCUCCGUUUUAGAGGAUAGCGUUGAAGAUACCCUAAUGCCGUUUUUCUUGAAAAACUCUAGAAUGCUAUAAGACUUUUUGGAGAUACGUUUAUGGAAAUGAGAAAAAUAGAAAUACGGAAUAUUAAUAUGACAAUCAGACUUGAUGUUUUUUAUCAGAAUAAAUAAUUUAAUUUAUUUUGAAAAUUACUUAAACCGUCAAAUUCCCAACUUAGCAAUGAUGCUUAGCCACGUUGGAAAGAAAUGCAAUGGAAGAAAAAACAACAUUCGUUUAAGAAAAGACAAACUUCACACAAUAUAUGUAUGAGCAUCAGAAAAGUGUGGUUCCCAUCAGCUAAGCACACGUAAUCUAGGUCUGAUCACCUCAUCCUCAUCCGAGGCAUCAGACGAUAAGCUAGACUGACGUGUAACGUGCCUGUAUCCGGUGCCUUUUAGGUACAAGAGCGCGCGCUCGGCCGAGGAGACGCAUGCAUCCGCGCGAGGACAGAAACGGCAAAGCGAUGAAAGCAGUAAAAUCAGCAAUGCAAGCUGUACUAAUGUACUUAAUCCCUUUACGUACACGCCAUGUUAUAUAUCUUUUGUCGUGUUCCGUUCCAAGCGAGGACGCACAAGAAAGCAGUCGCCUGACCAGCAACGUGUAUACGAGUAUAAGCUACUCCCUCCGUCCCAUAAUAUAAGAACGUUUUGUAGGAGAUAUACAAUCAAAACAAAAGUAAAAAGUAACAAUGCAAGCUUUACGUGCACGCCAUCAUAUGUAUUUUUUGUCAGUGUUCAUAACCACUCUCCGUUCCUGGUGAGGUGGCGUGGUUCCAGUGAAGCUGAAACGUACACGCGACGCAUGGCAUGAUGCCGUCUGGGUAAGGUGCGCAAAACCCGCUAUUAAAAUCCAUCGUCUUGCACACAUCCGGCAUCCACCUCAAAGGGCAUCCACCUCCGUUCGACUGUCGUAAAGACCAUGAAAGCCGCAGCGGCGGGUGAGAACAGCAAGUUAACUGGAGUGAGAAAGAAGGGGGAAGGCAAGUUUGCGGCAACGAUGAAGCACCCGGUGACGAAGACACAGUUGUGGUUGGGGACGUACUCUUCCCUCAAGGUCACCACGUGCGCCUACGACCUCGCGGCUAGGGAGCUGAAGGGCAUAAAGGCAAAGAUCAACUUCCCCUACCCUCCGCCGGCUAACUGGUUAAGGAGGUGAUCGCUGCACCGAAGCACCGCAGCCAUGGUCACGACACACCACUCUUUGAAGUGGUUAUAAGGGAAUCAUGGAACAUCUCAACCAGCCCACGUGUUUCAGUAGGCAUUGUUGCUAUUUUUAUGAGUAAGGAAGCUUUCAUGUGAAAAUCAAAUAAUGUUUACACAAGAGCAGCAAUAAGUACUCUCCACAAAACCAAGGAAUUAAGAGAGAGAACGGUUGUACAAAUCUGGGUGAAGGAAUCAACCCGAAAUUAAACAAUCAAUCGACAACUUCACCAUUCUAGUCUUCAUGUCUACUAUAGUCAAUAUAUAAAUAAAUCGAGACACUUCCACUGUAAAAAGUUAAAAACAGAUGAAAACAUGCGCAAUACAACUAGGCCAUGAGCAAUUGAGAAAAACCUUAGUCAUGAAUUCAAUGCCACCGGUGGCGGCAAAAGCGGCUGAGCGAGCAUGCGGAACAAUGGAGGGUUAGGUCUGUGAGGUAGAGAGUGGAGUUCAGCAGGUGCAGGUGACAUGAGGUCGUGUGUUGUCGCUUGGUGUGAGCUCACGGCUAUUGUGUAAAACUAUUGUUGAACUAUUUGUAUAAUAUUUUUGGUAAAUUCUCAUCCGAUAUGCCAGAAUUAUGAUGCAUCAGGACUUCAAUAACUAUUUGUAACUUGGUUGACAGAAAAAAAUUGCUACCCGUUGUGAUGUUGUCUAUGAUUGCCCCCAUAUUGGUCAAUUACUCAAAUCCUAGAUCGGCCGCUUUAUUACAAUCCUAUUCUAGCUACAAAAAACUUGCUUCAUAUAUCCCAUAACGGUACAGCCAGGAUACUAAAAUAGCAGCCAGCGGCAAAAAAGAAAGAUGUUAAUCAUACCUACUCACAUUACAAAUACGAAAAUCACUUGAUAGAUGAAGGGGUACAAAAGUUUAACGUGUUUUUUGAGGGACAUGUUGUGUCCAUAAAAUAUGCUAGCAGUAUUAUUUGAAGAUGAAGGACACGUUGAUGCUACAAAAAUCCCUUGAUGGAAUCGUAAUGAACACAACCAUCCUAGGAUUGAGAUUACGAAUUCGAUAAAAUAUACCCAUUGUAGCCUUGCAUUUAUUGGUCAGUAGGAAAGUAGGUUGCUAAAUUAAUAACAACGGAUAAGUGACACAUUUAGCUCAAAUUAAAGCAAGAGAGACUGGCACAAGAAAGUAAACUGAAGACGGGGCUUACCUGCGCCUCAUUGUUCUCCUCCACCUCCUCCUGCGGCGGCUCCUCCAACUGCUUCAUAAAUACCAAAAUAAUAAUAAUAACUUGUUAGUUAGUACAAAGUUCAACCUGUGCAAAUGCAAACUUAAGCAUGUUAACACUAAUAUAACAUGGGCAUGCUUUAUGUAAGGUAGUCUCAAUCCUAGGAUGGUUGGUCCAUCAAUUAAUUCUUAAUUUUCUAUUCAUGAUUUAAUCAUAUGAAACAAUAUAAUGAUGAAGCACUUCAAUAAAUUCACAGCCAAACAAGAUGAGAGAUCUAUCUAUUACUCCCUUAGUCCCAAAAUAAGCGUCGCUGCUUUGGUAUAAUGGCCAAAUGUCUCUAUUUUUUCUUGGAUUUUCUGGAAUAUUGUUCCUUUUUCCUCUCUAUUGUGCAUUUAGCCUAUACUACCUCUGUCCCAAAAUAAGCGUCGCUGAUUUUAUGAGGCAAUGCUCAGCUGCUAUUCCCAUCUUGUUAUGUGAAAUGUAUAGCUAAUGGGUCCAUCAUUAUGGCAUUCCCUAUGAUGACAAUUUUAUUGAAAGAUGAAGGCUAAUUUGAUCCUACUAAAACAAUUUGAUGGCAUCAUAAUGAGCCAAACCAUCCUAUGAUUGAGGUCGCCUAUUUGAUCAGAUAUGCCCAUGGUAGAGCCUUGCAUUUGGUGGUCAGAAGGAAAGAAGGAAAGCGGACUGGUAAUUAGCAACAAAGAAUACAGUUACACACUUGCAUCGAAGCAUGAGAGACACAAGAAACUAAAUGGAGAGAGAGCUUACCAGAGGCUCAUCCUCCUCCUCCUCCUCUGCCUGCAUCAGCUCCUGCAAAUACUCAUAAAUAUAAUAAUAAAUAUAAUAAUAAUAAUAAUAAUAAUAAUAAUAAUAAUAAUAAUAAUAAUAAUAAUAAUACAGUUACACACUUGCAUGAAAGCAUGAGAGUCUAUCACAAGAAAGUACAGAGAGAAGGAGCUUACUAGAGGCCGAUCCUCCUCCUCCAGCCCCACCUGCAGCAGCUCCUGCAAAUACUCAAAUAAACAAAUGUGUUACUUUGUACCCAGUUCAACCUGUGCAAACACAAACUAAAGCAUGUUAAGACUAAUAUAACAUGGACAUGCUUAAUGUAUCCAAGGUAGAGUCUCAAUCCUAGGAUGGUUGGUCUACCAACUAAGUCCUAAAUUUCUAUUCAUACUUUAGUCAUAUGAAACAGGCAGUAUAAUGAUGAAGCAUUUCAAUAAAUUCACAGCCAAUCGGAUGAGGAAUCUAUUAUGUACUAAAAGCACAAAAGGUGAAAGACCAAUAUUCUAGAAAGUCCAGCAAAAAUUAGAGACAUCUACGCAUUUAUGUACUGCAUACUCAAUUAACCGUUAAACAACAGCCAUUGGAUCCCACAGCACUGCCUCCACUGCCGCCCAAGCUGGAAGUUUACUUUCCCUUCCCCUUUGAAGCGCCCGCCGGUGACACCCCACCGGUGCCAGCAUAUCCUUUCCUGCACAUGCCGCUUCCAGCACGAGCACGUCUCGGCCUGCAGCCGGCGCACGUGCACGCACCUGCUCCACAACCACAGCAGCUGAUCCGACGUAUGGAGAUUGUGGCGCAUACGGAAAGCGGCUUAAGCUCCUCAAGUGAACCCCUAGGGGCUCCGUCUCGCCACCUGAUGUUCAAAAAACCCAAGUUGUUCGUUGUUCCCGUCACUCCUAGUGCUCCAACAGAAGGGACUAAUGAUAAUUUCACCAAGCCGUGAUAUUUCCCUGAUUCUCCUACUGUUUAGCCUCGGUCGUGCGCAAUAUGCAUCGAGAUCCCAUAGUCGUGUGCCAUCAUAAUCCAUAGGCAAUCACAAUCUAUAUAUCAUUUAAGUUACAAUGUAUUUUCAUUGUUGUUCUCAUGUGUCGCUGCCAUGUAUUGGGUUUACUGUGGUGUUGUAUAUCACCAUGUUGUUUCCUUCUACCAAUCAUGUAAUCUGUUCACUCUUGUCCUGUGUUUUGUUUUGGUGUGGGUGCACUCUUGUCUUAUGUUACCAUAAUGUAUAUUGAAUGCAAAUCAUAUAAUCAGGUUAGUACAUUAGUUAAUCAAUAUCUUGUUUGGUGUGGUGUUUGAGAUAAUUGAUUUGAGGUGAAGGGAGAAAAUAUUUCUCAAACACCGAUGUUGUUACAAGUUUUGGUGCAAAGCAAAGAAGUAUGAAAUAUGCAAAUUCCAAAUUUAGGAAAUCGUACUCAAGGAUUGAACGACCCUGAAAAUUAUAAAAGUCCAUACUCAUGUCAUCCAAGCGCGAGGUUGUUGUAGUAUAUCAUGAACAAAGUUUGUUGUAACCUUUAUAACUGAACUAUAAAUGGCCACUAACAUUCAAAUCCCAGACGGUUUCAUUUGUUUAUGUCAUGAAGGCGGCAUGAACGUUGAUCUUUAUCCAGAUUUCUCGGGGGAUCAUGGCCCAGAAUUUCGGUACAUCGAUCAGUCUUAACAAUAUUAGAUGUAUCCAAAUGUAUAGAAAACUACAGUAAUUAACUCGUGUGGUGAUAUCUAAAGUAGUGGAAGGUCUUCGGUAUAUUAAUUUUAUGUAAUAAGAAUAAUCUUUAAAAAUGUACAGUAGCGGUCAUUGUACGACCAUAUUUGAAGUACAAAGUAAUUAGUUGUCUUAACAUGAAAUAUUUUUAUAAUAAUAUUUGCGGCAUUAUUUUGUAGUACUUAUCUCUUGGAUUUGCUGUAUAGCAUAUCUUAUUUUCGUCCAUGUACAAGAUCUUGUUGCAUCAUGAAAUUACUAGUGAUUUUAGGUAUUUUCCAAUUGAGUUAUUCCAGGGAUUAGGAUUGCAAACGUAAUUGAUCUAGUACGACCCACAUCUAGAUGUAUUACACAUGCCUUGUGUAAGGUUAGUCUAAGAUAAGUUUAGAGGAUAACCGAUGAUAUUCUUGAAAGAUUCAGUCCUACUGGGUAUGGAGGAUCAAAAAGAUGAUUUUUCUCUCAUUCUGUAUAGUUGUUUUUUCCAGUUGAACAUCUCUGGUUCAAUGCAAUUUUAUAAUUAUUUUUUGAAAAGCAAUACAAAUCCGCAGCAGAGUCCUGCCGUUUCCGUAAAAAAAAGCAACAGGAUGAUUGAAUUUCGAACAAGGUUACCAGAUAACAUAGCUACUAGGUCAAAAUCGUUGCUAACCUUCCCCGCAAAAAAAAGCUUUGCUAUCUUGACACUCAAUAAUAAAAUUGCAUCUUUCUUGUAUCUCAUGCUUUCUUUGUCAAAAUUCCCAUAUGCCACUUUUGGCCACUUUUGGCAAUAGAUUUGGUUGUUGCCACCCAAACCAAUUGCGUAGAACCCUAAAACUCAAUUGCAGAAAGCUUCACAUGUGUGCAUAGCGGUGCCAAACAAAGUCGUUUAGAUAUAAACCCUAUAACUGAAAACCCAUUGUUGUGUGAAAAGCUUUGCAGCCAUUAAACCCAUGUGCAUUGGUGAGUAUAUUCUAUCCACAUCUGGUUUGUCGCUUGUUCUUUAUAUCAGUACCAGCCUUGCAUCCAACUAAUUUAUGACACGUGUAAUUUUUGAAUGGUUCUGUUACACACACGCAUGCACACUUGCCCACAAGCACGCACGCGCGCGCGCACACACAGUGGAUUUAUAUUUUGAAUACUAUUGCCAUCAAAUGUUCGUACUGGAGCAUACUAUACUCUACUUUGGUUCCUCAAAGUUAGCAGGAUAACAUAUUAUAACUUAAGUAUUUAUUGCCUGGAGAAAUCAAAUUACUCAAAUACCGAGGUGGUACAAUUUGUAAAGUAAAGGAAGACAUAUGAAAUAUUCCAAAUUAAAUUUCAGGAAAGACAAAACAGUCCUAACUGAUCUACCAUAUCGCGCAGCCUCGUAAGCAACUAAGUAAAUGUUUUUUAGGGUAACAACAGGGCUCUGCUGCAUAUUAUUAGUAUUAUGUUUUGUAAAAAAUACAACUAAGUAAAUGUCUCUCUUAAUUUUGUCCUACACUACUAAGCGGGAAGUUGCAUUGUACACAACUUUGGCAUAAUUGAUCCACAAACUCUAUAAAGUAUACACUACUACAAAACGAGCUAGCAGUGGUGGAUGACAACUAUAUGCCUGCCACCGAACCAUUUAGCCCAUGACUAACAUGGUAAGAAUUUACUAGUGGAGGGCGUCAUGUUUUGCCCGCUAGUGCACAUCCAAUACCUGUUGUCAGCCCUCUUUUGUACCCACCCCUGUUGUCAGCCCUCUUUUGUAUCCACCACUGUCUAGAUGAAAUAGCGGUGGCAUGUACCUAUCGGUGCCCGCCAAUUAUGUGACCCCACCUAUAAGCCUUUUCCCAGUAGUGAUAGCAUUUUAAUCUGUUAGGAGGAUUCACCACUAUAAUAGAAAGAUCCAAGGAUCAAGCACCUAAAUAUCAUCAAAGUCCAUACUCUCAUACUUACAAAUAGGUUGUUUUAAUAUACAUGAACGAGGUUCAACCUUUAGAUGUGAACUAAAAUGGCCACUAACUAGCAAUCAAUGAUGGCUUCACUAGUUUCAGUCUGUACAAUGGUAUGAAAGUUGAUCUAUAUACAUAUUUCUCGGGGUUGUCGCAUCCUUGAAUUCUGGUACAUCGGUCAUUCUUAACAUCACCAGAAAUAUGAAAAUGAUUGAAAAAAUUUAUAGUAUCUCCUAUAAGGUAAUAUCUACAGUACAUUACGGUCUUGAAGAUACUAAUUUUAUUCAUCUCUGAGAGCCUUCUGUCACAAUCUACCCAGCAACGGACGACUGGGAUGCUUUCUUCGCCCGACUGUAGAGAUCAUGCGCCAUGGAUCCACAUGUCAUGGACACACACUGACUAUAGCAAUCACGCGCCCUCGGGCCACCCAUCAUCGAGCUUCCAACUCGGUCGCCCGGUUGCGAGCCGUCCGGGCAGAUCAGAUGGCUCGGAGCCGCCCCACGAGGCUCCUGCCGCAAGCCAACUGGCAAUGGAUGGGCAGGAGCCUUUCCUCACCCUCGAAAAGCCCAGGAAGGCGUGCACUCUAGCAUUCUUUAUAUAGGAAUAAUGGGUUAAUUGAUUCAACAGGAUUUACCGGAAUCUUUGUGAUUUAAAAAAUUGAUACCGAUCAUUUUUGGACUAUCCUCCAAUUAUAGUUCAUAACAUUUUUGCAGGAUCAUCAUAGUUUAUUUAUGUUUGAUGUAUACAAUGUAAUGCGUCAAUGCUCCGUCAUUAUUUACCGGAAUAUUGUGAAAGAUGUUGUUUUUUCUAUUUAACUUGACGAAGUAGUAAGAAAAUAGUAUUUAUACCCAUAUUAGUUGUUAUAUUUUAUUUUAUUUUUGAUAUAAUUAAAUAUGUAUUGUCUAUGAAGUGUUCUCGUUCUUUUUGACAAGUACUAUUGUAUGUUAUGGAUUCUUGAUGUGGCAAACAAAUUGUAUUCCUUUAGUGGUGCUGCUUAAAUGAGUACAAUGUGAUUAAACCUUUUAAAAUUGUACUCUAUUGGACAAUGUUAUUUGUUCAUCUUUUAGGAAGUGUUUACCAUUAUGGCUCAUACAAAUAAAAUUACGAAAAAUUGAUCCUAAAAAAGGCAUGAUUAAAUUCUUUUCUACAAUUGUGAUAUUUUAUUAGCCAUAGUGAGAACAUCCGGGAAAUCAUAAAAAGAAGUUAACCGUUUCAAAGUUUGAUCACAAUAAUUAAAGAUGGUGCCCUCGCAUAUGCGAGGAACACUUUGCAAGUUUCAUCUAAAAGAAAACUUGGUAAUUAUAUAUUACCUUUGAGAAAAAUUCAAUUUUUCUGGCUUCCUAAAUCCUAUAUUUCUAAAAAGUUCAUUCCCACUAAAAGCAAAGUAUUCUUAAAAAGUUAAUCCUCACCACAAGCAAUUCUCUCAACAUGCGCAGCCCACCAGCUCAAAAAGUGUUCAAUGUCAGCAUUCACUAAUUUUUAGCCAUGCAUCACAUCAACUACCUUUAAGUUUUACAACAUGCACUCACCAACCUCACCAAGACAUGAAUAUUUGCCACAUCACAAUUAGUCAUGUGCUUAUCGAAGUAAUGCAUCUUAGAAAAACUCAUGUCAUUAGCAUGCCAUCUUAUUGAUGUGGUACAGAUUACUAACUCAAACUGACAGAUCGUUAUGGUGUGUAUUAAAGAGUGAAAAUAUGAAUUGAAGAAUGCAACACGUGCAUACAAGUAUUGGCUAGUGUGUCGUCUAUCCGUAAAUAAUAAGGGCAUCGAGGUGUCUUGGAGCAGCAAGCCAUCCAUGAUGUACCCAUUGAUGUGCGGAUGCAUUGGCUUGUUUGAAAUCCCGCCAACUGGAUGCAAAGCAGGGGGAGGUGAGCAGGCUUACGAACCCCCACAAUGUACUAGUUCGGCACCCCAGUCCAAUCAAAAUAUUCUCUCGGGCACGCGCCAUCUCCGGCGCAACUGCAUCUCCACUCUCCACGCUGCAUUCAGGCCGGCCUAGAGGGGACGCGACCGGUCACUAGAGCCAUCAUUGAAUGGGAGUGCUGGCCGAGUGCGCCACCCCCGUCACGUCAUGGUCUCCGCGCCUGUUCAAUGCCAGAGAGACGUGACCGGAUGGGGUGACGAGACGACUAUCUACCGCAUUGAAGUCGUCUGCUCAUCUAUCUGUGUGUCGACAUUAAACAGACGUGAUAGCCGAGAAAACCACUCCAGUGUCCGCACUGAAACAACUUGAUGUUUGGAUUGGUCGAUGCCCUUUAUUUAUAUGUGGCCGCGCACAACAUGAUCCGCACCACACCACGUCCAUUUUCGUUCCUCCUCUGUGCACCACCUUUGCCACGACAAGCUCUAGAGCGAAGUGGGAGACCCGCUCGGCGGAGAAGAAGCACGAUUGGCCAGGUUUGCGGCUGACUAGCAGCAUCGUCAUGUGUGACGAAUAGAGGCUGGUUCGCCGAAGGUGAGAGACGACGACACGACGAUGAGCCGGCACCCCCGCUCACACAGGUCCAUGGCGAAACCACACUUCAACAUCGUCAUGACGGAGGAGCAGCCGACACCACCAGGGUUGAUGUUUUGGUUGGCGCCGGAGGAGCAAGGCUACAACCUUUCCAACCUCCCGCAUUACCGGCUGGCUGAGGGACAAAAUCUAUGGCGACUUCGCAAGCGAGGAGGCCACGGCGGCCAUGGCCUCGGAGGAGCCGAACUUCGUCGAACAGCAGGUAGCGCUCUACGAGAGCACGUGCAACGCUCGUGCCGGCUGCAACACGGCGGUGGAGGCGGGCACGAUGGCUUAGGCAAUCGCGAACGGGGACGGUUAAAUCGGCAGCUCCGCGUCACCCGCGGUUCCCGUCGGUCCCCAAGGAUAAUGAGUCUGGCCCGUUCCACGUCCAUCUUGGACCUCACAUUGACCGACGACAUCCAAGGAACAGAAUUCGACAAGGAAGAGUAGGACAUGGGAGAAGAAGUGGUCCGUAUCCCAUGUGGGCAUGCCCGUGUCCCAUUUCUUACUCUUCAUCACCGGUGAGCCACAACUUCACUUUGUGGAGUUCAGGCCCGGCAAAGAUGCCGGACAUGUGGGAGACGGGACAUGGAACAAGGACGCCUCCACGGCUGGCGAAGAUUUAGACUAGAUUAACAUUUUAUGUUAAAAAAAUGUCAUGUGCACUUUUUUAAAUGAAAUAUGCAAAAUCAUGUAUUUAGACCGGUUUAAAGGAUCCUCCAGUUUGUUCAAAUACCGUUUAAAGUGUGUCCGGACGUUUGAUGGAUAGGGUUGAAUGGCCGACUCCUGUAUCACAAUCCGUGGACAGAUACUAAUGUCCGUUUUAGGGGAUAGCAUUGAAGAUACACUAGAGCCUUUUUUCUUGAAAAACUCUAGAAUGCUAUAUGACUUCUUGGAGAUACAUUUACAGAAAUGAUAAAAAUAGAAAUACCGUUAACUUACUUGAGCCGUUAAAUUUCUAACUUAGCAAUGAUGCUUAGCCACCUUGGAAAGAAAUGCAAUGGAAGAAAAGACAACAUUCGUUUAAGAAAAGACAAACUUCAUACAAUAUAUGUAUAAGCAGCAGAAAAGUGUGGUUCCCAUCAGCUAAGCACACGUAAUCUAGGUCUGAUCACCUCAUCCUCAUCCGAGGCAUCAGACGAUAAGCUAGACUGACGUGUAACGUGCGCGUAUCCGGCGCCUUUUAGGUACGAGAGUGCGCGCUCGGCCUAGUAGACGCAUGCAUCCGCGCAAGAACAGAAAGGGCAAAGCGAUGACAGCAGUAAAAUCAGCAAUACAUGUUGUACUAGUGUACUUGAUACCUUUACGAAACCACAUGCAGUGCUCGCGCCGACUGCAACGCAAUUGCGAAUGGAAACAGCGGCAGCUCCGCAUCACCCACGGUUCCCAUCGAGCUACAACGACAACGAAUCCGGCCCGUCCACAUCUAUCGUGGAACUUGCAUCGACCGGCGACGUCCACGCGAUGGAAUUCGACAAAGAAGAGUAGCACAUGGGAGACGGACGCGCCCGUGUUCUUGCAGGCAUGUCUGUGGCCCAUGUCUUACUCUUUAUGGCCGGUGACUACCAGCUUCACUUCCAGGAGCGCAGAACCAGCAAAGAUGCCGGACAUGGGGAAGACAGUACAUGGAACAUGGACGCCUCCACGGCUGGCGAAGAUUUAGACUAGAUUAACAUUUUAUGUUAAAAAAUGUCAUGUGCACUUUUUUAAAUGAAAUAUGCAAAAAAUGUCAUGUAUUUAGACCGGUUUAAAGGAUCCUCCAGUUUGUUCAAAUACCGUUUAAAGUGUGUCCGGACGUUUGAUGGAUAGGGUUGAAUGGCCGACUCCUGUAUCACAAUCCGUGGACAGAUACUAAUGUCCGUUUUAGGGGAUAGCAUUGAAGAUACACUAGUGCCUUUUUUCUUGAAAAACUCUAGAAUGCUAUAUGACUUCUUGGAGAUACAUUUACAGAAAUGAUAAAAAUAGAAAUACCGUUAAAUUACUUAAGCCGUUAAAUUUCUAACUUAGCAAUGAUGCUUAGCCACCUUGGAAAGAAAUGCAAUGGAAGAAAAGACAACAUUCGUUUAAGAAAAGACAAACUUCACACAAUAUAUGUAUAAGCAGCAGAAAAGUGUGGUUCCCAUCAGCUAAGCACACGUAAUCUAGGUCUGAUCACCUCAUCCUCAUCCGAGGCAUCAGACGAUAAGCUAGACUGACGUGUAACGUCCGCGUAUCCGGCGCCUUUUAGGUACGAGAGCGCGCGCUCGGCCUAGUAGACGCAUGCAUCCGCGCGAGAACAGAAACGGCAAAGCGAUGACAGCAGUAAAAUCAGCAAUACAUGUUGUACUAGUGUACUUGAUACCUUUACGAAACCACAUGCAGUGCUCGCGCCGACUGCAACGCAAUUGCGAAUGGAAACAGCGGCAGCUCCGCAUCACCCACGGUUCCCAUCGAGCUACAACGACCACGAAUCCGGCCCGUCCACAUCUAUCGUGGAACUUGCAUCGACCGGCGACGUCCACGCGAUGGAAUUCGACAAACAAGAGUAGCACAUGGGAGACGGACGCGCCCGUGUCCUUGCAGGCAUGUCUGUGGCCCAUGUCUUACUCUUUAUGGCCGGUGACUACCAGCUUCACUUCCAGGAGCGCAGAACCGGCAAAGAUGCCGGACAUGGGGAAGACAGUACAUGGAACAUGGACGCCUCCACGGCUGGCGAAGACUUCGACUAAGUUAACAUUUUAUAUUAAAAAAUGUCAUGUACACUUUUGUUAAAUGAAAUAUAUUAAAAAUGUCAUGAAAUUGGUCCGGUUUAAAUGAUCGACCGGUUUGUUCAAAUACCUUUUAAAAUGUGACCAGAUGUUUGAUGGAGAGAGUUGGAUGGCCGGCUCCUGUAUCACUAUCGUGGUUGGACACUAGGUCCGUUUUAGGGGAUAGCGCUGACGAUACCCGAAAGCCUUUUUUCUAGAGAAACACUACAAUGCUACAAGACUUUUUGAAGAUAUGUUUAUGGAAAUGUUAAAAAUAGAAAUACCUAAUAUUAACCUAACAAUCUGACUUGAGAUAUGUUUUUAACAGAAAAAAUAAUUUAAUUUAUUUUGAAAUUUCUGUAAACCCUUAAAUUCCUAACUUAACAUUGAUGCUUAACCACGUUGGACAGAAAUGCAUUAGAAGAAAAGACAACAUCCAUUUAAGAAAAGACAAACUUCACACAGUACAUGUAUAAGCAGCAGAAAAGUGUGGUUCACAUCAGCUGAGCGCACGUAAUCUAGGUCUCUGUCCCUUCUGGUGCAUCAGAUGAUAAACUUGGCUGUGCGGCCCUUUUCGACCGAGGACGCACCAUCGAAAGUAGUAAAAUCAGCAAUGAAAGUUGUACUAGUGUGACUGACCCCUUUACGUACAGGCCAUCUUAUAUAUCUUUUGUCGUGUUAAUCAGCGAGAAAGCAGUGCGUGUAUAAUAGUAUAAGCUAGGAGAAAUACAACCGAACAAAAGUGAAAAGGAACAAUGCAAGCGGCAAGGCGGUUCUAUACGUGCACGCCAUGAUAUAUAUUUUCUGUCAGGGUUAAUAACCACACUCCGUUCAUGAUGAGGCGGCGUGGUUCUAGUGAGUCUAAAACAUACGUACGCGACGCACGGCUUGAUGCCGGAGGUUGGGCUGCACAAGACCCGCUGUUAAAACCCCAUCGUCUUGCACACAUCAGGCAUCCACCUCAAAGCGCAUCCACCUUCGUUCGACUGUGGUAGAGGCCAUGGCAGCCGCAGCGGCGGGUGAGAACAGCAGGUUAACUGGGGUGAGAAAGAAGGCGAUGGCAAGUUCGCCACAGCUAUCAAGGACCCGGUGACGAAGACGCUGUUGUGGCUGCGGACGUACCAGUUCCCCGAGGUCGCCGCCUGCGCGUACGACCUCGCGGCUAGGUCUUAAACUCUGUAUACACUUCGUGUGCAAAAUGGACAAUCUCUUUCGAAAUAUCAGGGUUUCGGACGGAAACUCAUCUGUUAUAAAGCGAUUUCAUUUUUUUGAACUUAUUUGAACUCCAGACUUUUUGUGUGUUCAAAAUGCACAUUCAAAGCCACAUUAUCAAUUUUCAACCCUCUCUGACUUCAUUUGGUAUUUUUCAUGACUGUACUGAUUUUUUUGAGCUAAAUGACCCUUAAAUUAAAAGGCACUAGAAAUGAACUCUGAAAAGGUUGAAAGUUGGCAUGGUAUCAUCAUUUCACCCACAUAGCAUGUGCUAAAAAGUUGAAAGGGCUACGGCAAAAACUGGAUGCACCUCAUGUACAAAACAGACAAUCUCUUUAGAAGUAUCAGGGUUUCGGACGAAAACUCAUUUGUUACAAAGGGAUUUUAUUUGUUCGAAUGUAAAUGCAGUGAUAUUCUACAUCAAAGGCAUCAUCAUAAUAGUUGUUGAUAGAAAGUCUUCACUUUUUCUUCGCUUGUGUUCUUUGCUUAUUGCGCCAUAACCAUGGAUAAUCUUCACCAUUUAACAGGAUGCUUGGGUCAGCCUUGACUUUGAAGGGAGGAAUUUCAUGAAACUUUUCAUAAUCUUCAGACACGUCUGUCUUGCCCUCCAAUCCCACGAUGUCUCUUUUUCCUGAAAGAACUAUGUGGCGCUUUGGCUCAUCGUAUGAUGUAUCCGCUUCCUUAUCUUUUCUUUUUGUCGGUUGUGUAGACAUGUCCUUCAUAUAGAAAAUCUGUGCCACAUCAUUGGCUAGGACGAAUGGCUAGUCUGUGUACCCCAGAUUGUUCAGAUCCAUUGAUGUCAUUCCGUACUGUGGUUCUACCUGUACCCCGCCUCCUGACAGAUUGACCCAUUUGCACUUAAACAAAGGGACCUUAAUAACAUUUCCAUAGUCAAGUUCCCAUAUGUCCACAUGUAACCAUAAUAUGUGCCCUUUCCCCUCGUGGUUGCUGCAUCAAAGCGGACACCACUGUUUUGGUUGGUGCUCUUUUGAUCUUGGGCGAUCGUGUAAAAUGUAUUCCCAUUUAUAUCGUACCCUUUGUAGGUCAUUACAGUCGAAGAUGGUUCCCUCGCGAACAAGUACAGGUCAUCAGAAACAGUGUUGUCACACCUGAGACAUGUUUGGAACCAACUGUCGAAACUCCUGAUGUGUUCACAUGUAAUCCAGUCCUCACACUGGUCCGAGUAUUUGGAGCGCAGAAUGUUCUUGUGUCCAUCAACAUAUGGGGUCACCAAGGUAGAAUUCUGUAGAACCGUGUAGUGUGCUUGAGACCAAGAAUGCCCGUCCCUACAUACUAUUGAGUCCCCUCCUAGCGUGCCUUUUCCACCCAGUCUCCCCUCAUACCGCGAUUGAGGGAGACCUAUCUUCUUAAGGUCAGGAAUGAAGUCAACACAAAACCCAAUGAUAUCAUCUGUUUAAUGGCCCAUGGAGAUGCUUCCUUCCGGCCUAGCGCGGUUACGAACAUAUUUCUUUAGGACUCCCAUGAACCUCUCAAAGGGGAACAUAUUGUGUAGAAAUAGAGGGCCCAGAACGACAAUCUCGUCGACUAGAUGAACUAGGAUGUGAGUCAUGAUAUUGAAGAAGGAUGGUGGGAACCAGCUCGAAACUGACAAGACAUUGCGCCACAUCACUCCUUAACCGUGGCAGGAUUUCUGGAUCGAUCACCUUAUGAGAGAUUGCAUUGAGGAAUGAACAUAGCUUCACCAUGGCUAAUCGAACGUUUUCUGGUAGAAGCCCCCUCAAUGCAACCGGAAGCAAUUGCAUCAUAAUCACGUGGCAGUCAUGAGACUUUAGUUUCUAGAACUUUUUCUCUGGCAUAUUUAUUAUUCCAUUUAUAUUCGACGAGUAGCCAGACGGGAGCUUCAUACUGAGAAGACAUUCAAAGAAGAUUUCCUUCUAUUCUUUGGUAAGAGCAUAGCUGGCAGGACCUUCAUACUGUUUUGGAGGCAAGCCGUCUUUUUCAUGCAAACGUUGCAGGUCCUCCCGUGCCUCCCCUGUAUCUUUUGUCUUCCCAUACACGCCCGAGAAGCCUAGCAGGUUCACGCAAAGGUUCUUCGUCAUGUGCAUCACGUCGAUUGAAGAGCGGACCUCUAGGUCUUUCCAGUAGGGUAUGUCCCAAAAUAUAAAUUUCUUCUUCCACAUGGGUGCGUGGCCCUCAGCGUCAUUCGGAACAGAUAGUCCACCAGGACCCUUUCUGAAGAUUACUUUUAAAUCAUUGACCAUAGAAAGUCCGUGAUCACCAGUAUGCAUGGCGGGCUUCUUCCGGUGAUCUGCCUCUCCUUUGAAGUGCUUGCCGUUCUUUCGACAUUGAUGGUUGGUUAGAAGGAAUCGAUGAUGCCCAAGGUAAACAUUCUUCCUGUAUUUUUCCAGGUAUAUACUUUGGGUGUCAUCUAAGCAGUGCGUGCAUGCGUGGUAUCCCUUGUUUGUCUGUCCAGAAAGGUUACUCAGAGCAGGCCAAUCAUUGAUGGUGACAAACAGCAAUGCAUGCAGGUCAAAUUCCUCCUAUUUGUGCUCAUCCCACACACGUACACCUUUUCCAAUCCACAGCUAUAACAUUUCUUCAACUAAUGGCCUUAGGUACACAUCAAUGUCAUUGCCGGGUUGCUUAGGGCCUUGGAUGAGAACUGGCAUCAUAAUGAACUUCCGCUUCAUGCACAGCCAAGGAGGAAGGUUAUAGAUACAUAGAGUCACGGGCCAGGUGUUCUGAUUGCUGCUCUGCUCCCUGAAAGGAUUAAUGCCAACCGUGCUUAAACCAAACCAUACGUUCCUUGCAUCACCUGCAAACUCCUCCCAGUACUUUCUCUCGAUUUUUCUCCACUUCGACCCGUUGGCGGGUGCUCUCAACUUCCCGUCUUUCUUACGGUCAUCUCUGUGCCAUCACAUCAACUUGGCAUGCUCUUUGUUUCUGAACAGGCGUUUCAACCAUGGUAUUAUAGGAGCAUACCACAUCACCUUGGCAGGAAUCCUCUUCCGGGGGCGCUCGCCGUAAACAUCACAAGGUCAUCUCGUCUGAUCUUAUACCGCAAUGCACCGCAUACGGGGCGUGCGUUCAAAUCCUCAUACGCACCACAACACAGGAUGCAGUCAUUAGGGCAUGCAUAUAUCUUCUGCACCUCCAAUCCUAGAGGGCAAACAACCUUCUUUGCUGCAUACAUACUGUCGGGCAAUUCAUUAUCCUUUAGAAGCUUCUUCUUCAAUAUUUUCAGUAGCUUCUCAAAUCCUUUGUCAGGCACAGCGUUCUCUGCCUUCCACUGCAGCAAUUCCAGUAUGGUACCGAGCUUUGUGUUACCAUCUUCACAAUUGGGAUACAAACCUUUUUUGUGAUCCUCUAGCAUGCGAUCGAACUUCACCUUCUCCUUUUGACUUUCACACUGACUCCUUGCAUCAACAAUGACCCGGCGGAGAUCAUCAUCGGGCGCAUCGUCUGGUUCCUCUUGAUCUUCAACAGCUUCCCCCGUUGCAGCAUCACCGUAUUCGGUGGGCACAUAAUUCUCAUUGCCCUCUUCUUCUUUGUUGUCUUCCAUCAUAACCCCUAUUUCUCCGUGCUUGGUCCAAACAUUAUAGUGCGGCAUGAAACCUUAUAAAGCAAGUGGGUGUGAAUGAUUUUCGAGUCAGAGUAAGACUUCGUAUUCCCACAUAUAGGUCAUGGACAACACAUAAAACCAUUCUGCUUGUUUUCUUCAGCCACUUCAAGAAAAUCAUGCAUGCCCUUAAUGUACUCGGAGGUGUGUUUGUCACCAUACAUCCAUUGCCGGUUCAUCUGCGUGCAUUAUAUAUAAUUAAGUGUGUCAAAAACCAUUACAUAAAAUCAUGAAUAGAUAAUUGAGUGACCAAAUUAAUAGAAGUUCAUCAUCACAUUAAAACCAAAGUACAUACAUAGUUCUCAUCUAACAACAUAUAGCUCUCCAGAGCAUCUAAUUAAUUAAACCAUACAUUGAAACUAUGUAAAACAUUUCAAUGCCAAAACAAAUGUGAUCAUAAUCGCAACCAAGGUAACAAUUGAUGCAAUGGCAUAAUGAUACCAAGCCUCGGUAUGAAUGGCAUAUUUUCUAAUCUUUCUAAUCUUCAAGCGCAUUGCAUCCAUCUUGAUUUUGUGAUCAUUGACGACAUCCACAACAUGCAAAUCCAAUAUCAUCUUCUCCUCCUCAAUUUUUUUAGUUUUUGCCUUCAAGAAAUUGUUUUCUUCUUCAACUAAAUUUAACCACUCAAUAAUAGGGUCGGUUAGAAUUUCCGGUUCACAUACUCUUGAUAACCCACAAGUGUAGGGGAUCGCAACAAUUUUCGGUAAGUAAGAGUGUCGAACCCAACGAGGAGCUAAAGGUAGAAUAAAUAUUCCCUCAAGUUCUAUCAACCACCGAUACAACUCUACGCACGCUUGACGUUUACUUUACCUAGAACAAGUAUGAAACUAGAAGUACUUUGUAGGUGUUGUUGGAUAGGUUUGCAAGAUAAUAAAGAACACGUAAUAAAAGCUAGGCGCCGUUUAGAUAAAGAUGCAACUAAAGUAAAUAUAGCGAGUGUGGAAAAGUGGUGGUAGGAGUUGUGGAAUUGUCCCUAAGCAAUUGAUUAUGUUACUAGACCGGUAAUCACUAUUGCAAUUCUAUUUGAGGGAGAGGCAUAAGCUAACAUACGUUCUCUUCUUGGAUCAUAUGCACUUAUGAUUGGAACUCUAGCAAGCAUCCGCAACUAUUAAAGAUGCAUUAAGGUAAAAUCCAACCAUAGCAUUAAAGUAUCAAGUCGCUUUAUCCCAUAUGCAACAAUCUACUUACUCGGGUUUGUGUUUCAGUCACUCACGCAACCCAGUAUAAGUGAAUCAUGAACGUAUUGCAACACCCCAUAGCGGGAAUCCCUCACGCAUGCGCGACAACACCAAUAAUAAAACAUGCAACUCAAACCAAUCAUAGCAAUUCAUCAAUCAUUGAUAGGACAAGAAAAUCUACUCAGACAUCAUAGGAUGGCAACACAUCAUUGGAAAAUAAUAUGAAAGCAUUAAGCACCAUGUUCAAGUAGAGGGUACAGCGGGUUGUGGGAGAGUGGGCCGCUGGAUAUAGAAGGGGGAAGGUGAUGGAGAUGUUGGUGCACAUGACGGUGGUGUUGGUGCAGAUUGCGGUGAUGAUGAUGGCCCCCGGCAGCGCUCCGGCGCCACCGGAAGCAAGGGGGACAGAGGCUCCCUUCUUCUUCUUCUUCCUUGACCUCCUCCCUAUAUGGGAGAAGGGUUUCCCCUCUGGUCCUUGGCUCCCAUGGCUUGGGAGGGGCGUGAGCCCCUCUGAGAUUGGAUCUAUCUCUCUGUUUCUACGUUCUUUGUUUCUGCCCCUUCACUGUUUCCUUUAUAUCUGGAGAUCCGUAACUCCUAUUGGGGUGAAUCUUUCGCCCAGAUUUUUCUUGUAAAAUUAGGUUUCUUGCGGCAAAAGAAGAGUGUCAACCGCCUUACGGGUGGCCCACGAGAGUCCAGGGCACGCCCAGGGGGGAGGGCAUGCCCCUGUCUCGUGGCCACCCCGGACACCGUUUCGCGUUGAUUCUUCCUCCGGAAAAUCCCAAAUAUUCCAAAAUAAUUCUCCGUCCGUUUUUAUCCCGUUGGGAUUCCGUUUGAUAUUGGGUUUCUGUGAAACAUAAAACAUGCAACAGAUAGGAACUAGCACCGGGCACUGGAUCAAUAUGUUAGUCCCAAAAAUAGUACAAAAAGUUGCCAAAAAUAUAUGAAAGUUCAAGAAUAUUGGCAUGGAACAAUCAAAAAAUAUAGAUACUACGGAGACAUAUCAGCAUCCCCAAGCUUAAUUCCUGCUCAUCCUCGAGUAGGUAAAUGAUAAAAAAGAUAAUUUUUUAUGUGGAAUGCUACCUAGAAUAAUCUUGAUCAUAUGUCUAAUCAUGGCAUGAAUAUUAAGACACGAGUGAUUCAAAGCAAUAGUCUAUCAUUUAACAUAAAAACGAUAAUACUUUGAGUGUACAAAUAAAGCAAUCAUGUCUUUUCAAAACAACAAGGCCAAAGCAAGCUUAUCCCUACAAAAUCAUACAAUUUGGCGAUGCUUCAUCUUCGUCACACAAAAUGCUCCCAUCAUGCACAACCCCAAUGACGAGCCGAGCAAUUGGUUCAUACUUUUUAACGCGCUUCUGCUUUUUCAACACUCACGCAAUACAUGAGCGCAAGCCAUGGAUAUAGCACUAUAGGUGGAAUAGAAUAUAAUGAUGGGGGUUAUGUGGAGAAGACAAAAAGGGAGAAAGUCUCACAUCGACGCGGCUAAUCAACGGGCUAUGGAGAUGCCCAUCAAUUGAUGUCAAUGCGAGGAGUAGGGAUUGCCAUGCAACGGAUGCACUAGAUCUGUAAGUGUAUGAAAGCUCAAACUGAAAAAUAAGUGGGUGUGCAUCCAACUUGCUUGCUCAUGAAGACCUAGGGCAUUUGAGGAAGCACAUCGUUGGAAUAUACAAGCCAAGCUAUAAUGAAAAAUUCCCACUAGUAUAUGAAAGUGACAACAUAAGAGACUCUCUAUAUGAAGAACAUGGUGCUACUUUGAAGCACAAGUGUGGAAAAAGGAUAGUAACAUUGCUCCUGUUCUUUUCUUUUUUUUUUCUUUUUGGGUGGGCUUCUUCGGCCCCCUUUUUUAUUUAGGCUUCUUUGGCCUUUCCUUUUUUUCCUUUUUUUUAUUUUUUUUAUGGGCAAUGCUCUAUAAUGAUGAUCAUCACACUUUUAUUUACUUACAACUCAAUUACAACUCGAUACUAGAACAAAGAUAUGACUCUAUAUGAAUGCUUCCGGCGUUGUACCAAGAUGUGCAAUGAUGUAGCAUAGCAAUGACAUCAAAAAAUGGACAAGCCAUGAAAACAUCAUGCUAGCUAUCUUACGAUCAUGCAAAGCAAUAUGACAAUAAAUGCUCAAGGUAUGUAUAUGAUGAUGAUGGAAGUUGCAUGGCAAUAUAUCUCGGAAUGGCUAUGGAAAUGCCAUGAUAGGUAGGUAUGGUGGCUGUUUUGAGGAAGAUAUAAUGAGGCUUAUGUGUGAUUGAGCAUAUCAUAUCACGGGGUUUGGAUGCACCGGUGAAGUUUGCACCAACUCUCGAGGUGAGAAAGGGCAAUGCACAGUACCGAAGAGGCUAGCAAUGAUGGAAAGGUAAAAGUGCGUAUAAUCCAUGGACUCACAUUAGUCAUAAAGAACUCAUAUACUUAUUGCAAAAGUUUAUUAGCCCUCGAAGCAAAGUACUACUACGCAUGCCCCUAGGGGGAUAGAUUGGUUGGAAAAGACCAUCGCUCGUCCCCGACUGCCACUCAUAAGGAAGACAAUCAAAGAAACACCCCAUGCUUCAAAUUUGUCACACAACGGUUACCAUACGUGCAUGCUACGGGACUUGCAAACCUCAACACAAGUGUCUCUACAAUCCACAACCACCCACUAGCAUGACUCUAAUAUCACCAACUUUAUAUCGCAAAACUAUUGCAAGGAAUCAAACAUAUCAUAUUCAGCAAUCUACAAGUUUAUGUAAGAUUUUAUGACUAACCAUGUGAAUGACCAAUUCAUGUCAUCUCUCUAAAUAGAUAUAAGUGAAGCAAGAGAGUUUAGUUCUUUUUACAAAAGAUAUGCCCACGCUCUAACAAAUAUAAAUGAAGCAAAAGAGCAUUCUACAAAUGGCGGUUUUCUAUGUGGAGAGAAACAAGCAAUCCAGACUUCAAAUGAUAUAAGUGAAGCGCAUGAAGCAUUCUAUAAAGCCAUACUCAAAAGAUUUAAGUGAAGUGCAAUGAGCAUUCUAUAAAUCAACCAAGGACUAUCUCAUACCAGCAUGGUGCGUAAAAGAAAAGUGAAAACUAAAUGCAAAAGACGCUCCAAGACUUGCACAUAAUGCAUGAACGAAACGAAUACGAAAACAUACCGAUACUUGUUGAAGAAAGAGGGGAUGUGUCGGGGGGAUGAACCCCAGGCAGGCAACGGAACCCGGGUCUAUCUCAAAAACAGUAGGGCCCGCAUCGCCCCGCAAAUCGGCGUGCGCCAGGCCGGGUCGCUCGACCCGGCAAGGCGCGCCACCCGGCCAAGAACCUCGACUCGGCAAGGUACGUCGACCCGGCCGCAGCGGCUGGCGCAAGGCAACUCAGCUCGGCGCAACCUUGGCUUCCCUAGCAAGACAACCCACCCGUGGCAUCUAUGGCAACCCAGCCACGGGUCAGCUCCCGUCCCAUCCAGGCCAUACGAUGGGACGAGACCUCAAUCACCGAUAGCCAAGACUACAGUGCCCCCGCCCAUGCAUGUGGUCAUCCGGAGCGUGGCAACAGUGCUCCUUACCUACCCGCUGACCAGGGCUGGCACAGCAACAGUGUUCCCGACCUCACCGCUGACGACAGCAAGCGGCAGCCUGACGGAGAACACUAUGCAUGGCUCGACUCAGCCACGCCAUGAUGAUCGACAAUACGGCGCACAGUCCCCCUAGGCACGUAGGGCCCGCACCUAGGGGAACCCAGCGAACCACAAGCUCCCAAGCGGGACCCAGCCCGGUAGCACGGACACCAACAAUGCGGACCCACCGACUCGGCAUAUUACCAUUGUAAGCCUGGGUGGGUUGAUCUGUAAAACCCCCCACGAGUCCACGCCUACAGGGGCAUGAUAUGUGAGAUCCCCGGCAUGCAAAGCCAUACAAGAUAAAGCAAGCAAGCAAGAUAGGACUAGCCAUUACAUAGCAACACCAGAGGGAAGGAGCAUCCCGAGCCUUGGAUAGCCUCCUUCCUCCUCCAUACAGCUCCAGGAGCGACAUUGUACUAUCGACCAUCCAACUAAACUCGGCAGGACUAGGGGUGUUAUCUCUCUGGAGAGCCCUGAACCUGAGUAUGUCUGGCGUCCCGUGCCCGCGCAUAUCAACCUCGCCUUUGAAGCCCACCAGCGCCCUCGAGCCUCCUCCUCUCUUUAGCCAUCCCAUGGCAUCUGCCGUGCGCCCACCACGACAGUUGGCUCCCAUCGUGGGGCAGCUCAAGGAGCUGGCCGGAAGCAUGCUUCGGACGGGGCCCUUCUCCUACUCCGACGAGUCCGUCGCUCUGGCGGACGACGUCAUCGGCAUGCUCACCGCCUCCUUCACUGUGUUGCGCAUCCCCGACGCGCUCACGACCGACAAGUACCCCAGCGAGGUGCUCAGCUACUACAACUCCCCGCUCCCUCUCAGCGGCGGAUUCACUGCAGGGGCGAUGGACGCCCACGUGGAGGUCUUCGUCGCCGGCGAUGGCGCCUCUUCCUCGUCGAGCAAGGCGAGAAGAGUCGCCAAAGCCGCGGGCGCCGCGGCAUGGACGGAGCCGUCCGACCCGCUGCGCGCCGCGAUGCGGAGCCUCCACAUCUCCAUCGGCACCGACGUUGACGCCACCAAUGUCACUGAAGCCCGAACCCAGCUCGAGGACAGGCGCCAGCAAAUGCUGGACCUGUCCGAUACGCUGUCCGCCACCAGGCACCACCUGGAAGCCUCUCAGAUGGAGCACGACGCCGCCCACGGAUUCACGCCCACCGCGGCCGAGCCAAGCAGGGCCGCCGAUACUCGCGCUUGGGGAGGAGCGAUCGGUCGGGCCUUCGGCGCCGUCCGGACCGUCUACAAGACCCCAGUCAAAAACAUGCGCCCUGCGGAGGCAGCCCCUGUCGGCCUCAACCAACUCGCGGGCGAGGAGCUAACGGAGCGCAUCGGGCGGAUGCGCGAGCUCCUCCACGCCGCCAACACCCAGCAGGAUCGCCUCAACCAGCUCACCAAGCCGGCGGGGUCCGACUCCGCCCGCCUUGGCGGACCCGGAGAACUCCUGCACACGGCCUCCUCGCCUCCCGGCGAGGCGCACUCUGGCCAAGCCCGGACCAGGCGCAACCCGGCCGGCACCACCGCCGAAGCUCUGGGUAACGAGCCCGCCCCAGAGACCCAGCGCGGACCCAGCCAGCCUGGCCGGCGUCCGGCUCCAGCCGACCCGGCCCCUCGGGGCCUGGCCGCCAGUCGACUCGGCCCGCGCGCCAUCGGCGACGCCGACGCGCACCACCGCAUCGAUCAGCUCGCUCGCUCCCUGGAGGUGGAGGAGAGCGGCGCUAUCGGGCCGGCGUGUUUCGGCCCACGCAUCCGGGAGGAGCCCUUCCCCAAGUUGUUCGUGCUUCCUCGCGACACCCCCAAGUACAAUGGGACCGUGAAGCCAGAAGACUGGCUCACCGACUACACCGCUGCCAUUGGCAUCACCGGUGCCAAUCGUCGUCCCGCCAUGCGCUACACACCGCUCAUGCUCCAAGUAUCAGCUCGCACAUGGUUGAAUAGCCUGCCGAUGAGUAGCAUCAACGCAUGGGUCGACUUCGAGGAAGCAUUUGUCCGCAACUUCGCGGGGACGUACAAGCGGCCCGGUCGCCCCAGCCAUCUCGCCAUGUGCGUGCAGGGGCCGGCAGAGACCGGCCGCGAGUACCUCCCACGCUAUACCAAGCUCCAGAAUAGCUGUGAGGGCGUCCAUGAAGUCCAGGCGAUCCAAUACUUUGUCAGCGGGUGCCGAGACGGCACCCUCCUCAAGCACAAGCUUCUGCGCUCUGAGCCGGCCACCAUGGCCGCGCUCAUGGUGACGGCGAACAAGUACGCCAACGCCGACUCCGCCAUGAAGAUCCAGGUGGCGCUGGAUGAGGCCGGCAAGGCGAAGCCAGUCCCUCCAUAGAAGCCGGCCGGCGAAAGCAGCCGACAGCAGCACCACCAGAACAACAAGCGCAAAGCCGAGCAGCCGGCGCAACGUCACGACAACCGGCUCGUCGUGGCCUCCGAGCCCGCGGCGGACCCGGCAGAAGCACCGGCAGACCGCAAGAUGGUGUGGCAACCCGCCAUGAGCUUUGAAGAGAUUCUCGACGCCCAUGCAAGCACCACAGCGGCGCAAGACCCUCGACGCACACGCUUCCAUAGUGCGCCAUCACCAAGCACAUCAUGAGGGGCGACGUUCCGCCUCCUCCGGCUCCGGCCCGACUCCGAGCGCGGGGCAGCCGCCUCCGCCUCCACCGCCGCCCCCCGCUGGCGGCGCGAUGCGGAACGACACCUACCCGGACCAGAACGCGGCCUAUGUCGUCUUCACCAGCCUCGGCGACGACAAGCGCAGUGAGCGCCUCCUCCGGCAGGAGAUGAACACCGUCAUCCCGGCUAAGACGGAUUUCAUGCAUUGGUCGGAUCACCCAAUCACCUGGAACCGGGAGGAUCACCCGGCAAUCAUGCCGAGUCCGGGUGGAUACGCCCUCGUCCUCAACCCUACCAUCGUCGCGUGGCGCACCUGCAAGUUCUCUCGAGUCCUCAUCGACGGCGGCAGCAGCAUCAACAUCCUCUACCGCGACACAAUGACCAAGCUCGGCCUCAAGGCCAAGGACCUGGAGCCAACCCGGACCGUCUUCCACGGCAUCGUACCCGGCCUCUCCUGUUCACCCAUUGGCUGGGUCCAGCUCGACAUCCUAUUCUGCGACAUCAGCCACUUCUGACGCGAACCAAUCUGGUUCGAGGUGAUGGACCUGUCCAGCGCAUAUCAUGCGCUGCUGGGCCGGCCCGCGCUCGCCAAGUUCAUGGAGGUCCCCCACUGCGCGUACCUGAAGAUGAAGAUGUCGGGUCCCAGGGGCCUCAUUACCAUCACCGGCGACUACCACAAGUCUCUGGAGUGCGCCCGAGACGGCGCCAAGCUGGCUGAGUCGCUGGUCAUUGCCGAGGAGCGGCGCCAGCUCGACCGAAUCGUCGCGCUGGCCGGCGAGGCCUCCGAUGCGUCGAUCCCGACCCUGGACCCGACAAAUGAGGGCGCCUUCAAGCCCUCCAAGGUAACCAAGAAAGUGAAGCUGAACCCGGAAGACCCCAGCUGCAGCAAGUACGUUGUCAUAGGCACCCGCCUCGACAGCAAAUAGGAAGGCGAGCUCGUCGACUUCCUCCGUGAGAAUCAGGAUAUCUUCGCAUGGACCCACAAAGACAUGCCGGGUAUCCCGAGGAAGUACGCCGAGCACAAACUCCACGUCCGCAAGGAAGCCAAGCCUGUCCGUCAACCCCUCCGUCGAUUUUCUGAAGAGAAGAGAAGAACCAUUGGUGAAGAGGUCGCCAAGCUCUUGGCGGCCGGCUUCAUAAUGGAAGUGUUUCACCCCGAGUGGCUGGCCAACCCAGUCCUCGUCCUAAAGAAGAACAAGACCUAGCGCAUGUGUAUCGACUACACCAGCCUCAACAAGGCCUGUCCCAAGGAUCCGUUUCCUCUCCCGCGGAUCGACCAAGUCAUCGACUCGACCGCCGGGUGUGAGCUGCUGUCCUUCCUGGACGCCUACUCCGGCUAUCACCAGAUCAAGUUGGACACGGUCGAUGCCCUGAAAGACAUCCUUCGUCACGCCCUUCGGGGCGUACUUCUACAUCACCAUGUCGUUUGGGUUGAAUAACGCCGGCACCACCUUCCAACGCUGCAUGCAGAAAUGCUUGCUACCGCAACUCGGCAAGAACAUCCACAUGUACGUGGACGAUAUCGUGGUGAAGACCAAGCAGCACCUCACGCUCCUCGACGAUCUGAAGGAAACAUUCGCCAACCUCCGUGAAUACAAGGUCAAGCUCAACCCGGAAAAGUGCGUCUUCGGCGUCCCAGCCGGAAAGCUGCUCGGCUUCCUCAUCUCGGAACGCAGCAUCUAGGCAAAACCGGAGAAGUCAAGGCCAUCGAGCGCAUGCACAAGCCAACCUGACUGCGCAAUGUCCAGAAGUUCACUGGCUGCCUGGCUUCGGUCAGCCGGUUUCUAAGCCCGUUGGGCGAGAAGGCACUGCCCCUGUACCAGCUAAGGAAGAAAACAAGCCCGUUCGAGUGGAUCGGCAAGGCGGACGAAGCCUUCCAAGACCUCAAGCGCAUGCUCUCCACCGCACCCGUCCUGGCCGCACCGACCGACAAGGAGCCGUUGUUGCUCUACAUAGCCGCGACCUCGCGGGCGGUCAGCACGGUGCUGGUGGUCAAGCGACCGGAGAAGGGCAAGAUCCAGGCCAUCUAGUGCCCGGUCUACUACCUGAGCGAAGUGCUCUCCACCUCCAAGCAGAACUACCCGCACUACCAGAAGAUGUGUUACGGCGUGUACCUCACCGCCAAGAAGCUGAAGCACUACUUUCAAGAACACAUCGUCACCGUCGUCAGCACAACGCCAAUGGGAGAAAUCAUCGGGUGCCGGGACGCCUCUGGCUGGGUCGCCAAGUGGGCAAUCCAGCUAGCCGGCCACACCAUCCUCUAUGAGCCCCGCACCACGAUCAAGUCUCAGGCCCUGGCCAAUUUCCUCGUCGACUGGACCGAGACCCAGUACCUGCCGCCGCCUCCCGACUCGACGCAUUGGCGCAUGCACUUCGACGGGUCCAAGAUGCGACUCGGCUUAGGGGUCGGCAUCGUACUGUCAUCUCCAAAGGGUGACCGACUCCGCUACACACUCCAGAUCCACUUCGCCGCCUCCAACAACGUCGCCGAAUACGAAGCCCUUGUGCACGGCCUCCGGCUCGCCAAGGAACUCGGCAUCCGGUGCAUCCUAUGCUACGGUGACUCGGACUUGGUGGUGCAGCAGUGCUCCGGUGAGUGGGACGCGCGCGACUCCAACAUGGCAAGCUACCGCUUCCUCACCCGGAAGCUGUCCGGAUCCUUUGAUGGCUGCGAGUUCCUCCACGUCCCGCGUGCAGAGAACGAGGCAGCCGACACGCUCGCCAAGAUCGCCUCGUCACAUCAAGCCAUCCCAUCCGGCGUCUCCCUCGAGCACCUGCGCAAGCCGUCCGUCAAGCCGUCACCGGACUCCGAGGCCAUCCUCGUCCCAGAGGACCCGGCCGCGCCGCAAGCCGGCCCGGGGACUGCUGAACCCGGCCAGGGGACUACUGAACCCGGCCCGGGGGCUGCUCAGCUCAACCCGGCCACCAUCACCCCAGACCCGGCCGUCUCGCCGUCACCAAACCGGAGGCUGCUCAACCCGGCCCAGGAGCAGCCGACUCGGAACCCACCCAGGUGGCCGUCUUCACCGUCGUCACGGCCCCAUCUUGGGCCCUGCGGAUAUCAGAAUGGCUGGAGAACGGGGUUCUCCCCAUGGACGAGACCGAGGCUCGGCAAGUUCAGCAUUGGGCGUCUGCCUACAACAUCAUCAACAACGAGCUCGUCAAGCGCAGCUCUACCGGCGUGUUCCAGUGCUGCGUCGAGCAGGACCGCAGCAUCGACAUCCUCCUCGACAUUCACCAGGGCGAGUGCGGGCACCACGCCGCAUCUCGAUCCCUCGUGGCCAAGGCAUUCCACCACGGCUUCUACUGGCCAACGGCCCUCGAAGACGCCGAGUUGCUCGUCCUAAAGUGCGAAGGAUGCCAGCGCUUCAGCAAACGUAGCCACCAGCCGACGUCAACACUCCACACCAUCACUACAGGAAUCGACUACUUUGUCGUCUGCCACGGCGGACGGCAAAGGCAUGAAUGGCGGACGGCAACAGGCUCCGGCAACGUAAGAUCCGACAAAGAGCUACUUUGUCGUCUGCUUUUGGUGGCUGACGGCAAAGGAGCCUUUGCCCUCAGCAGCGAACGGCAAAGAAAGUAGAUGGCAAAAUUUGCGUUGUUAGUCCGUUAGGUGGCUAACGACAGGCCUUUGUCGUCUGCGGCUGACGGCAAAGAAGCAAAGGUCUUUGCCGUCUGCCAGCAGAUGGCAAAGUUUUUGCUUCUUUGCUGUCUGCCAGCAGAGGGCAAAGUGUCCAGAUGCACAGACAGCAAAUCUCCUUCUUUGCCAUCUCUGUCAUUGAUUUAUAGUAUGUUCAGCAAUUCAUAUUCAAAUGUAUAGCGCAUGCAUAUAUCACAAAUAUCAACACAGACCACAGGAAAAUAAGACAAGAUCAUCCAUAAAAACAUAUAUAUCAUACGACCUGUAUCACAAAGUAAGACGAGAUCACACAAGUGUUUGACAAAUAAGAUCACAAAGGUUGGCCUCCACAUAACACAAAACUUAGGUGAGCAUCAUGGGAUCUAGCAGCAACACCACCUAACCUACUGGAUGGACACUGCAGUCCAGACCCAACACCACAAGCACACUACAUACUGAUUUGCGACCGCGCCGGUGAUGCAACCACCACAACCAAAAUUAAAAAGGCAAGGGAGUGGGUGGUCCAGUUUGUUGUCUCCACACCGCCUAUGUUUGCCACUCGAAAUGCCAACAGGUCCAGGUUGUGGUCAUCAGCCUUCUUCAUGCCAUCAGCAUGAUCACCCUUGCCUCCCGCACCCCGUCAUCAUUAGACUGAUUUGCUGUUGCUGCUCGUCCUCCUACUCCGUCUGCAUGGACAAGAGCAAGUUAGUUGAAUGUCAUGCACGAUAAAACUGCAAGGCAUAUAUAUUCAUCCAGAUUAAUUCUACUAAGUACAAAUUUUGCAUGGAUGGGUUUGACUUCAACAGAGACUGAAAGAAGAGCAUUUUCCCCUCCCAAUCCAAAACCUGUAGUACAAAUACAACUCUAAGAGAAGGAACUGUGGUACAACAAGAGGCGCUCCAAAUCGAACUAAAUCUCAGUUUCUUUAUUUAUCUAAGAAGCAUCACAACCAUAACUUCUGCCAAGCAAGCAGUUAUCAUACUAUUAGCUAAAGAAAAACAAAGGAAGAUCACGUGUCACUUUUAGGGAAAACAUCAGAAGUAGAUGAUAGGCAAAAGUAGAUGAUCAUCAAAUUCCAUCACACUCCACAGUGAAUAAUGCUACUAUUAUUGAUAGCAAGGACUAACUAUUCCCACUACCUGGAUGCAGCGUCCUUCAUUUUGCAAACAAAAAAAGAGCACAUUAUCCAAUUCCUUCACAUACAUAAAUGAAUAGCAGCAACCAAAUUCAACGGUACUACCAAAAUCAAAUAUAUUAUAUUAUUAAAAUGAUAGAAAACGAACGGAGGAGAUUCAAUAUUACUAAAACGAUAGAAAACGAAAGGAGGAG